CUUGGCCGGAGCAAGCUUGCUCCGGCCGGCCUUCGGCGGCACGGCGGCGCGCGCGGCGGCCAGGAACGGGUGCGGGGGAGUUGAAGAGUGAGGUGCUCACCUCAGUCGGCGGCGAGGAGCGGCGGCGGCGACGGCGGAACCAACCCAGCCCGCACGAGCUAAAGCUCGAGUUCCAGCGAAACUACGGCCACGGCGGCGGUCGGGGCUCCUCGGGGACGACGGCGGCAGGUCCUCAGAGGCCGGAGGAGGAGGAGGAAGGCGGCGGGCGAUAGCGGCGGCGGCCCGCGGCUCGGGCGCUGCCGCUCGAGCUAAGCUCGGUCUGCAGACCUAGGCGGCGGCACCCAAGGUUCAGGGAGGCCGUGGCGAUCCGAAGGGCGGCGGCGACCGGCCAGGAAGGUCGGUGGGACACAGGAGAAGGCCGCGGGAGCGACCUCAGGGAGUGGCGGCGCGGGGGCAGCUGCUGGAACUCGGCUCGGCCGAGCCUUGUCCUAGGCGGCAAACCAGCCAGGGCGGCAGCGGCGGCGCUAGGCGACGGCGGCGGUCGGCGGGGAUGCUCGCCGGAGCACGGGGCGACACUAGCAGAGGGUCUGGAGGUGGCGGCAGUCUCGGGCUUCCUCACAACCCGAGAGAAGAGAGAAAGAAAGAAGAUGGCGCAAUGGUUGGGUGGCAAGGCUGCGGCGGCGGCUGGCCGGCCGGGGCUCAGUCGGCGGCGGCCUGGGCGUGCGCAACAGGUGCAGGGAAGUGGGGUGAAGGUGGCUGGGGGUGCGGCUAGGGCUAGGUUAGGGUUACCAGGCUCCAAACCCUAGAGAGCUAUAAAUACCAAGGUGCAACUUUGCAAAUAAGUCCACCAAACCUCAGUAUUUAUUACUUAGUCCUUCACAGUGCGUAUAAAACGCGCGAACACCCUUCCACGUGCGAUCCCACGUAAAACGGUACAUAAAAUAUCGAGACUUUCGCGAAAAUACCAUUUUGCCUUCACCGACCUCUCCUCGAUCAACGUGCGAUCUCCGCAGAUCCGUCCGUCGGAUUUGCGAACGGAUUGCACCAGUGCGAUCAGCACCUCGGAGAUAGCAAAGCUACGAUUUUUGGUUCACCUCGAUCGACCACGAAUUCACGACGAAAUCCAUUCUCUUUCCAAAAGGCCGCAAUGACGCAAAAUUACAUAAGAAACAUGUAUUUUCAGAUUUUCUUGAAAUCCGUGCGUCAAAACCAAAAUCCGUCAGCGCCAGUAGUUCCAGAAUAGCUAAACCGAUCGAAACGAGCUAUUGGACUGCUAUGAACGGAGUCCGAUAAGCACCAGAAGCCAACUCUACUCCGUGGCUUCUUCGGAAAACCGGAGUUACUAUUCACUUAAGUGAAAACUAAAAAUCGCGUAUCUUCUCCAUUUUAGCUCAUUUUCUUCUGAAACUUGACGAGUACUUAUGUAAUUAAAUUACACACAUAAACAUCGUCAACUGAGAGUUUAACUACACUACAAAAAUCUCAGUCCUUACAGACACCCAAAUAGUCCCACAUCAGAUAGUAAAAGGACUCCACAAUAGUAAUAAUAACUGGGCUUAAGCAUUUUGAGCCGAUGAUUUUGAUCCAACAAGUUAUUAUUGCUGGCGAGUUGGGUCGUUACAUUUGGUAUCGAAGCAAGUUCACCAGUCAGAAGUGUGAGAUGAGUCUUGGCUGAGUCAGGGUUGGAAUGACAGACUAAGACAAAGUUGAUGAAUAACAGGCUAAGUCAGGGUUGGAAUGACAAGGCUAGCAAGACAAGUCUCACAUCGUCUAGUGAUGUUUGUGUGUUUAGGGCUGACAAGGACAUCAGGGCCUAAACGGAGAGGGGGGGGGGGCUUGUGACACCCCAAUAAUCCCAUAUCGAAUAGUUAUGGCUAGAUGUGAGAGUAUAUAAACUUAAUUAGGCAAGACAUAAUAACUGAAUUUACACAUUUUGGGUCAGCGGUUUGGGCCCAACGAGUUAUUAUUGCUAGUGGGCCGGAUCGUUAAAUCUAUAGAAAUUCACUAAUUAAGCAUUAUUAACCUAAAAUUAAAGCUAUUAAAGUGGUCCCACAGCCUCUCCUUAAAGUCUAAAGUCCAUAAAUCUGUCCCCUACAGCAACAGGAAGCUCCAAUAGCCAAUUUUCCAAUUGGAUCAAGUCGUUACUGGAAUUAAGCUGAAAUUCCAAUGUUUCAAGGAGAAAAAAUAGAUUUGUUGGGGCUUUAGAGGGAAUUUGGUGAAAGUUUCAGGUUAGAUGUGAAAGAGGGUGAAAAAUGACUCUCAGGGACAAUCUCCCAUUUUGUAUAGUGGUAUUAUAGGUUGGGUAAAAUGAGCCACAAGAACACAAGAUAAUAACCUAUUACAGUGUUGAAAUUCCCACUUUCGGGCGUCCUAAACCAACUUCCAGGCGCCCUAAACUUGUUCUGCACCACUCUUCAGCAAUUCGAACUCAUGCUCGCAGUGGUCCGGUGCGACCUAAACUGGUCCGACGGCUCACACCUACCACUUGCCUCGUGUCAACGGGUUCCACAUGAGGAAUAAUUUGGGCUCAACAUUUAGGCACCCUAAACCUGGAUCCGAAAUGUCUGUAGUAACCCAUACUAAAUAGCACUCACAUCUGGGCACCCUAAACCAUUUCUGGGUACCCGAAAUUGCCAAAACUUAAGUUUUGGCUUAUUUGAGUGCGUCGAGUUCGUUUUCGUGUCAACUUCGCGCUAAAAUAACUUCGACUCAUCGCAACACUCUAUAGAAGUGUUGACCAGUCACUAAUACUACAUUUGUUGUGAGGGUAUAAUGGUCGACAUCCCAAGAUCUAGGAUAAGUUCUGGCUUAUUUGAGUUCGUCGAGUUCGUUUUCGUGUCAACUUCGCGCCAAAAUAACUUCGACUCAUAGCAACACUCUAUAGAAGUGUCGACCAGUUACUAAUACUACAUCUGUUGUGAGGGUAUAAUGCUCGACAUCCCAAGAUCUAGGAUAAAAGUGUUAGAAACUUGCGUAUGGUAAAACGCAGCGGAAAAAGAAAUCAAACAAAUUUGAUUUUCAAAAACUCUUGAGAUCCAAUAUCAAGAUCAAGCAAUUAGGAUCCCUCAUGUUCUUUAAGAUUAGAGGAGAAAAGUAAGAUCGAAUCUUUACCUUUUGUGUGGGUAGAUCUUCACCUCAAUUUGAUGAUCAUAGAAUUAGAUUUUUUUAAAGCCGCACACGCGUCCGGCCUCUAUAGAAAGAUGGAAGAGAGAGGUGAAGAGAAAUGAUGGCUAGAAUUUUCUAAAAGCUUCCGUAUAUUAUCUAGAGAAAUAUAAUCCUCUUUUUAAUAAUAUAAUGACAAUUAAGAAUAAGUACAAAUCUAUAUUAAAUUUAUUCUUUCCUUAAUUGGUUAGAUCGAUCAAAAUCUAAUUUGAUUCGACUUAAAUUUAUCUUAGUUUGAUCAUAUCAAAUUAAUAAUACAACAUUUGCACAUAAGUCCUCUCAUAAUUUACUAACUAUUAGUUAGUCCUCUGUUGUAACAUUUACACUUUAAUAACACUAAUUUGUAAUAAUUACAAAUUAGUCCAAUUAUCAACAUAUUGACAAUUUGGUCUUUCGAUGAUUCAAAAAUCGCGAUCUAGCUAUCCGAUCAGUCACAACCUCUUAUGUGUGUGACCCCAUAGAUUCUAUUCUAUCUGGUAGUGAGAUAUAUUUUGAUUACUAUCAACAAUAUCACUGAAACUCCUUUCAAUGGAUCGGAACAAUUCUAACUCAGCCUAAUAAGAAUUACCGAUCAUCUAGAUAAUUCUCAUGAGUUUCAUAAUCCACCAGUGACGCCUAGCAGCAUGUAGUGGCAUUUUAGUAGAAUGGAAUACUGAACCUCUUGGUGUAAUUACCGUGUGAUACAAUCCUUCUAUCAUGAGUCCCGACUGGACAGAGGUCAUGGAAUAAAUCGCCAAACCCUAUCGUCUGUCAUAUGUCAAAUUUAUUCGACUCGAGUUUCUAAUAUCGAAAACCCCUUUCUGCUAUUAAGUCUGCCCUGACCAAGGUCUUCUAAACUCGGUCUCAUAAAUCACAUAGGAUUAACGCCCCUAUUUACCAAGGGAGAUAGAUUCCAUAUAAGUUUGCACCCUAUUCCUACAAUGAACCUACUAUAGCCAACAUGCACCGCAAGGACCGAAUGGCUAGGGACCAAGUGUAUGUACAGUCAAACUACAGUAACCUCAUUGUAAAUAGCCGAGGCACCGUAGGUCAAAGGACCAGUCACACUACUGAAACAUUGAGUAAGUCACUAACGAGUGAGUAGACAUCCAAGUGACUUCUCGCGUUGGUCAUGCUUGGUACCCUUGUUCUCUAACAACCACCCGCAUAUUCGCUUCAGUGUUCCCACACUGUCGACUCGAGACUCGUCUACCCCAAAAGGGAAGCGACCUAUGCAUCAAUCUCACCAGAUCAAUCACCGUCCCCGUAAUGAUCCAUUGAUCGGGAGCAUUUAGGAAUUAACCACUAAUGACACAUGUCUCAAAUUCUCAAUUCUUGAGAAUAUAUGUCAUCAUCUUAUUAAUUCCUUGAACGAUUCAUAGACACAUACACAAUAUGAAUGAAAAUAAGAAUCCUAAUUUAUUCAUAGUAAUUUAAAGUCAAAUACAAAUUUAUGUCCUGGAAAGAAUACAUGUGUCAGCCUGGUUUGCUUCUAUGGCAUACAUCUAACAAAAAGCCUUCCUUACCAACAGUUCGUCUUUAAUUAAGCCAUACACAGUUCCACUAGCAAGACUCCCUUGGAGGUGUGCUUGGGUUACUUACCAUCAAUCCCAUUCGACUUGGCAUUCACGGUCGAGCAACCAUAAACCACUAAGGAGAAAUUUGAAAUGGUGAAAGCACAACGCUUCCUGAAGGACAUUUAGAAAUUGCAUAGUGAGGUGGAACGACAAUUGCAAAAAUCUCAACAGAAAUAUAAAGAACAACAUGAUCGACAUCAAGUGAAAGGUGAUUUCCAAGAGGGCGAUCUCGUUUGGCUCCAUCUCAGUAAAGAACAUUUGAAAAGCAAGUUGAAAAAAAACUUAAACUCAUUCGCUAUGGACCUUUCAAGAUCUUACGCAAAAUAGGUGAGAAUGCUUAUGAAUUAGAGCUACCUGCCUAUAUGAAAAUGUGUUCAGUCGUUAAUGUCGAAAACCUAAAGUCUUUCAAUCCGUCAAUGUUGGACGAUGAGCUCGGAGAUGUACCGCCAUCCAUAAAAGAUUUUGUGCUAGAAAGCGUAGAGCAACUAGCUGAAGAUACUAUUCUGGAGCACAAGGUCACGACGACACGCAAAGUUCAACGUGAAUCUUCCCGUAUUGGAUGAAAAGGUUAAAAGCCAAAUGCAGAUAAAUGGUUCACAAGGGAAACUGCGAAAACUUAGUUCCCUCACUUGUAGGUCUAGAUCUAGUAGGUGCUGAUUCCUCUCAAAAUGGGGAGCCAUGAUCCAAGACGAUCAAAAAUUUUGGAUGAGUUUCGAUCAUUGCAAAUAAGAUAGAGACUGUCCCAACUAAUUUGGUUAAGAUAAAGUGAACGCAGUUCUAACUACUUCAAUUAGGAUAAGGAUCGAGACAGUUUUAGUAGAUUGGAAGAAUGAUCAAAUUCUUAAACCAAAUUGGAUAAGAAUAGAGCCAAUUUGGAUAAGAAUAUGGAUGUUAUUUUUUAAAUAUUGUAUUCUUAUCUUCUUGUACGUCCGAAGGGUAUAAACGGGGGUCUUAUGACUCCUGUAAAGGCACUCCAAUUUGAAUAAAGAUAUUCAAAUCCAAUUCUAACGUCUCGGAUAUUACAAUUCUAUUGCCAGUGAAUACACUUGCCCUUUUUGGCUUGUGGAAUUUACUAGAAGACUUUUGUUGGUUUCUCACCCUUUUUUUUGGAUGAUCUUAGUAGUAGGAGUUGGAACGGUGCGUGAGGUGUGAUAGUUAGUGAGCAUUAGAGAUCUGAGCAUUCGUCACUGAUUUAGGUUAUUCUAAUCUUACCUUAUUCUUUUAUUUGAUAAUAAGCUAGUUUUUGGUCGUAGUUCAAGCUUUGAUUCAUACGUUUGAUUUAUUGAUUAUGAUUGUUUACUCUUUGUGGAUGGUACUUUGAAAAUAAUUGUUCUGCAAAGCUUCUUUUAUUAUCGAUGGUAUUGAUUGUUGUAUCUGUGGCUUUAUGUUAAACUGAUUUUCUACCCCUCGUGGUAGUUGGAUUCCAAAAAACGAGUUUUCGUGUGGAAAAUAUUUUUCAAAUAGUUUUUUGGACUUUCCGACAUCUGAAUGGGAAAUGUUAAACUGAUUUUUUUGGUUGGAUUAAAAAAAAAAUGAGUUUUCGUGUGGGAAAUGUUUUUCAAAUAGUUUUUCGGACUUCCUGAUUUUCGAGUUGGAAAAACUUUUACAUGAUAAAAUUGAUCGAUGUUCGCGUAUUUGCAACAUCCUUCGCCUAAGGAGAGUUUAGAACAUGUAUCAUCUUAAGGAUGCCGAACUGAAUGGAUCUUGUGAGCAUCUACAAUUGUGUUGUUGUUAUAUGUGAGUAAAUGUGUGCAUUGUGAUUUGUACUUGUAGUAGUAGGCCAUGCAAAUAAUAGAGAGACUCUAUCCUUAUGGACAGAGGUGUUUCUAUAUCUGUGCGGGUCUAUUCUAUCCCGUGUGCAAGAUUGUAAAAAUGGUUUUCGGGGGGAAGGGGGUGAGGGGAUCUUUUUCACUGUCUUCAUUUUCAAAUUAGCCAUCUUUCUAAAAAGGCCGUACAAAAGCGGUCCCGAGGAGGAAAGGGAGCUUUUUCACUGUCUUCGUUAUAAAAUUAGCCCUCUUUCUAAAAAGGCUUUACAAAAAGGGUCCCGGAGUGUGACAGUCCAAGGUUUUUGUUUAAUAACAAAAAUAUUAAAUAUAACAAUAAAAAUAAGAAACUCGAAAAAAAUUUUCAAUUCCAAGAUUUUUCUAAAUUAGUUCAUUCAUGACUUAGUCAAAGUGUAAUGAUAGCUUAGCAACCAUUAAAGGAAAAAAAAAAAAAACUCACUCAACUAAUGUAUCAAAUUAUGUAGAAAUAAUAUUUAAAUAAACAAAAAGAAACAAAAACAAUGCCAAAUAAAAUCCAAAGUUUAUAAUUUUACAGACAAAAAACUUAAUUUUCUACUAUGUAUGCACCAAUUGCAAUGGUAAGGCGUCUCAAAAGGUCACGCUUUACUUUCGCGUAGCCUUCAGUUCCCCAAUCACUCCCCCACGAGUUCUUGAUUAGGUAAUAUCUGGUGCCAUUUUCGAUACCAAAUCCAAUUAUAGCCACUGAAUGCGCACCUUUCUCUCUCUCUCCAGGUUGAGGUCCCAUAUAGAUAACCUAAAAAAAAGAAUAAAAUAUUAUCAAGCAUGUAUAUGUGUGUGAGUAUAUACAUACAUUCAUACAUAUAUAUAGAGAGAGAGAGUCCAGCUAUGGUACUUUUAAAAGCACCAAGUAUUUGGCGCUUGUAGGUUUUUAGCCAUUAGAUCUACAUUAUUGACCAUUUACACCCGUUAAAUUAUACUAUUCAACCAACCACCCACUCAACCCUAGGAGGCCCACAUCAUUCUAACCAUACAUUUUUUAAUCCAAUGGCUGAAAAUCUACAAGUACCAAUGUCUUGAUACUUUAAAAAGCACAGAAGCUCAAUUAUAUAUAUAUGGCUGGGGCUACUAUACUCAUAUGAGUAUAGAGCCCUUUGUACUCAUAAGUUUUCGACCGUUCAGAUGAAAAAAUGUGCGGUUAGGAUGAAAGUGGUUACAGUUAGGUUGAUAGUGGGCCCCCUAGGGUUGAGUGAGUGGUUGGUUGAAUAGUAUAAUCUAACGGGUGAAAAUGAUUAAAGGGUAGAUCUAACGGCCAAAAACUUAUGAGUACAAUAGGCUCUAUACUUAUAUAUAUAUAUAGCAUAUAUAUAUAUAUAGUAUAUAUAGACAUAUAUAUAUAUACAAUAACAUAUACAUAAAUAUAUACAUAUACAUACACAUAUAUAAUAUACAUAUACAUAACAUACCAACAUAUACAUAUACAUAACAUACAUACAAUACAUAUACAUCCAUACAUACAUAUACAUACACAUACAUAUAUACAUAUACACUAUACAUACAUAAAUCAUACAUAUACACCAUACAUAUAUACAAUAUACAUAUACAUUACAUACAUAUAACAUAUAUCAUACAUACAUUACAUAUAUAGUUAUAUACUAUAUAUAUAUAUAUAAUAUAUAUAUAUAAUAUAUAUAUAUAUAAUAGUAUAUAUAUAUAUAUAUAUAUAUAUAUUGUAUGCUGUGCUAUAUAUUAUAUAUAUAUAUACAUAUAUAUAGAAUAAUACAUAUAAUAUAUAUAAUAUAUAUAUGUAUCUGUAAAUACAUAUAUAUAUAUAUGUAUAUAAUUAGUACAUACAUACAUAUAAUAAUUAUGUAAGUACAUAAUAAUAUAUAUUGUAUAUAUGUAUGUAGCAUACAACAUAUACUAUAUUAUGCUAUGUACAUACACUUCAUAUAUAUAUAUAUAUAUAUAUAUAUAUAAUGUAUGUACAUAUAUAUAUGUAUGUACUAAAAUAUCAAUUAUUAUGUAUUAGUAAAACUGACCUCUCUUUGUAAAUCUGAAAAACUAUCAAAAGCAGUCAAGCAAGCAGCAAUCGGACGUUCUCUCAAAAUAUUCAAAAUUUCUUCUUCAUUAUGUGUUCUUUCUAAAUUUGUUUGAAAAUUUUCAAUUGUCACCUUGUUUUCUGAAAAAUAGAAAUAUCAAAAAUUUAAUAAUUUUAUUUUAACACUAAACAAAUAUUAAAGUGUAAAUAAACUUACGUCUUCAUUUACUUGACAGUACCCUCUUCGCCCGAUAUAUGGACUAUCAACUUCCAAUGCAAUUCCAUGCAUUUUAAUAUAGUUCAGACAUUUCGAAUGACUGCAUUGAAUGCAUCCAACUGAAUCCAUAGAUAGCUCACUAGUAGAUGAAAAUCUAUGAUGAUAGCAGUUCACCAAUUCUUGUUUGGACAACUCAAUAAGCUCACCGUAUCUUCUUGCAUAUUCAGCUUCCACUAGGGUAGUGGACGAAAAUGCAUAGCAGCAUUCUUCAAAUAAUAAAUAAAAAGAAAAAGAAAAGUUUAUAAUCUAGUCAUUAUUCCAAUAAUUACACUAUUGAAUAUACUCACGACAUUCUUGUUGAUCUCCAACCUCAUGACGAAGUAUACCAUGCUGCCGUAAAUCAAAUGAUUCCUAUUAUAUUAACAAUAAAUAUAUAAGAGCGAUAAUAAACAAAUAUAUGUUAUGUUAACAAUUUAAUUAGUACAAUUUAAAUGAGGAAAAUAAUAAAAUUACAGUAUCAUUUAUAAUGACAUAUCUACUUCUAUAUCAUUAUCAUGUCGUUGACUAAUUCAAAAUUGAAAACAAUAAUGUUAAACUAUUUUAUUUUAUUUUAUUUUAAAAUAAUGACUAGACUUUUACUUAUUGCUCAUACACCCUGAAUUUUAUAGGGCACUCCACAUUUGGCCGCCCUUUCGUACGAGUUUUUGUGGUGCCCAACCUUGUGGAAGGGGCACUGGGGAAAGUUUCGAUACUGGAGCUUUUGCCAAAGCGCCCACUGGGCGGCCUGCUCAACCACAUCACAGGACCAAAUAGGCCCAUUGUUUGAUAUCAAACCAGGAAUGUAGUCCAUGCAAUAUGUGGAAUAAUAUUAAUUCAAAUUCUAAUCAUAAAUAUUAACAUUUUAUGAUAAUAAAAAUGUAAUUAUAGAAUAUAUAUAUAUAUAUAUAUAUAUAUUUAAGUAAAUUAGUAUUUUGUAAAAUAUAACUUAGUUCAUUAAUAUGAAAUUUAAAAUAAUGUAAUUUAAUUUUAUUGUCGAUUGCACUAAGAUAAUAUAGAUUUUAGAGUUUAAAUUUUAAAACAAUAAAUCUAGAUUGUAGAGCAGAAUAAAUUUUUACUAUAAAUUUCAAAUUUAGAAAAAUUAAUCUGUGUCAUAGGAUUUUACUAGAAUAAGUUUAUGACUAAGAAUUUAAAUUUAAAUAUAAUAAUAUGCGGCCGGAUUGAAUACAUGGAAAAAUAUAAUUUUGAAAUUGCACCACUCAGUAGUGCAAUGCUUUUAGGCAAACACAAUUUAAUAUAAAUAUUAACCAAUUAGGAAUUAGAUUGUUACUUGUUCUGAAUAAUCGACACAGACAAAAAUCAAUUUUAUAACAAAAUAAUGAAUUAGGUAUCCUACUAUUACUUAUUAGAAAUGAUCGAUAGAGAAAUGAUCUACGAAUUAAUACAGUUAAACCAAAGAAUUUCACAAUCUAAUACUAUGGCGUUGCCUACUACCAUUUUCAAAAAAACGAUAUUAAUUAAAAUUAUUGUUCCACUUUUUACUUGCCUGAAAAUAUUUUUUCCUAUAAUUUGAAAAGAAGAAUUUGGCAAAGCAAAAAAUUUUACGUAUGAUAAUAUGUUAUUACUAAUGUGAGCUCAUUGUAGAAGUUUAAAAAUUUACUGUAUGUGUGUAAUUCAAAAUAAUCCUAUUAGCAUGAGGGGUGUGCCGAAAUUUUACAAGUGAAUAGCCAUAAAAUGGCUCUCAUCAAGAGAAUUAAAAAUGUACUGAAAAGUAAUAACUUCUAUAGUAGUUUAUGGUCAAAAUUAACCAUACUGCAAACAAUUUCAUAUUAAUUUAAUGCGUCAAAAGUUUUUGUGAUGGAUUAGAAAAUUAAUACCAUGUUGGUGCAGGGACGAUACGCAGAGGAAAUCACUUAGCCUUUUUGUUUGGCAAUAAAAAACAGGAACUUCAAGUAUUUGUCUUAGUUGCAGGCAUAACAAACUAAUUUAACUUGAAAGCAUUACAACUUGAAUGCAUUACAUCAAGUAUUUGUGUUGCUUUUUCCCCCCUCCUCGCAUCCAAUUUGCAUGCAUCACAAGCAAAUUUAACAUGAAAGCAUUACAACGUGAAUGCAUCACAACUUCAACUUGCAAACUAUCCAGCAUACAUGGAUAUUGUAUGUGUAUUAUAGUUGUAACAUCCCAUACUUUUGUUCUUUUUACUUACCCUUCUUAAGUUAGAUUUUUCUGUAAAUAUUAAAAGUUGAGGAACUUGGCGAUAUUUUAUAGUAAUUAAUCUCUAGUUUCCUCUCUCCCUUUCCCUGUUGUGUAUGUACUAUAUUUGUAACGCCUAUACUUUUGUUCGUUUUGGGUCUUUUCUUGGAAGUUCGAUUUUCUUUUGUAAAUAUUAAAAAUUGAGAGGUUUAGCGGUAUUUUUUACUCAGCGAAUCGCUAUUUUUCUCUCUCUUUUUUGUUUCGAAUAAAUCCAGUCAUUCCGUCCCGGGGUAUUAUGUAGGCAAUGUCGGGCCGACACGAUCCACGUUAACAGGAUCGAACAGGCUAGGGCUCGGCACAACUUCAAAUCCGUGUUGGACCAUGCCAAACCGUGCUGGGUCGAAGCUACUCCACCCUAGCACGGCCCUCUAGCCUAGAAGGCAUGGGCCAUGAGGGACUACGCCGGUCUCCAAGCCGGCCCUUUAAAGUUGAUAUUGUUUUAUUUUAAAAAAAAGAUAUGUCAAAUUUAAAAAUAUGAAUAAUAAAAAAUUUAUUUUUGUUUAAAUUGAUAUUUUGAUUAAAAAUUUAAAAUUUAUAAAAAUAAUUAUAAAUAACAAAUAUAUAAAUAUUUUUUAAAAAAAUAUAUAAAUUGUUACUUUUUUUUUUUUUCUGAAAAAGAUUUGGUACAAUGGAAAAAAAAUUUGUUUGGUCUACUGAAUCAAAACCACUCCUGCCAAAAUCUGCAGUGGUAAACCUUGGAGAGGAGCUCCUAGGGAUAAGGGUCAAGCCCUUCUCUCGGCACAGCCCAUACAUGUUUUGGGCCGGGUUGUAUCAGACAUCGGGAAAAAAGGUAGAGGCCUAGCAUGGCCUGGAAGUUCGGGCCGGGCAGUGCCGGCAUGGAUUCUACAAACUCUAUGCCCUGCCGAGGUCGGCCCGAGGCAAUGCAGGGCCAGGCGGCCCACUGUUUUACAUUCCUAUUUCCAGCCCUCCCCCCUUCAUGAUUCUUUCUUAUCUUGUGUCCCGCCUCUCAUCGCCGUCAUAUGUGGCCGUUGCCACCACUAUAGCAGCGGCGCUCACUCUCAAUUAGCAUCUUUGGUUUCCGUCAAUGGCACCUAAGUCAUAAUUGUUUUCAUCUUAAAAGAGGUUCUUUCCUCUUCUUUUUGUCCUAAUAUCUAUUCUUGAAAAAAUCCAAUCUUGUAGUGUAUGUUAUUUAAAUAUUUUUAUAUAUUGUUCUCUUAAUGAUUAUAAUCAAAAUUAUUAAAAUUUGAUUUGUAUCAGUUCAAAAUUAAUAUUGAUUGUAUUGUUACUUUAACUUGUAUUUUUAUGAAAAUUUAGUUGUGUAAUUUUUCAUACAUUCUACAUGCUAUUCGGAAUUUCCUCUAGGUGUUCGACAAAAUUUGAUCUCAUCUAAUUACUAUAAUGAAUCGAUCGGACCUGCUAGCGAUAAUAACUCGUUGGACCCAAACUAUCGACGAAAAUGCUUAAACCUAAUUGUUAUUACUAUCUGACGUCGCACUAAUUGGGUAUCAUAGACUCCCUUUGGUCGAGCUCUAACGUCUUCCUCAACCCAAUCAGACGCACAUAGCCCAAGAUCACCGGGCGAUGUGAAACCUGUCUUACUAGCCAUGUCAUUCUCUGGCCAAGGCUUAGUCUGUUAUUUCGACGCUGGCACUGCGGAGACUCGUGUCAAAUUUUGACUGAUGAUUGUCUCUGAUACCAAAUAUAACGACCCGAAUGGAUCCGUAAUAAUAAUAACUUAUUAGACCCAAACCAAAGGUCGAAAAUGUUUAAGCCUAAUUAUUAUUAUUUGUAAUACCCCAGGAAUUAGAAUAAUCCUAUAUAUAAGAUAUAAACCUGUUAAUUCAACUAUAGCAUUUUAGGUAAUAGUUAGAUCCAAGAUGUUAAGAGAGUUAAACGCGCUAAGAUUAAAAUAAUCUUAGGAUGAGUGACCACCUAGGAAGUGGGUAGUCACAAUUAAUAUCAGAGCCAAUUAUUACCUAAAAUGCUAUAGUUGAAUUAACAGGUUUAUAUNUGUGAGAUAAGUUUCAGCUAAGCCAGAUUAUGCAGUGAGAAGAGUGAGGCUCUCUCCUGUUGAUGACUUUUAUAGGUAGAGUGUAGCUCUCCCAAAAGGUCAGCUAAGGCUAGCUCAACGAGUCUCAUAUCGCCUAGUACUUGUAAGUCUAAGGCUGAUGAGAAAGUCGGGACUUCAAAGGGAAGAGAAUGUGACAUCCCAAAAAUUAAAAAAGUCCUAUAUAUAAGAUAUAAUAAGGUUGAAACCUAUUAACCCAGCUAGAGUAAUAAACGAGCCGAACACGAGCUGGCUCACGAGCUGGCCAACGAACAAUAAGUUGAAAAAGAUUAGAUUGAAUAUACAUAAAAAAUAAAUUUAUAAAAUUUUAUCCAUUAGACUUUGAUCUAAUAGUUGAAACUUUAUAUAUAAAUGAGUCUUUUUAUAAUUAAGCUUGCAUUUGUAUUUUUAUUUUGCUAAAAAUUAAAUAAUAAAAAUAUAUAUUAUAUAUAAUUAUUUAUUUAUAUAUAAAAAAUAUAAAUUAAAUAAAUUAUAUAAAUAUAAAAUAUAUGUAUUCGAGCUGUUAUCAAGCCGAACACGAGCGAGCUGACCCCAGCUCGUGUUCCGCUCGUUUAUUAAACAAGCUGAAAAAUUCAGCUAAUGUUCGGCUCGUUUACUAAACGAGCGAUUCGAUCUCAAGCUCAUUUCGAACCGAACACGAACUGGCUCGCGAACAGCGAGCUGGAUUGCCACCCCUAAACCCAGCUAUAGCAUUUUGGGUAAUGGCUAGACCCAAAAAGUUAAGAGUGUUAAACAUGCUAGAACUAAAGUAAUCCUAAGAUGGAUGUCCCUUUGGCAAGUGGGGCGUUACUAUUCGCAUCACAGCUAAUGUGGCCAAAACUCUUAACUCCACUAUAGCAUGUUGCGCGGUGAUUAGACUCAAGGGUUAAGAAGGUUAAGCAUACUAGAACUGGAGUAGUUCUAGGGUGGGUGACCCCCUGUGGUGAGACAAAGUCUCACGUUGCCAAUGAUUGUAAGUUUUUAAGCCCAACUAUAGUAUUUUGGGCGGUGGCUAAGCCCAAGAGAAUAAGAGAGUUAAACAUGCUAGGGCUAAAUUAGUCCUAGGAUAGGUGAUCUCCUGGGAAGCACAGGUGGUAUCAGACCCAAUUACCAACUGAAAGUAUGAGAUGAGUUUCGGUCGAGCUAGAAUAUUUCAGUAGAAAGAGUGAGGCUCCCAUGCUAAUAACUGUUGUAGGUAAAGCACAUCUCUCUACAACAUCAGUUAAGGCUAGUGAGAUAAGUCUCAUAUUGUCUGAUACUUGCGAGUUUGAGUCUAACGAAAACAUCAGGGCUUAAAGGGAAAAGAAUGUGACAAACAGUCAUAUAUAUAAGAUAUAAUAAAGCUAAAAUUCUUAACUCAAUUAUAACAUGUUGGGCGGUGGUAAGGCUCCAGGAUUUAGAAGGUUAAUCAUGUUAGAACUAGAGUAAUUCUAGGAUAGGUGACCCCUCUAGGAAAUGGGGCGAUUGGCUAAGGCUAGCAACAGAAAGUCUCAUGUUGCCAUGUGGUUGUGUAUUUCUAAACGCAGCUAUAAUAUUUUAGUCGGUGGCUAAGCCCAAGAGAUCAAGAGAGUCAAGUGUGCUAAGGCUAGAGUAGUCUUAGGAUGGGUAACCCCCUGGGAAGUGAAACGUCACAGUUGGUAUCAAAGCCAAUUACCAGCCAGCAAUGUGAGAUGAGUUUCAGCUGAGCUAGGUUAUGCAGCGAGGAGAGCGAGGCUCUUAUACUAAUGACUAGUCAUGGGUAAAGUGUGGAUCCCCACAAAGUCAGUAAGGCUAGCGAGACGGGUCUCACAUCGCCUGAUACUUGUGAGUCUAAGCCUGAUUAGGACAUCAAGGCUUCAAAGGGAUGACAGUAUAACACCCUAUGAAUUAGAAUAAUCCUAUACAUAAGAUAUAAUAGGGUUAUAUUAGCCAGGCUAAAGCAUUUUGGAUGAUAGCUAAAUCCAAGUGGACAAAAAAGUUAAGCGUACUAGGGCUAAAGUAAUCCUAGAAUAAGUGACCCCCUGGAAAGUUGGGCGUCAAACCUAAUCACCAACCAAUAUGCUAUAACUAAGUUAAGAGUUUUAGCCCUAAUAUAUCUUAUAUAUAUGCUACUUGAAGUCUAGUUAACCUGAGUGGUCAGUGCUUGCAUACUCGUGUUGAUGUUGACCUUAUACAUCGUAGUUGACCUAAGUGGUCGGUGAUCAUAUACCCGUGUUGUUUUGAUGAUCUAUUGGUCGGUGUUCCCUGAGGGGUUAUGAUUAUUGGCUAUUCGUCGACAGAUGGCUAUUGAUCAUAUUCGCAUCGAUCGCCAUAGCUCGAAAGUAUUUCACAAAUACCAACGAUCUGAUCCACCACAAAAGGGUGUUCUCUUCUAGAAAAAUGGUCGUACUUCCUACUCAUAAGCCCUAUGGGGUGCCUAAUGGGGUUACAUGCCAAAUAGGGCAGGUAUGGCUUGCCUGAGGUCUUUAGACCGACAUAGCAGCAGAUUGUUCAUCCGGUUGACGCAUAUUAGUUACAGUAGCAGUUGUUGCAUUGUACUAUUCAUGUUCUUUCACUUAUGCUAUUGUAGACUCUUCUUCACAUAUACUCGGUUAACAGUGAGUACACUCGCCUUCGUCGAUUUGCGGUACCCACUGGAAAACCUUUCCUUGGUUUCUCACUCCCUAUUUUUACAAGUGAUGUGGGUGGGAGUUAUCAGGACACCACGUGAGGCUGUAGAUGGUGAGCUUGUGAUAGAGGUCCCGACCUACGGUAUAAUUUUUGGAUUGUUCUCAUACUUUAUACAUAUCAUUAGAUAGACAUUGUUGAUAGUUCAGAUUCUAUUCCUUACACAUGAUAAUAGUUAGACAGAUUUGUUGUUCAGUUAAUGUCUAUACUUAUGAGAUUUUGGUUACCCAUGAGAUUUUGGAUACUUGUAGAUUUUGGAAACUCGAGGUCUUGAUUACUUAUGCAUUCUAGAAUUGGACUUCGAAUGAUGGUUUUCUACCCCUUGUGAUAGCGUGUUUUUGGAAACGAUUUUCAAAAUAGUUUUUCGGCUUUUAGUGAAGUUAGAAUUUUAAAAUAAAGUCUUCGUGUGGGAGACGCCUUCCACUGAUAGGAAUGAAUGUGAAAUGAAUGUGGAAUGGUUGUGACUAAGGACCGCUAACUGUUUGAUGUCGAAACUUAUGGAAUGUUGAUCCUUAUUCAUUGUAAAUGCUCGUGUGUGUGAGCAGAUGUCAUGGUUGUCACUUGUACUAUGUGCUAUGCCUAUCGAAGAGACUCUGUCCAUUUGAAUAGAGAAUUUUCUGUAUUAGUGGUGGGUCUGUUACAUCCCUAGAUAAAGGUUAGAAAAAAAUAGCAGUUUUCCACUAACUCUGGUUUACAAAAGGUAGCCUGAUUUCAAAUGGCUUAUUAAAAGGACUCCGAGGCACAACAGAUUAAGGUGGUCUUAGAGUGAAGGUCACAACUACGAUGUCACUCGCGAUUUUUCUUAAAAAUUAAACUGGACCACUGGUUAGGUUGACCUAUAGGGAAACCUAAAGUAUUAGGAACGUGAAUGCGGGGUGUUUGGGCUUGAGUUCUGAUGUGUGUGUCAAGUCGAGUAGAUCGUUUGAUGGUGUUUUUUUGACGUGUAGAUGGCACAUGGUAGGCCCUCUCGACCGAGCCAUGGUGGUAGACACGCAGGUGCUGAGGCAUCUGGUAGUACUCAGGAGUGUACCUCUACUCAUAGAGGUGGUGGCGGAUGGGCACUGGGCGACAUGGUGGAGCUCACACCCGCCAGUUGAAGACUCAGGUGGCAGAUCUUGCACGCCAAUUAGUGGCCCUUGCUAGCUCGGUCGAGCAGCUCUUGCAAUAGCAGACUCCAAAUGCUGCUACUCAGGCCCCACCUUCGGCGCAGGGCAUUAAAGUGACCGUGGACCUUCCUACUGUGUCUGCACCUACCUCGACCACAAUUGUUGCCACUCAUGCCUUACCUGUUAGGCCAAGCACUGAGACAACUGCAGACCCUCCAGCGGUGUCCGCCUUGAUUGUGACCAUAGCCGCGACGAUGACCACGACUACUUCUGCUAGGGGUGCUACCCCUCUGGCAGUGAAAGGUGCCCAUAUCCGGGUGAAGUUGGUGGAGUUCCAAAAGUUCAACUUGCCGAAGUUCGCGAAAAAGACAAAUAAUGUGUGGGCCAUAGAGAGAUAGGUCACCCACAUGGAGAAGCUCUUCCAAGACCUAUAUAUUGAGGAGCAGGACAAGGUCGCCCUCACUGGGGGUGAAGCGGAUGACUGGUGAAGGCCGUAUCGGGAAGGCCAUUUGCCACUAUGUAUCCAUCCUGGAAGAAGUUCCUAGAGCUACUCUACUGCCACUACUUCAAAGAUAGCACCAAGCAGAAUCUUAAGCGCGAGCUCGAGCAGCUCAAGUAGAGGAACCGAACUGUAGCGGAGUGUGAGCGAGACUUCUCUCGCAUUCUUGGGCUGAUCCCCUUAUGGCUCGCGAUGAGUACUACAAAGGCCAGUUGUUCAUCAAAGGGUGAAGCCCAGCUUCAGGAAGCUGCUUUCCUCUUACGGCACACUAACUUUCGACGAUGCUCUAGAUCUGGUCUAGAUGAUCCAAAGCGAGAUGGACAAGAUGCAACUUGAGCGGUGGCUUCUCCUCCAGCAUAAGGCCACCAAAGCAUUCAUGCUCAGUGAUGGAUGUGGAAUGGUUGUGACUAAGGACCACUAGCUGUAUGAUGCGAAAACUUAUGGAAUGUUGAUCCUUAUUCAUUUUAAAUGUUGGUGCGUGUGAGUGGACUUCAUGGUUGUCACUUAUACUAUAUGCUACGCCGUGCAAAUACAAGAAAGACUUUGUUCAAUUAAAUAAAAAAUUUUCUGUAUUUGUGGCGGGUCUGUUACAUCCCCGAAUAAAGGUUAGAAUAAAAGGGCACUUUUCCACUAACUCUGAUUUACAAAAAAAUAGUUUGAUUUUCAAAAUGGCUUAUUAAAGAGACCACCAGGCGUGACAUAUUUGCAAAUAUUUAUAACAACAUUGUUAACCUACAUGAGCCUAUACUAAUUUUCUUGCUUGUGCACUACUGCAAUAAAUAGCUUAGUUCUAUUUUUGAUGAGUCAAAUCUCAUUUUGAAAACUCAAUCAGAAACCGGUAGAUUUUGAUUGUUCAUUUCUUACUUUGUGCUUUUGAUGUUAGUUCAUUUACUAUUUUAGGUGCUAUUGACGCCCUACUUCUCAAAAGGUCACCCAUCCUAGGGCUAUUCUAGUCCUAGCAUACUUAACCCUCUUAACCUUUUGGGUUUAACCACCUCCCCAAAUGUUGUAACUGAAUUAAGAGUUUUAGUCCUAUUAUAUCUUAUAAAUAGGACUGUCCAGGGUCUCACAUUCUCUCCUCCUUAAGCCCUGACAUUCACGUCAAGCUCAAAUUCACAAGUAUCAGGCAAUAUGAUACUUGUCUCUCUAACCUUAACCGACCUUGUGGGAGAGCUGUGUUUUACUUCCAAUAGUCAUCAACAUAAGAGCCUGGCUCUCCCCGCUGUGUAGUCUGGCUCAGUUGAGACUGAUCUCAUACUUCCAGCUGGUAAUUGACUCUAGUACAAACUGUAACAUCCCACUUCCUAGUGGGUCACCCCAUCUUAGAAUUACUCUAGUUCUAACACGCUUAACCUUUUUAACCUUUUGGGUUUAGGUGCCGCCCAAAAUGUUAUAAUCAGGUUAAGAGUUUUAGUCCUAUUGUAGCUUAUAUAUCGGACUACCUAUGGUCUCACAUCUAUUCAUUAGAUUGAUAAUGUGAAUGUAAUCUUCUCCUUCUACAUAUUUUUUUCAACCUUAUAGUUUUAUUUUAGUAUCUUAUAGAAAAUCGAAUAUCGUAAUUUAGAUUCUAGUGAUUGACUCGCCAUACAUUUUUGCCUAGUAAGCUUCAUAACUUAGAAGCAACUUAAGAUAAGCGAUCAGGCACCCGUUAGUUUUUUGAUAUAAUACAAAAAAACGGUCUGAUAAUAAGAAAAUUUCUAUUUUUUAGAUUUUUAAAACUAAGGAUUACGCGUAUUAUUAUAGACUUCUGAAAAAAAAAAAAUUUCAACUUUGACCGACAGGUUCUUAUGAUAAAAGACUUCUAAAAUUUCAUAAUAUCUUAUGUAAAUUAGUGGCUGGAUAAAAAUUUUCAAUUAUAAUAUCUUUUGAUAUUCUGAUACACUAAUAUUGACUAUGUCAAAUACACUAAUAUUGACUAUGUCAAUAUGUAUUCUGUUAUAAAAAGUAGCUUCGUCUUUAUAUUGCACCUCCUAAUGCCUGUAACUAUUAGCGUCUCUAUUUUGUAUUUGCGCUUUCGAGCGCCUCUGAUCUAUAUAUACACCAUCUAGUGCCUCUGUUCUAUAUUUGCACUUAUGUUUGUCUCCGGACCUCGCCAAUAGGUCACUCGAUAUAGGCACCUAAAUGACAAUUAAAAUCAAGCAAUCCAAGUGAAAUGAGCAAAUCAGGAAAUUAGACAGCAUCCUCUGCUAAAAUGCCAAACUAGUUCUCCCAAGAUUGAAUUAAACUGCACCCUCUUGCAAAUAUUCAAAAACAAGAAUCACUCUUAGGUCCCAGUUUAACUUUCUUUACUGAUAUUAAAUUGUCAAAAAGAGAUAAAAUGUACAUCUUCAAGAGGAAAAGAGAAGAAAACCAAAGAGACAGUGAAACUAUUUAGGAAUUACUCAAAAGUGAUCUUGAAGAUUAAUGAGUGAGAGUUAAGUAGGCAGUUGUAGAAAUACACCUGAAAAGGAUCUCUUUCUCACAAAAAUAAAGGCAUGCAAAUUGGUUCAACAAGUAAAAUCAGCACACUGUUAUAUUUCAAGUUUUCAACUGUGUCAUUCGGACAACUAUCCGAUCAGAAAUUAGUAAAAGUCAAUACUGCUGAGAAUAACAGAGCAGUGUAUCUGCCCAGGCCAUAUGUUUUAUUCUCAAAAUUGUUGUUUUCUUACAAAAAACCUUACACAGAGCUAAAUUUGAUUCUUCACAAGACCACCAUUAAAUUCCCAAUUUAAAGUAAAAGAGGCAGCUUCUGUUUGUCAUAAUACUGCAAAGACGAUAAAAUUCUACACAUUCAUAUAGCAUCAAAAGAAGAGAACAGAAACUAAACUGCUAAAGAUCCUAGAUGAUUGCACCAGAAAGUUGGUUAAAAAAAAAGGAGCGAAGCAAAGAAAACUGUUUUCCUGUGUUUUGCUCAACCAAACAGCACUCAAGUAGCGAUGGUCCAGUGUGGAGCAUGUUUACUCAACCUACAGAACAUUUGAGAAGAUAAUGACAUGGUCAUUAAGAUAUUAAAAGAUACAUGUAUUGCUCAUAGGUAAAAAUAUGUAAAGAAACAAGUGUUGCCUAUUACAUUUCAGUAGUUACAGACCGACAUUAAGAUCACAUGGAACAUGCUAUUCAGCAUUACAUCAGGAAUACUCUCAGCAAAUCAGUAAAAGCCCAUUAAACAACAAUCGAUGAUCAGAAAAUUAGCUUAAGAUCUCUUCGUGAAUCCCAUGAAAGCGUUGUCUAAUUUCCUCAUUUGAAGGCAAAGAAAUCACCAAUUGGAAACUUUGGAUUAAAUUUACAACUAAUGGUGGUAGUUGAAUUUUUUCAUGAGACAAAAUUCAGCAACAAUGAGGAUAAAUAGAAACCAAACAAAUAAUAAUCGACCAUGGAUGACACCAAGCUUUAGAAGCACAAUUACAAGAUAAAUGGAAUAAAUGGUUUUAGCAUAUGAAACAUCAUUCUCCUUUCGUGCAACAUCUUGUACGUCACAUGGUUUCCAAGUUACAAGCAACAGUCACCUCCUCAACAAGUUUUUCUGUCUAGUUAGUGUUCCCUGUUCUCAUAUGCAGCAUAAAACCAUGCAAACAGAUGUUUCACGAGAGGGGAUAACAUUAAGAAUUAUACACAACUUUCUUAUAGGAUAGAAUAUAGCAACUCAAAGCAAGAAAUGAUUUUGUAAGGAGGCAAUAGAAGAACCAAAGUACAUAGCAGCUCAAAGAUAUAUCUAAUACACAGCUGAAUACAAAAAUUAAAAGCACCAUUAUCUGAUAGGUUAAGCUUUUGAAGAACAACGGUUGUUUUCACAUUGUUUAACAUGGUAUAAGAGCAAUAGGUCCUGAGUUUGAAUCUCGCCGGGCUCCUUGCAUAAUCACUCAUUUAAUUCAAGUCCACAUCUUGGAGUAUCAAGUAGAAGUGAGAGGAGUGUUGCAUAUAAAAAUUAAAAACAUCAUUCUCUGAUAGUUUAAGCGUUUUCGAGAACAACAGUUGUUUUCAUAUUAUUUAACAAAUAUUUACUUAAUAGUUAACUUAUAUAUAUGACCUUGACUUUUCCAAUAAUUUCAAUAAAACCCUAAAUAUAUAUCAUGCAAGGUAAAUUAUCCGACUUUUCUUCAUAAAAGUCCCACUAACUUUUUUUUCAGAAGAAUUGUUAGUUCGCAAUUUUAAUGGGUUAUUCUCCUUGACUUUAGGUUGAAAAGCACCAAACACAUAAAUUGUCGUAGAAAUUCGAUCAUAUAGUCUUCUCCCACGUAAAUUUUCCUGAAAUGACAGCUCAAUUAACAAGAUCAACAACUAAUUUGUGCAAGUUUUGGACACAGGGCUUUUGAUGAUUAUAUGACAUCAAUUGACUUAUUAAAGGGUUAAUUCAUCCAAUAUAAAGAUGAACCUUUCACCAAUAAUAUAAUUAUUAGGAUGUUGCAUUCUUGUCCAAAACCAAUAUCCUUAUAAUCCAUAUUGCACCAUCUGGGACAAGGAUACCUAUAUUUUGUAAUAUCUAUAUCUGAUCCCCAUUUGCAAGCAAUUGCUUAAACUUCAUCUGACUGAAGUUUUGCUUUUUUAUGUUUAUUCUCCCUAGUCAUAUGCCAGUCCUGCUUUGCUUGUGCUGAUAACCAUGUGUUACCCUUAUUGACCAUACAUGUAGAGUACUAGACCUUGACAAAUAGGCAAAAUUGUAGUCUGGGUCACUGGUCAGCAUGUUCUUAUAGUGCUUGACUGAGCUGGAGACAUUUAGGCGCCAAAUAGACACGAAAACAAACUGAGAAAUUGAAUUCUGCUCAAGUUGUGCUGGCUGGUGCAAUUUUCGGACGCCCAAAAAGCUGUUUAGGGCACCCAAAAUAGGUGAGCAUAGGAACAGCAUCAUUCAGACCCUUUUUUGGACCGCCAAGCAGUGAGGCAGCACCUAGUGUGAGGAUUUGGGAGGUUCCAAGCGACUGAAUCAAGGUUUUGGGUGCCCGAAUUCCUCCAUUUUGGCUAGAAUGGUAUAGUUUGAAGCAUAGAGGACUUUUCGGCAUAUUAUUACAUCCUAAAGUGGAUUCCAGCACUGCAUCUAAGUAGCCUUUCAUCCUUAUCUUCUCUGCCAACCAUUUCUAGAGAGAUAAAGAGAGAGAAGAGAAGAGGAGAUUUUGGGUGGUUGGACGAGCUGAUCAAGCACGUGCGCGAGUAGGAUUUUUUCGGCAUUUCCAUAUGGAGGUUAGCAUUAUAAUGUUAUUAUUACUUUUUUCAUUCGACAUUUUUAGUGGAUUCUUGACAGUAGAUCUUAGGAGAAGAGGUUUUGUUGGGCCUUUGUGCAAAUUGAGAUUUAAAAAUGGUUUAUAUGAGUUUUAGGAGCCGAUUUCGCCAAGGAAAAUUUCAGGCUUAUUGGAGGUGUUGUGGCUGCCGUACGACUAGUAGAGUAGCAGCGGAUCACCUCAAUUCUCCGAUAACUAUUCUGUUUCUUGGAUUCGUGAUCUAGGUGGGUUCUAUGUCACCGAACAACGUAUUUCCUUCUAUGUCUAGUUGCACGUACAUGUAUGUGUAAUAUGCAUAUAAAUAUGUUGGUAGAAAGUUAUGAUAGCAUGGAAUUGAGUAGAGGGAAUUGAUUUAUUGUGUAUACAUGAGUACUAAUCGAUGCUAGGCUAUACAAACAAUAGGUCACGUUACCUUAGCACAUUGGGUUCCUACUAUCGUUGUAUAUUGUCUAUAUAUUAGGUUAGGUCGAGAGAGACCAUUGGACUCAUAUGCUUAGAUUGUGAAUUAUAUACUAAUUAAUUGCAUCUUUAUACACUAAAUAGUUGUUAUGCUGGAAGAUAAGAGAAAAUGACUAGAGAGCUUUUGAGUAAGUGAUUUAGUAGCUGCAGAUCAGCUAAUUCCCAAGUGCUGACAUAUUGCUUCUAUGAUGUUAAGCCAAGAGGGGCCAUUGAACAUGUUUAUGUAUUGAUUAUUUGUAUGAUACAUAUUAUGACUUAUGUGAUAGAAGCUGCGGGUUAGGACAACGGCAGUGAACAGGUUUUCGACACCGAGAGGUAUGUGAUGGAUUUAUUGUACAUAUGAAUUAGUAGACACUCUAUGAUUGUGCUAAGGUCACUAAAUUGCUUACUUCUGAUCUUUUGGACACUGAGAGGUAUGGUACGAGAGUUUUGAUGUUAACCACCGGCAGGUUUGAAGAGAAAGACAUGUUACAACCGAGAGAAAAAAAAAAAAAUCCACCACGAGAGAGACAAAUCCGAAAAAUAGACCAAGUAAUCACAGAUCCGAAAAAUAGACCAAGGAAUCACAGAUCUAGAGGAAAGAGGAAAAGUGAGUCAGAGUUGAACCAGAGAAGAACCGAGUAGUACUUGAGAUCAACCAGGCGACACCAGCAAGCGGCACCAACGAGAUAAGAAGAAACCAGUGACACCAAGGAUGCCUCGGGUGACACCAGUGGCAGUAGGGAUGCACCGAGCGGCACCAGAGAGAACCAGCGACAGCAGGGAUGCACCGGGCGGCACCAGAGAGAACCAGCAGACCGAGCGGCGCCAAAGAGAAUCAACGACAGCAAGGAUGCACUGGGCGGCACCAGAGAGAACCAACGGCAGCAAGGAUAAGAAUAACAAGAGGAAAAACACCUAUGGGGAAUGUGUGAUUUGUGGUGGAAGAUGGUUAUAGAUCAAUAUCCCCAUAUUAGGGUUUUUGGCUCUGAUACCAUGAUAGAAAGGCAAAAGAGCGUACCCUCUUGGGUUCUAUUAAUAAAAUUAUAUAGUACAAAAGAUAAGUCUACUAUAGUAACAAUGCCUACUAUAGUAACAAUACAACUAGGAUUACAUACCAUAUAAUCCUAUAUCAUACCAUAUAAUCCUACUCUAAAUAUGUUGUAAUAUACAAUAUCCAAACAUAGUAUAAGAUACUAAAUAUGUCGUAACAGGCAGUGGCGGCGGCAGCAACCCAAUAGAAGGAAGGUUCACUGCUAUAUAUAUAGACAGAGAGAGAAGGAGAGACCAAGGGAGGAGCCUCGCUGAAAUGGGGUCACCGGCAAGGUACGGAGGGAGUGGCCGUGGCUGCACAGGGAGAGUGCUAGGGUUUAGGUUUAGAAAUAUAUCUAUAUAAAUAUAUAUACAGACGCAUAUACGUACACUAUAUAUAUACGCAUAUAUAUAUCCUCUUGUGUAAAAAUCACAACUUACUCCUCUGCCAGCCCCCUUUUGCACAUAACUCCAUACCACAGCCCAAAUUGCACAUAAAAUUUCAUAGUAUUUCACAUAAAAUUUUGAAAUUCUAGCAAAAAGAUCCUCCAUUUGGUUCUCUCUCAAAACUUCUAAUAAGUGCCAUCUUGCACAAAACAUUUGAAAUUUCGUGAGACUUCAGUCCAUGCGUAUGCGUCUAGUUUCACAUGAGUCCUUCCGUUCGUGAAAAUUCCAACAUUUCUCACAUAAAAUGAUAAGCCCUUCACACUUUGCCCCUUUAUCCAUUUUGCAAAGAUUGCAAUUUAAUCCCUCAUAUUCACAGUUUCAUACCCAAAACUCAUCGAUAGGUGUGUUUUGCUCAUAAGUUCCUCCACCUCAAAAAUUCGGUUACUCAAAAUACGAAAUGUUGUGUUUUUUAAAUAAAAACUCCAUUUCAAUUAUUUUGCUCGCAUCUUUUUUCAUCUCCGAUCAUUCACCCUAUCACGCAAAAUUUCACCGAGAUCCCUCACAGGACUGACAGCACCAACAAGCCAUAUAAGUGACAAUUUUCGUUUUGUAGAAAAUUGCUCUAAAUUGCAUUAUAGUACGCCAUCGUUAGGAAAUUUGCUAUUACAUACUUCGGGUUCUAUAGUUGUGCUUACGUGAUGGUAGCUAGAGUUGUGUGAUUCAUGUACAGUGAUGUUUUAUAGUAUCAGUUUUAUAUAUGGCUCUGAUACAGGAUUAGAUAAUUAGUUGUGGACUCUAGGAAUUACUAGUUAUAGAAACUAGGGUUGCUUUACUAUUACUUCUGUUGGUUGGACGCUUCGUAUGUGCAGGAUCUAUGUAAAUACGGCGGUCUGUUAACAUACCCGUGGGUUUCUGCUGUGAAACUGAGGCAUGAUAAUGCAACAUAUAAACGAUGUUAUGCGCGAACGGCACACCAGCAUGUCCUAUGCAUGUGGCACGACAAUCCUUAUUAAUAAGUAUCAAAAUAAAUAGGAAAUGCUCAGGUAACUUCAAAACUAAUCAAACAAAUUUGUAAACCAUACAAACAGAUAAAUAAACAUAUAUCUUUGACUAACCAGCAACUGGCUUAAGCCUGCAAAAGGAAACUCGAAUGUCGUGGCGUAUUCCAUAAAAAACCUUCGCUUGGAAUGUUUUUGGACUGCUUCCACCAUCAGUUGCUUGGAAAGUGAUGUUGUACCAGUAUCCAGCUGCAACAAUACACGUCGUCUUUUCUAUCUUCACAAAUUCAUAACUUGUCGCCUAUGUCAUAAAAGAGUGUCAUAAAGGAAAUUCCAAAAGCAAUUCCACCAAGAAAAAAGGAAAGUAAAAGAAAUAAAUAAUAGGAAAAAAAUACAAAACAGAAUAUAGACUUACAUUUUCCUUAUUAAACUGUUCGAUUGCUGAUUUGGUACAUCUGAUAAGACCUUCAUCCUCGAAAUUCGUUAAAGCAGUAAGACCAAACUCAAAAGUGUCUGGAGAUGGAUCAACAUCAAAUCCCUAUAAAAUGUAUAUAACAAACAUUAGGAAGGAAAAAUUAUUUUGAAUCUUUGAAUCCUAAAAUGAAGAUGAUAGUUGUUAAAUACCUCGCUUUCCUUGAUUUGUUUAUAGUACCUCGCCCAUUCUUCACGAGUCCUUCUACGUUUACCAUCUGGCCAGACAUAAUCAUCAUCUUCACCAGACGUAUACUCAUAAACCCUCUGUUCUUCCUCUUGCUUUUUCUCUUCCUGCACCUCACUCUCGUCAUCCUUUCUCUCUUCCUUCACCUCGUCACGUGCAUUGUACGAUCUCAAUUUCUUCUUCUCUUUCAGUGGUUCCUCAAGUAAUGGUCUCUUAGCAUUCCGACUGCAUAACACAAUAAAGCAUAUCAAUUUACAAUUUGAUAGAGAAUCAAGAUAUGCAUUAAAAAAAUUUUAAUUUCUAUCAAAACGAGUACAACUUCAAAAUAAACUAUUUCACAUUUGAAUGAAAUACCUUUGUUAAAGUAUGGUUAUUUUUUUAUUUCCAUUCGUAUUUCUUUUGAGUCAUAAUAUACAGAGAAUGAAGCUAUACUACUUUAACAGUAAACAAUAAUAUUUACUAUCUAAUUUCUAAUACUUAGGGUUUAGUAGCGGUAGGUAGAAGAGUAUUGAUCUAAGGGCUCGAAAAUCGAUACAGACACAUAUAUAUAUAAAUAUACAUUAUACAUAUACAUAUACAUACACACAUAUAUACAUAUAUAUAUAUAUAUAUAUAUAUAUAUAUAUAUAUAUAUAUAUAUAUAUAUAUAUGUAUGUUAAUAGAGUUAUAUGUAUAUUUAUGUAUAUUGAUAGAGUUCGCUAGGGUGCUUCCAAUAGAACUAAUGUGAUGCCCCACGUCCCAAGAGGUCACCCAUUCUAGGACUACUCCAGCCCUAGUUCUUAACCUCUUGGGCCACAGCCCAAAAUUCAAUAACCGGAUUAAGAGUUUUAGUCCUAUUAUAUCUUAUAUAUUGGACUAUUUGGGGUCUCACAUUCUCUCCCCCUCUAAGCCCUGACGUUCUCGUAAGACUCAAACUCACAAGCAGCAGGCAAUGUGAGACUCGUCUCGCUGGUCUUAACCGACUUUGUAGGGGAACUACAUUCAACCCACAACAGUCAUCAGCAUGAGAGCCUCGAUCUCCCCACUGUAUAACCUGGCUCAAUUGAGACUCACCUCACACUUCCGGUUGGUAAUUGGCUCUGAUAUCAACUGUGGCGCCCCACUUCCCAGGGGGUCACCCAUCCUAGAAUUACUCUAACCCUAGAACGCUUAACUCUCUUAACCUCUUGGGCCUAGCCACCAUCCAAAAUGCUAUAGCCGGGUUAAGAGUUUUUGUCCUAUUAUAUUUUAUAUGUAGAACUACCUGGGGUCUCACAACCAAGCACUUGGUGCUAUCAUUCCACUAUUAGAUCGAUCCCUUUGACGAAUUCUACCCUUUAGAUCAUGCCACUCCACCAACCAUCAACUAAACCCUAGGGGACCAUUAUCAUCUUAACCCUACAAAUCUUUAUCCAAGGCUGAACAGCACCAAUGACUGUGCUAUUAGAAGCAUUCUAGCCUAGCGCUCUCUCUCUCUCUCUCUAAAAUACUAUCGGUAACAAACGGGCUCUGUUGCUUGCUAUUAAUGAUGAAGCUUCCAAAUGGACAAUCGAUACCGUUGAACAUGAUUGUGACCACUGGAAGUAUCUAAAAACCAAAUUUCAAGUGGACACAAAAAUAAACUGCUAAAAGAAAAUAUCUUUCAAAAAGUGAUGAUAGAAUUCUUAUAAUCAAGAUCUAGAGUAUAGAUCUUAUUUUAAAUAGUUUAAACAAUUUAUUAAAUAAAUUUAAUUGAUUUAAAUUUUUUUACACCAUUAAACGAGCAAACGCCUCAUAUCAACCAUCAAAAGUACAAAUUUUGGAACCUUAUGAUCAUUUAGUCAACGAUGUCAAAAACAUUUGAACUUUGAUUUCUAGAUACUUCAAAUGGUAUAGAUCAUAUUUAACAGUGCUGAUCGUCGAUUCGGAAGCUCCAUCAUCGAAAACAAAACCGAAAGCAACAAAGCCCAUUUGCUAUUGAUAUUAUUCUAGCCGAAGUCUAUAUAUAAGUAUAUAUAGUUACAUACAUACAUACAUACAUACAUACAUACAUAUAUAUAUAAUUAUGCUACUGUACUAUCGAUAGUACCAAACGAUUGGUGCUAUCGAGUUUUCGGCCCUUGGAUGAAGAGAUGUGCGGUUAGGAUAAUAGUGGUCCCCGAUAAGAAUGAUAGUGGUCCCCUAGCGUUGAGUGGGUGAUUGGUUGAAUAGUAUGAUCUAACAGGUUGAAGUGGUCAAAAGAGUAGAUCUGGCGGUAGAAAACUCCCUAGCACUAAAUGCUUGGUACCAUCGAUAGUGUCGUAGCCGAACCAUAUAUGUAGUGUAGAGCUACUAUACUUUCGGAAAUAUAAAGGAGUAAGUGCUUAUGACUUUUUAGAUCUCGAAUCAAAGACUAUAUUGUUGGGAUAACAAUGGUCCCUCUUGGGUUUAGUGGUCCUCCUAGGGGGAAUAAUAUUCAUCCAAGGGUUAGAAAUGAUCAAAAGGAUUAAUCCAAAGGUAAAAACUUGGAAACACUAAUUCCUUUAUGCUUCCAGAAUAUAUAUAUAUAUAUAUAUAUAUAUAUAUAUAUAUAUAUAUAUAUAUAUAUAUAUAGCACCAAGUUGUUGGCACUUUUGGGUUUUAGGCCCUUGGAUUAAGGAUAGUAGGGUUAGUAUGAUAGUGUUUCUCCGAGGGUAUAGUAGUUGUUGGUGGAGUAAUAUGAUCUAAGGAUAGAAAUGAUCAAAGGAGCAGAUCUAAUGGUGGAAAAACUGGUAGCACAAAGUGUUUGAUGCUAUUAGAAGCACCCAAUCGGACUCCCUCUCUCCCUCCCUCUUUAUAUGUAGAACUGGGCUUGAAUUCUUCUAACUGCUCUAAGUCAUUUGUGCUUAUGGGUUUUCGACCCUCAGUGAAGGGUUGUCUAGUUAGGAUGGUAGCGGUCUCCAAGUCAUUGGUGCUUAGUGGUGGUUGGUAGAAUAGCAUGAUCAAAAGGACAAAAAUGGUCAAAGGGGCAAAUCUAAUGGUGGAGAAGCUCGUAGCACAAAAUGCUUGGUUAGGUAUCCCUAUCGAUAGUAUGGAAGCCUUACUACUAAGUUAUUUUCGAUGAUAGGACAUCCAAAUUAAUGAUCAGUUUCAUUAGAUAUGAGCUACACUAUUGGAUUUUUUUUAUCAACAAUAUUUAACAAGUGACCGAAAGAUCUGAAAAUUGACAAUUUCAAUUGCAGCCGAUUCAUUUGUGAGUUAACAAUGUAGAAUACUCAAAAUCCAGUGAAAUUUUGAUGGACGAUUCUUUUCAAUGUUUAGAGAAAGAUCAGUACAUCUGAUUUGAUAUGCAAGCCUUUUAUCAUUGUCUAUUAUGAGAUUUUUACUUUUAACUGUUCAUUUGGAGACUAUUCGUUUUAAAUGUAUAUGAUAUUGAUAAAUCAGGAAAAUUGGUUUCUAGAUAAUUCCAACAAAUUAUGUAUAACGAAACCAAUCAUCCCUUCAGAUGUCCCAUCAUUUAAUAUAGAGGUCUUCACGGUACGGAUAGUAUUCUAGCCUAAUUCUAUAUAUAUAUAGAUAUAUAUACGUACAUACGUACAUACAUACAUACAUAUAUAUAUAUAUAUACAAGUAUGGAUACAUAUAUACAUAUGUAUACAAAUACAUAUACAUUUCAUGUCAAAAUGGGAGGUCCGCCAUCAAAAUAACUAGAAAAAAUUAAUGAAGUUGUUUUUUCAUAGAAUCAGAACAAUGGGUUAUGAGGUCGAACUUACUCUGAAACGUUAAAUAUGUUACCAAAUAUUAAAAGAAAGCACUAAACACAGUCCACAUUUAUGAACAGCAACAAUAAAAAUGAAGUGCUAAAACAAAGUGAUCAUAAUAGAGGUGAAAACGGUCAAAUACGGUCCAAUAUUUGAUGAAACCAUAUCUACGUCCAUAUUUUAUAUCGAUAAGAUUUGGAUGCGCAUAUGUGUUAGCCGAUAAUUUUUCAUUACCAUAACAGCUAACUGCAGAUUUAGAUACGAUCAAAUAUCUCGUCAGAUUUGAAUAUAGAAUGAGUUUAUAUUUCGAUAUUACUCGGGUGAUGUUAUUCGGAUAAUAAUAUACAUUAAUAUACACAUAUAAAUAUGAAUUAAAAUUAGCAACAAUGCAAAUAAAAUUCUACAUCUUGUUCAAACUUUUAUGUGCCUAUAUUUUAUUCAAUAAAAUCUAAGAUUAACAAACAUAAAUACAACGUUAAUAUGAAAUUUAUAAUAAAAUGAAAAAAAUUCAAUAUCACAUUUCGCCACAAAAUAUAUUAACAUCACCCUUAUCUCCCAGCAAAAAGCAAUCAAACUCUACCUUAUCUCCCCACAAAUAGCAAUUAAGCUACUUUUAUCUCCCAAAAAAGGCAAUUAAGCCCUCCUUUAUCUUUCUACAUAUAUUAACAAUUAAGUAGAGAACUUUUUGUUUAUCAAAUCAAAGAAAAGGGAAUUCUAUUUGAUUAGAUAAGCAAAAGUUCUAGAUUGCUUGAUAUGCCCAUACCUUAUUCAAACUUUAUACGUCCAUAACUUUUUUUUGAUUUGACGAAUAAAAGUUCUAGAUUUCUUGAUUGCUAAUAUGCGUGGGAAGAUAAGAGAGGGCUUAAAUUCAAUCUCAAAUACAAAAUCAAAAUUUAAGCUCGGGUGAAGAGUCACACGAUAACAAUUCAAAAUCAAGUUCAAAGUCAAAAUUUAAAACUAUAUCUAAAUUCAAAUAUCAAACUAUUACUAAAAUAAAAACUCAAAACAUGAAUAUCUAAAUUUAAAUCUACAUUUCCAAUCCAAAUUUACAGUUAUAAUUUAAUCUAAACUUCAAUCUGAGAUUCUGAAUAUGCACUUAAAUUUAAAUAAUUGUUAUAAAAUUCAAAGAAUAACUUAGGGUGCAGGAAUCAAACUCUACACCUCUCGCAUGUAAGAAAGCUCUAUACCAUCUAAGCUACACCACCCUCUAAUUUAUCCUCCCACAGCAUAUGAAUUUAUAACAUAUAUUAAUUUUCGGAUAAUCUGAAUUCGAAUGCAAGUUUGUAAUUUAUAAUAUAUCCCUAUCCGAAUUUGAACUUGAAAAUAUGUUAAACAUAGCAUUUGAAUAUGAAUCUGAAUUCGACCAGAUGCACGAUUUUGACACUCGUAUUCGCAUCUGAUCAAAGCCAGUGUCAAAUUCGAUCGAAGUUUAUCCUAACCACAUUCACUCCUAGGUGAGAGAAGGCCAACUACACAACGACAUCCCGAUUGAUAGAUACUUCAUGUUCGAGUUUUAUUCACAGUAGUUCCAAUUUCCUCUUUGUCGUCAUAUUAAAGCAUAUUUACUAGACCAAGAGGUGUGACCUAGAAAUUUAUUGUUAUUGUCCCUUGCAACAUGCAUGACGUAUAAUCUGAAGGACAUGAUACCCAGGUUCUACAAUUCUAAUUGGAGUUUUGGUUCCGAAAUGCAAACAUAAGUACUGCUAAGAAUAAAAUCUGUUGAUUUUGCGCAAAAUCUGGAUUAGAAAGUAGGUCAGUGGCACUAGCGAGUUGAAUACAAUUGCAUAUUUGAGUUGUAACUUGUAAAUACAAUUCAUUUCGAUCAAACUAUACAUACCAAACAAUACCAAACUUUCAUACAUAAAAGCUCACCCUAGUCACCUAUUAGGACUCAGUAUAAUAAUUGAUGAAGUUUGAAAAUAAAACUGGUCUCAAUCAAAAUAUAAACCACAUAUACACCAAACAUCAUGCAUGGAAACGCAUCCUAAUCAAUCAAAGUCGGUAGAAUAUUGAGGAAUAUUACCUUCGCCAACGUAAGAAAAUCCUCCAGGCAUCAAUCUCCAUAAGAAUAGCGAGGAAUAGCGAGGAGCAGAGGAAGCUAUCCAGACGCUCUAAUAGACAGACGGUGAGACGAUGAGAAGGAAGGCGGCUGGGUUACCGGUCUGCGGGAGGCAAGAAACUUGAGGCUCAAGCUUCGGACCGAUGCGAAUGGGAGACGGCAAAAUUAUACAUUCCAUCUUUAAAUUUAAUUUAAAAUUUAGAUAGAGAUAUAUUAGAAUAAUUUUGAAUUUGGAGUUGGGAUAUUUGAAAAAUAAUAUAAUAUAUUAGUUUAUAUAUUUUAAGAAAAUAAAAGGGUUUUUUUUGCAAAUGCCCCCUGAAAAAAUUUUAUUUUAAAAAUAACCCCGUCAAAAUUUAAUUUGCAAAAAUGGCCCUGACCCUGCCACGCAGGCGCCACGUCAGCGCCACGCGUGUAGGGCUGGACCAGUGUUAAGUUGAACACGGUAAAUCAUUCACCGUGUUCAAACACGAUUUUUUAGGGAUUUCAACGGGCCGGGCCGGGCCGGUUUGGAUCUCCGAACCCGGCGGGUUUUAAAAAUCCAUACCCAUAUAACUUUAAUAUAUGGAUAUGGGUAUGGAUUUUUAAAACCCGCAGGACUCGGAUUCGUGUUCGGGUUUUAAUUUGAUUUUCAGAUUCGAUUUCGGGUUUUUAAAAAUCCGAUUCAAACCCGACCCGUUGACAUCCCUAAAAGAGAAGAAAAAAAAUAUAAAUAUGAAAUAUGAUGAAUCAUUCACCGUGUUUGAACACGGUGAAUGGUUCNAAUAAUAUAUAUAAAGAGAGAGAAUGACUAUUGUGCUAUUAGGAACAUAGUAGCCCUUAUGUUAUUAAUUUUUUAACCAUCUAUUAAUUUGGGUGAGAGAAAGAAGAGAAAUUAAGGAGCAAUUGGGAGUCUUAAUUUCUCUUCUUAUCCAAACCGUUAGGAGCACAAGGGUUGCUGUGCUUCUAAUGGUACAGCAGCCCCACUUAACAAAUAUAUAUAUAAUUUAGCUGGAAUACUAUUGUCAGUAUUUGGUGGACCUUUUUACUAUUUACUUUUUAAUAUUUUGAUAAAAAAUUAUAGCGUUAGGAUGAUAAUAGUCCCUUGAGGUUGAGUCGUAGUGCCCCUAGAGUUUAAUAGUAGUACAUGAAAUAAUAUUGAUUUAAUGAUACAAAUAAUCAGAAAAGUAAAUCUAACGGUUAAAAGGUGGAUAGUAAAAGAGCCGAAUUCCAACUCAACUCACUCCCUCUCUAUGUAUACUAGUGGAGACCCGCGCUUCGCGGCGGGAAAUCUACGUAAUUUUUAAAAUAUUUUAAACAAUAUUUUUAAUGUUUUAAUUUUUAAAUCUAAUUUAAAAUUUUAAACAUAAAAAAAUUAAAUAUAAAAAUUAUAUAUAGUAAAUAAAUAUAUAUUUAUAAAUAAAAUUAGAUAUAUACAAAUUAGAUUUAAAAUUUAAAAUUUAAAAUUUAAAGUUGUUAAAUUCUCUCUCUCUCUCUUUCUCUUUCUCCUCUGAUUCCUCUCUCUCUUUCUCUCUCUCCCUCUCUCUCUCUCUCUCUNNNNNNNNNNNNNNNNNNNNNNNNNNNNNNNNNNNNNNNNNNNNNNNNNNNNNNNNNNNNNNNNNNNNNNNNNNNNNNNNNNNNNNNNNNNNNNNNNNNNNNNNNNNCCCCCCGUCGGUGGACGCCCGUGCGCCCGCCCCGCUGCCGCGCCCGUGCCCCGGAGCCCCCUCUGCUACCGCCCGCGCGCCCCCCGAUGUAAAACAUAAGUCAAAAGUUAUUGGAUUUAGAGAAGUAAAACAUAAGUCAAAAGUUACUUGUGCUGAAAUUGGAAUGAAAACAGAAGAUUUAUAAUUUUCUGUUGGAAACGGGACAAAUAAAUUAGCAGAAAAUUUACAGUGUCAGAAAAUUAUGAAAACUAGAGAAUAUGUCAGAAUUAUUUUUAUGAGGCUAGAUUUAAAGUUUUAUGUCAUUCUGACACCCGGAAGGUGAAAAAUAAAAUCCGACAGUUAUCUGAUAAAGAUUACAGUUCAGUAUAGCUUUUAGUGACCAAAUGGAGUUGAAACUGAAAGAUUAAAAUUUUUUUCUUUAAGUAAAACCGAAUAUGACUGUCAAAUUUGAGCUCAAACGGAUAUUCAGAGGGUUCCGGCGAAAGAUAUCAGAUUUCGAACUGCCUGAAGUGAAUAGUGUUUGAGAGAGAUAAUUAUAAAGAAGCUUUUGCUUAUUCUUCCUCUCCAUCAGCCGACCACCACCACCACCUCACAAGCACACAUGGAGGGAGAGAGAGAAACCUUCAUUUCUCUCUAGAUUUCUCUCUCAUCUCUCUAGAUCUCUCUCUAGAAAUUUGAGGGUUGGUAGAGAAGAUGCUUGCGAACGCGUUGGGAGCGACGGAUCGAGCUUUCCUGCGCCCGUUGGAGCGACGUGCUUUCGUCACGGCGUUCACAUUUUGGUAAGCUUUUGGGAUUUGGCUUAAUCCUUAACUCUAAGUGUUCUAGUAGACUCUAAUGAACAUUAUUAGCAUGUUGCUCUAUUUAAUUUGGAUUAUUUUGAGGUUAAUUCAUGAUACGCUUAGAAAAUGGGAUUUUGCUAUGUAUAAGGGUUUGAUCUAAUUUGACCCUAUGUAAACCUAAUUGCUAGGUAAACGAACGCGUUGGCGAAAUCGGUUCGGCGAUUCGUCGAGCCGUUGUAAAGAUAUUAAAGAAACGGACGUUUAGGCUUCGUUUCUGCCUAGAGGGCCGAGCCGACAUCGUAAAAUCAUGAAAACGGAUUGGAGCACCGUGGCACAUAGCCAAAGACCUUUAAUUUUCGGAUCGUGGAUUGGAGGCCGUUCGGGUGGUCGCGCGAGAGUUCGGGCUGAACCGGGUCACGGGUGCCGCGGGAGGCCGAUUGCAAGUGACUACAAGCAAUCGGAACGUGUUAAGAGGUGGGUUGUGCUUACCGAAGCGAUUAGGUCGCUUUCAUGCCAAAGUAUAGUGUGUUUCACUAUUGAUGCAUGGUGAUAGUAAAAAUGCUAAGUAAGAAUGCAUGCUAAAGAUGCUAAUAAAUGAAUGCAAGUGAUAGAUGCUAAGUAAUGCAUGUGAUAUGUGCCAAGUAAUGAUCAUAUAAGAUGUAUGCUAAGGAAUGCAUGUUGACAUAAUGAAAAAUACUAAAAGAAUGCGUAUUGACAUAAUGUAAGAACACUAAGCCAAUGCAUGUUGACAUAUUAUAGAAAUAUUAGAUGAAGCAUGAGUUAAAUGUUAGAGGCAUGUAUGAGAUGCAUGUUAGAUAAACAUAUGAACUAGAUGCAUGAGCUAGAUGAUAUAUAAGUGCAUGAUUGAAAUGCUAAUAAAGAAUGUAUGCAUGAUUCCUAAUGUGAGAAUAUGUUAGAAUGACAUAAAAGUUGAACUUGAGUCAAUGAACACUAAGUAAAGAACUCGACAAGUGUCAUAUGUAAAGAAUCCUAAAUAUAAAUAACUAGGAUGAUGAGUGGCAUUGAACCUAGUGUCGUUGAACAUAGGUUAUUCACGAGUGGCAUGUCAAGUAUGAUUCCUAGGUGUGGACAACUAGGAAAACAAGAACAUGAGUGGCAUUGAACCUAGAGUCAAGUAAACCUAGGUUGUGAACGUAGUGACAUGGAAUCUAGAGUCAAAUGAACCUAGGUGAUAAAGAAUAAUGAACCUAGGCUAUGAAAAUAAUGACAUUGAACCUAAUGUAUGAACUUAGGUUGAGUAAAGGCGUGGACCUAGAUAGGUCGAUACUUUAGGGUGAGACCAACCCUUGAGAUAUGUAAAGUGAAUUCCGGAAUCCCUGCUGCUAGUGCAGCGGCUGCGAGUGCAGCAUACGAGAUCCAUAGUUCUUGGCCGCAGGUGCAUGUGGCAAGUUCCUCUCCCACCGGAAGAACUUCAAGGCUUGUGAUUGAGCAAGAACUAUGAGCGCUAGGGUGCAUGUGGCAUGUUUCUCUCCCUAUCGAGGAUCUCGGCUGCGGGUGUAUGCGGCAUGUUCCUCUCCCACCGGGGGAUCCCUGACCACGGGUGUACGCAGCUCUGGGCGACCCGUUGGGCGAUGUGGUUUGUGAUUGAGGGCUGAGGUGCAUGUGUGAGUUCCUUCACCUCGAGCCGGACAGAGCGCGGACUAUCCGCAGUUGAUUGACUCAAGACCGAGUCGGAUGGCAAAGUUGGCUAAGGUAAAGUAACCUUAGGAAAGAAAGGCUAAUGUGUAUAAUAUUACUAAGGUGUGAGUACCCUUAGUAAAGCGUAAAGAAUAAAGAAUGAAGAAUCAAGAAUAAGAAAAGGCUAAUGCUAAAGAAUGACAAGUAAUAAAGAAUAAAGAAGGGUUAAUGCUAAAGAAUAGCUAGUAAAGUAAAGAAUGAGUAAAAGUAAAGAAUGGAUAAGAAUAAAGUGUAGAAGCAAUUAAUCUACUAUAUGAGUUGCAUAAUUUGCAUAUUGCAUGUUGUGAGGCAAAAGCAUGGUAAUGUUAGUUGCAUGAUUUAUGAUUUCAUAUCUAUCUAUUGGACUAACAUGUUGUUUGCCUCCUUUGACCUGAUGGUCGAGCUCUUCCCUUGGGUGGCCGUACCCACUGGGAACCAUGGAGUUUUUUCUCACCCCACGUUGUUUUGGGGUGUUACAGGUUCACACGUGAGCGGCGCGGCGGCGCGAGGUAAGGGCAUAGCUCCGUAGAUAGCGCCCUACCCAGAGACAAGAGAUAGUGGUACCCCAAGUCGGCAUAGCCUAGGGGUAGUGGAAAAUGAAAGAACAAGAUGUAUCAAACUUGUGAUAAAGUUGUAAUAACUAUGUUAAAGUUAAAUUGUAUUUGGAAGUAGAAAUCAAGUAAUCAAAUGUGAUGUAAUCUAAUAAUACAAAAAUAUAAUAUGUGAGAUGAAUGCUUGUAAUAGCAAGUAGAUUUAUGUUUUUGACACUUCCUUAUGCAAUCUUUGGUUGAAAUGUGUUCCUGGUUGGAACUUCGUACAUUGUAUUGAUUGCGACGCCUUGAACGUACAGGGGAGACUCUGUCCGCGGUACAGGGGAAAUCCUAUCAGUUCGGCAGUCUGUUGGCGUGCCCGAAUACGACCAAAAAGGCGGGCUCGGGGCAUGACAUUGUAAGUCAUCCAUUUGAUGUGCCAUGCAAUCAAUUUGCAUGAUAUACUCUAACACUUUUUUGAUUGUUAUGUAUUCUACUAAGCUUGAUAUUUGACUUCUUGGAUUCUUCUUCUGAUUUUGAUGUCUGAACUGUGGUUUUCUACUAGUCCUAUUUCUUUUCUUCUCUGGCUAUAGUAGUUAUACCAAGGUAGCCUGUGAUGCUGGUCUGAGGCUCAGGGUGCUGUCCUAAUUAGUGGAACAAUAAUAUUCUCUAAUAAGACCUUGGUACAUUCCCAUAAUACUGCAGCAUGUAUCCAUGUGGCUUGAUCUAGUGUUGUUGGAAUGGCUAAUGUGGAAUAUCUUGCGUACAAGCUAUUUGAUGAAAGCCUUAGCUGCUUUACCUCUUGUAAUUGCUUCAGAACAACUUCCAAUCAAUGCUUGCAACUUGUUUGUAGAUUUGCCCAGCUAUUCUACCACUUGUUGGCCUCAGAUUUGCCUUGUUCCCUUUCUUACUCCUUACUGCACUCUCGCUCACUUGGUGUUUGAUGAAAUUCCAGCAGCUUAUGGUACUCAAUUUUCUUACUUCUGUAGGAUCUACCUGCUGUGACUACUGCUGUAGGUUGCCUGGUUAGAGAUCUAGCAGGUUGGGAAGCUGUUCGCGCACUCCUACCUGCGGUUCUAGGCUCCAAUUGGGCCUGCAGUGGGAUCCUUUGUCGGAAUCCAACUAAAGUCAGUUCCCGUAGCUCGAAUGCUUUGUUGCGUUGCUAAUUCGACGAUCCAAGGGAUCAGAUUCAGUAGUGCGACUACACUGCACCUAAUCCUGGGAUCGAACCGCUCUGAUACCAAAUUGUAAUAUCCCGGACGAUUCGAAGCCACUGAUGAUGAGAUUGCUCUGAGGCUUGGUCGGCGAUGAGGAUGAUGGAUAUAUUAGGAUUGGAGAAAUAGAGAUAAUUGAGUGAGAGAAGGAAAGAAAAAGAGGAAAUAUAGAGAAGAAAGAGAGAUCAGAGUAGUGGUUAAGAGAGGAAAGUAAAUUCGGAAGAUGAAGAGGAAGAAUAAGGAUAAUUGGGGAGAAAGAAAGAGUUAAUUUAUUUUUUUCAUGCCUCCAUUAGUUACAUCCUGCUUUUUAUAUUCUCCUCUAUAUUGUUGUCACACCCCGAGAUCCCUUUUUAUAAAGUGGUCCGGGGGGGACCACCACGGCUCCUCUCUUCUCGAGAAUCCAUACAUCCCUUAUCAGUGUAUGGACAGCUAUCUUUCGAGCACAGGUUUAGGUUCGGCCUCAAUGGGAAAAUGGAGCACCUAACAACGCAUCUUCACAGACCAAGAACUACGAGAUCGCCCCUUUCAGCUCUUGUUAUUCCCAAUAAGAUUGCCUAAAGCACGCCCUGCUCGUUCCGCUCGCAACAAUCCGAUUAAUUCUCCAGGCGAAAAAACAUUAGACAUUCCAUCAAGAAGGCUAAUUUGAAGCUAAUGGAUAAGCGAAAAAUACCCUAUAUUUUUUUUUAAAACCUUGACCCAAGGGGAUGACAGACCAGUCACAAAUACAGAGAAUCCGUUGUCCACAUGGAUAGAGUAUUCCUUGUAUUUGUACGGCAUCGCAUAUAGUACAUGUCACAACCAUAUCCAUUCACAACUAUACAUUCACAACUAUACAUUCACAAGAUUCACAAUAUUUCACAUCUAUCAGUUGAAAGUGUUUCCUACCCAGAAACUCAUUUUGAAACACUAAAAUUACGAAAAGCCGAAAAAUCUUUUUAAAACUGUUUUCCACACGAAAACUUUUCAUUUUUGAAAAAGAGCUACCACGAGGGGUAGAAAACCAUUUCUUUUUUUACAUAAAUCCAUACGAUGUUUCCAAUAUAGUUUUAUUUAAGAUUCCAACAACGUCAUAGUCAAAAUAAGACUGAGGCAAAACCAAACUGAACUACAAUAAAUUAAGUAUUCAACAAAGGGAAAAGAGUAAGUCUAGAACCAAAGAUGUCAUCAGGGCGGAACCUCUAUCGCUCGCUAGCUACGCACCUCACGCCUCAUCCAGACUUGUACCUCCAAGAUCACCUGAAAUUAGGGGGGGUAAGAAACCAACAAAGGUCUUCCAUUAGGUACCACAAGCCGACGAGGGCAAGUGUACUCACUAGUAACCAAAAGUACAACUAUGAAACAUAAUACAGUAGCAAUGUAAAAUAGGAAAAAAAAUACAUAUGCAACUACUGCUACUGUAAAUAAAAUGCAUCAACUAGACAACAGUCCCAAAGUACCCAAUCCAAAUCCGUCGUGUCGGUCUAAAGACUUCAAGCAAGUCCCACGUCUGCUCUAAUAGACAUAAACCCUAGUAUAAGCUCCUGAGCUCACGGGUUGGCAUUCCCAACCACUUUUCUGGAAAACGAACAUCGUUGCGGUAGCGAAACUGCUGGUGUACGUGAAAUGCUGACGAGCAAGUAGCGAUCGAUGCAAAUAUGCUCAAUAGCUGUCGGCAAGUAGCCAACAAUCGAACCCCUCAAGUUAUACCAAGAGAAUAAUCAUCAAACAACAAGAGCCUCGAAAAUUGACCAACUAGGUCACAACUGAUGUCACAUCAUGCACAAGUAUAGUCAACUACCGCUCUAUUUCUAGAUCACGAUCAGCAAGUAUAGGAAAUGACUAAGUAGAGCAAUAAGAAUUAGGGUCACAUGGUGUCAGGCUCAACAAUAGUGAAUAAUGCAAGUAGUAUAGAAAGAGAGGGUGGAGGGAACAUCACCGAGCGUGAACCACUAGAUUGACUUCGGAUCGAAGUACCUACUUGUAUCUCUGUCGCAUCUGUCUUCAAGUUGUGCAAGAUUGCCGACCGGACGUACGAACAAGGUCAGAGUCCAACCCAUUGACUCAUUAACAAUACUCACAAUCCCCAAAAUUUACCACGGAAUCGGUUUCCUAAAACAAAUCUCCGUAACUCGCUGGAAGUCCCGAAAAUCACAUAGGGACGCCGCCGGGACCACGAAGUGUCCCGAAAUGUACCGACUCCAGUCACGAGUCACCUGCUGCAUCAAACACACCAUUUUGGGUGUCCUGGUAGCAAACACCAAAUCUUACAUCAAAACAGUUAUCGUCGAAUAAUCUUUCCAACUCGGGUUCUCGGAAGUGUCAAAUUCGACACUAGAACCCUCCACCGCACACCAGUCGUCUCUGAACACUCGAGACGAAGCAGAUGACAAGACUACAAGGUUCAGCGGAGAAAACACGAGCAUUCUAACACCGUUGGGUGAAUUCCGAACUGGAACCACGUUUCACCGACGAAUUUCGCCGAAAAACACAAAAAAGGAAGAUUCCAUCUUCGUAAAAGGUUCCGAGGCUUGCACGACCAGUCCAAAUGUCACACCCCGGAUUACCACGUUUUUUCGGGCACGCCAAUAGACCAGCCGUAUAUCCAGAAAUUUUUUGAGUAUACGAAGCGAUAGCUGUACCUUUAAACAAAUCAUAGCUACAACCAGAUAGUAAAGAGCUGCUAAACUGAAAUAUAUAAAUAACAUAAAGGGGUUCCUGUACAUACAAAAGUCCGCAACCCAACUCGCUCCAGUAAGUACAACGACAACAUAACAAUAUGUACAAAGAAAGCCCCAAUACUACCUCUGGAUGGUACUCCUCUAGCACGGCGACAAGACUGGUAGGGAUCUAGCUCGCGACUCCCUUCCCACGAUCCGAAUCCGCAACAGUAGCAGCCGCAGACGAAGGCUCUGCAAAAAGGGUCAACAACUGGGUGUGAGAAUUACUGCAAAACAUAGUAGUCCUCAGUAAGUAACGCCACCGACCUCAACGGCUCACCAACUAAGUCUACAGAAAUAUGCCCAAGGGAUAGUAAGGAAAGCUGGACAGAACUCUAUAGCUGCAUGCCACUAUACUAUCGCUAAUCAACACAAUCUAUCUGUAGAUAUACAUAUGCAGCAUACUGACCAAAUUUCACUAGGGCUGCCCAAACGGACCCACCCUGCCUGUAACCAAACUACACCGUACACCACCCACGGGAAUGGCCGGUCUAACUAAACGGUCCAAAACAAGACGGCUGCGACAUAAACGCAAGUAAAAGCCUCACUCCGGAGCGGCACUCGUAGGCGUGAUCCAACCGAGUAUGCAAGCGUGUCUCUGCCGAGCUCAAUCAGGCUCUCACAGGCUGUAGUCAAUGUAAAUGGAUCUAACUGGUCUAACAACCAAAGUUCACGUGCCCUUGGCACAGUCUGAUGCAAAUCUGGGUCCACCAUCAACCACGACGGCAACCGACAGUACGAAACAGUCUGCACACAACUGUAAAACGAGCUCGGCCUCCCAGCACGAGCGUAAACUCAUCCUACACUAAUCUGGGUAUCCACCUCGCACUAACAGCGGUGAUACAAAUUAAUAAUAGCUCCUAAAGUUAAAUCUGGUAACUUUUCAGAAACUAACAGUAUAGGUUUACUGGUUUUCUCCUAAGUCAAUUCCAAGUUCAACAUGUAAAGAGGUUCAGAAAUUAAAGCUCCAAAUUCAGAUUCCAUAAAAGCUAUGCAAAUUGAUGAACUGAGCUACUAAACAUGAUACUACACAUAAAACAUACAUGCUGACGAAUCUCCAACUUAGGAGGAAAUCCGACGAUUUCGGUAAACAUCAACCCACCUCGAGCUCUCGUCCAACAACGGCGAGAAAUCGACAAGAGGGAACCCACGCACUCGCCCAACCUCCAAUAGCGCAACCGCGACACCCACGCGCCCAAACGGUCCAUCGGAGCAAUGUCGAAGCCAAACAAGUUCGAUCCACGACUCCCCGACGAAAGGCGCACACCAGCUAGAGAGAGAGAGGGAAAGAAGAAGAACCCUGCUCUUUGAAGCUCACUACACAUAUAUAAAGGCUGAGGAUAAGGUUGGGUUGAAUGCCACAUCAAAGGACCAGAAUACCCCUUACCAACUCACUUUUCCAGCUGGAGUACCGGUACUCAGCUUGAAUACCGGUACUCGAGCCCUCAGCCCGCAGUCUUGCGCGUUGGGUACCGGUACUAGCCCGAUGUAGUAUUGGUACCUGAGCUCAAUACCGGUACCCCUCAACGGUACUGGUACUCAGCAUUAGCCUCGCGCAAAACCGAGAGCACCUAGUUCUGAGAUUUUACUGGGGUACCGUUACUUCUCUCCAGGUACCGGUACUCAAUAUUGAAAUCCUGCUCUUUGCAUAUUUCAGUGUCAGAACUUCACUCUCGCAUCGCGUUGAGUCCGUUUUGCGUCUAUUUCGCGCCAAAACGACUCCUGCUUAUCCCAACACUCUCUAGAUGUGUCGACAAGCCUCAGAUACUGAAAUCACACAGGCAGCUGAACCUCAGGGACACUACACUAGAGGUUGCACACAACAUGAAUAUACAGCCCACAGUGAAACAAUUGCAUAAACACUCCUAACCUUCACAAUAAUUACAAUAUAUUUAUGCAUAUUGAGGAGAUUAGAGCAGUUACCUCAAUCCGAGUGCUUCGAGGCCAACCGAGGGUACCAAUAGAAAGAUCUCGUCGAGACGAAGGUCGUGCUCACUAUCCGAAGCACCACAAGCCUCUGUGGAGUGCGUGGGAGCUAGGGAUGUUAGUGGAUCGGAUUCGGGGCAGGUUUUUAAAAACUUGAACCCGAACCCGACUACCAAAUCCGAAACCCAAACUCGAUGGAUUUAAAAAUCCAUAUUCAACCCGAACCCAACCAAAAAUCUAAAACCUGAACCCGAACCCGAAAACCCAAACCCGAAUCCGAAACAAACCCAAAUCCGACCAAAACCCGAAACCCGAUUCUAAACCCGAAAAUCCAAACCCGAAAAUAAUAUUUACCAAAUUUCGAAACAUAUUAUACAAGAAACUAAAAUUUCAAAAUACAUAUUCAAAUACAAUAUUAAACAUUCAUGCUAUAUAAUAGCGAUAUCCAAAUAUGAAAUGUACAAACUCAAAUAAUUAAAAACAACAAUACAAUUUUCAUAUGUCUAAUAUAAAUGCACAAUUUCUAAAUAGAGCACAACAACCUACAAGAACUAAAAGACUAAACUUAAAAAAUAAAGAAAAAAAGACAUAUAUGAAGAAUCAAAAAAACCCACAUCAAAGAAGCAACUUUAAUUUUCAUUUUUUUAAAAAAAAAUCCUCACCUUUUUUUCUCUUAGGUUUGAGGUUGUGGUUCUUGGAGAAAGCAAUAAGCCAAAAUACCUUCUUGGAGAAGAAUGAUCAAGAGACUACAAAAGUCUACAACGGCUUCUGUAGUUCUCUUUCAAAGUUUUAACUAUUAGGGUUUGGAGAUGGAGAGGGUUUCGGAAAAAGGAAGGUUUUGAAGUAGUUCUCUUUUGAGGUUUUAACUAUUAAGGUUUGGAGAUGGAGAGGGCUUGGAAAAUGAGAAGUUUUUGAUUUUUGUAUAUUAGGGUUUGGGUUAUAAAAAUAUAUGUAUUUUGGUUUAGAUUAUAAAAGUGUAAGUAAUUUUUUGGCCUUUAGAUUUAGAUCUAAUGGUUUGAAUUUUUUUAUAUAUUAUAUCAUAUUAAAUUUGUUCGGGUUUGGGUCGGGUUUGGGUCCGGGUCAGGUUCAGGUUUGGGUUCGGGUUCAGGUUUUUUAAAAAUAUCCAUACUUGAACCCGAAUCCGUCGAAUUUUUUUUUUUUAUAUCCAUACUUGAAUCCAUAUCCAUUUACAUUGGAUAAAAUCCACUCUGUUCAGGUUUGGAUUCGAAUAAAAUUUAGGUAUCCGUAUCCAAUUACAUCCCUAGUGGGAGCAAGCCGAGCUUCAAUGAAGAAUGUGUCCCAGGAGAGACGAAGGCGAAACUGAUAAUCCAGGCCUCGUCGAACACAAAUGUGGUGAGCACUAUGAUCAACACUACCCAGGGGUGACUGUGCUCACCUCCGGAGGGUUAGAAUAGCCUCGGGUCGCCAGAACAGCAAAUGCGAACCAAAAGAAGCCCUAACCGAGCUUGCUAGGGCAGAUAGGGCAAAGCUCGGCCGGCGGCGGUUAGGUGGCGAGCGCGUCGAUCAUAGGGGGGUGCGGCCGACGGGGGAAGGUCGACGGUCAUGCUAGCCGGCGGUGGAAGGUAGCAACGGCAGCUCGAAAGCAAGCUAAGCCCGCACAGCUUCAAAUCGGGCUCGACUUCCUUUCGAGCAAAGGAGAUGGCUGGAGCAGUUUAGGGAGGGGCACGAGCUUUCUCUGGAACUGAGAGGAAGAGAAGGAGAUAGGGGGCAGCGACGGCGCAGCUCAGUGCAGCCAUACGAACCUCAGCUAGCAGCAAACUUGCACCAGCCACGGCGGCAGCGCUCGAGGGCGGCUGCAGCCUGCAGGUGACCUCGCCGGGGGUCUGGGGUGGCACCGGUGAGGGGCCCAAGAGGGAGGGAUCACCUUGCCUUUCUCUCGGGCAGAGAAAGAGAGGAGGGUGGACGUGUUGGAGGAGAAAAAGCGGUGGUGAGGGUGCUAGCAGCGUUUGGUCAGCCGAAGCACGGUCGCUAAAGGCCGGAAGGCGCCCGGCGCACGCAAAGGAGGGAGGGGAGGCAGCUGGUCUCUGUUUGGAGGAGAUAGGAGCUAGGGUUAGGGUUGGGUGGAGGAGAAACCCUAUUCCCACAAAUAAUUGUGAGGACUGAGAUUUUUUCCCUAUAUAUGUUGGACAUCUUCUUAAAUGUUAUCGUGUGUAUUUUAACUUUCUGCUUGCCCACUAAAUUUCAACGAAAAAGGAUUUAAAAUAAAUUUUACGCAAUUAUUACUUUUCACUUAAAGUGAAUAGUAACCCGCAUUUUCAGUGAUGACCAAAGAGAGAGGUGGGCUUUAGAUGCGAAUCGGACUCCAUUUAGGGUGAUCCGUAGCUCAUUUUUGAUAGUCCGAAUGUGCCGAAACUAAUGGCCUUGACGGAUUUUAUAUUCAAUGCACGAUUUUUUAGAAAAUUAGGUUUUAUCACAUAGAGGGCAUUUAUUCUGCAUUGAACUUGCUUUUUCGAAGAGGUUAAUGCUCCGUUUUGCGUGAAAACUCGCGGGCAGGGACCUUUCUACGAGAGAAACAUAAUAGAGAGGAACUUGAAUUCGAACUUCAAGAGUUGGGGGACUUUGGAGAGAUUAUCCUUUAAGAAUAGUGGUUUAUAGGUUUAGAUUAAGGAUUUUGGGGAUUUUGAGAACCCCAAACCCUUGCCCCCAAGCCUCAUCUCCUUCUUGUCCAUCUGAAAGGUCGGCCACCACCGCAGUGGCUGCCGCUGGCCACCGGAGAAGGAGAAAAGGACAGUUCUUCUUCUUUUUCUCCCCCCUCUCUCUCUUGAUGUGUGAUAUGAGAGGGGAGCUCGAAUCACUUCGUGAUCCUGCCGCCUGCCACCGGGACCACCACCGCCAACCACUUGGACCUCGGCGACCAUCCUCGAGGCUUUCCUGGCGCCGCCGUGCCCUGGGGUGCCACCGUGCCCUGGGCUGAGCUCCCAGAGCAUGUGCGGUCGUGGGGUGAGACCUGAUCACCGCCUCCAUGCCGCGCCACCAUGAGACAACACCGGAGGUCCUCGGGGGUCCGCUGGCACCGCUCAUAACCGUCCCGAUCUGUCACUGCAAAGAUUAGUGAUGCCCUAGCCGCAUGUAAAAAUCUCAGUCUUUUCGAUCCGACAGUGCCAUCGCGUUCAGCACGACGGGGGCAUCAAAACUACGAUUUCGUUUCAUCCGAUUUGCUUGCCGAUUUGCGACAAAAUCCGACCUCUCUCCAACUAAUCCAUAUAUCACACAUAGGCCUUGGUGGAAACCCGAAAUCCAUUAAUUCAAACUCGUAUUUGAAUUCCCUACCACCAGUAGGUACUUGAAACAUCUCUCNUAUAUUCAUUUAGUUGUGGUUGUAUCCUGUUUGUACUGUUGUACUUGUGCGACGCCGUGCAAAUACAGGGGAGACUCUGUCCGUGUGAAUAGUGGAAUCCCUGUAUUUGUGGCGGGUCUGGCAUACUCUGGGGUCAGGUUUUUUUUUUAAAAAAAAAAAAAAUUCAGACGCUUUUCCACUAUCUUUUAAACUCAAAGGGACCCCGGGGCGUGACACCGCAGCUGUGUGGAGAGCUCUGUCGUUGUUCCGCGCCGCCAUUUCAUGGCCUCCUGCCGCCUCGGGCCUCCUUUGUCGCCUCUCUCCAGCCUCUGCGACCCACUUCCGCUACCCCGUGGCACCCCUGACCGCCGCCCCCGCCGUUGCUGCCUUGUGGCACCCCCGAUCGCCGCCGCCACCAUUGAGCUCCACGAGCCCAAGCUCGUGCCAUGCGGGCCGCACAACUUGAGGAGUCACUGCCGCUGCACUCUGCCGCCGGCAAAGGGGAGCACAGGGCUUGUAACACACUGGACUUUAGCAAAUUGCAAGGUUCGAGUGUUGAGCUGUGUUCUGAGUUUUUUUAGAUAUUAUGGAGGGUCAUCGACCGUGUUCCGACCUUUGGCUCGUAUUCCGAGAAUUGAGGUAUUUAAAGUAGCUUUAAGGUCACCAAAGUGGAGAACUUAGGCUGCUCUCAGGUUGCUUUCUGCAGGAAAGUGUACCGAUACACCUUGAUGGUUGUAACGGAACAGAAAGUGUACCGGUUAUACCUUGAUGGUUGUACCGGUACAAAUGGGGAUAUUCUGUCAACCCGAGGCUCGAGUUUGCGUGCAUAGUGGUUUGUACCGGUAUAUUUUUCCGUGUACCGGUACACAGUGUAAACUGUAGUCUGGCAGUUUUUGAGAGAUCUUUUCGCUUUUGUCGCAAUACCUUAAAUACACCCCCACCCCUUGGACAGGGGUUGUAUGCUGCGACAGAGAAGGGGGAAGGGUAGGUUUCCACUCCUUUUCCUUGAAUUUUUAGCUCAUUUUUACUUGAGUAUUUUGAGGUUGAUCUCUCCCUUUUGCUCUAUUUUGCAUCUUGGUGACCCUUUCACCAUUGGAGAGGCUUUGGAGCUUGGAUUGGAGCCUUUUGGAGGAAAGAUUUCUAACCCUAGCUCAUUCCUAGCUUGGAUUGGAGCUUCUUGAGAGGUUAGCAUCUUAUAUCUUCUCUUUAGAUCUUCUUUUGGUAUAAUUUUGUGUAGAAACCCUAGAAUGUGAAAUCUAGGGUUUUAUUUGGGGUUUCUUGAUUUGAGGCUUUUGGAACCUAAUUGAUGAGUGUAGAACUCUCCUUUAUGUUGGAUUUGAAGAUCCAUUGGGUUGAUUUGGGCUUUGGUCAAGUGUAGCUUGGUCAAAGGUAAUUUUCACCUCUUUUCUAUGUGAUUUUUGGUGAAAUUAGUUUGAUAUUCGUUCGAGACUUUUAACCCUUUUGGAAUUUCUUUUAGGGUGCUAGAAGUUUGGGGGACAACUUCGUUCGGCGAAACGAAAGAGUUCGGAGUGCUUCCGGUGGGUUUCACCUCACCGAAAUGGGUGAAUUCCCCCUAUGUCUAUCUUUCUAUUUCAAGACAUAAUUAGUUACUUAAUCAUGUUCAAAAUGACAUGUUGGAAUUUAUGAGAACUUAAUACAUACAUGUUAUGCAUAGAAAAUUUGAUGCUCUAUAUAGUAGAGGCAUACUUGUGGACUUAGGCAUAAAAUGAUACUUCAUGAGGAUUUCUCUUUUAUGCAACCUUAAUGAGCAUGUUAGAUUGUGAAUGUAACAAUUGUUCCACGAAAAUAAGACUUAGAUGGAAACAUACUCUUGCAUAUUGAAUCAUGGUAAAAUGAUAGAGUACCUAGUACACAUGUGUUGCAUGUAGAAUUUAUACCCUAUAUAGUAGGGGCACUUUGUGAAUUAGCAUUCUACAAGACGCGUAAUGCAUGAUGAAAUCGUACUUGUUGUAGGCAAGUAGUUGUGACAUUGUGACAUAAUACAUGUAAGUUGAACAAGAAGCUAAGUUGGGACAUUUAUUCUAGUUGAAUAUUUGCAUGUGACCUUAUUGAAUGAAAUGAAAGCACUCGCAUGAUUGUUAUUACUCCAUAAAGUGGAGGCAUGGGUAGAAAAUAUAUGUGUAUGACUUGCAUCAUAAGCAUCGUAAAUAAUUGCGGUAACUAUGCAUACACCAUAAGAAAGUAACUUCCUUAGCUAUAGUGGAAUAGACUAUGUGUGAACUCUCAUUGAGACUUGGACAAUAGUGAACUAUCCUAGAUAGGAUAAUGGCAAGGGUUGUGUGCAUAUGAACUAUUGAUUGUUACUUGACAUAGUAAACGUGAACGUCAUGUAGUGACAUUUGGGUUAGUAAAUGACAAACCUUAACACUUGAUACUAUAUUGGGACCUUUGGGGUCGUGCUACAUAUUCCAUGUUUUAGAUAUGAUGACCGAGAACUGGAGACUAUUGAUCAUGCUUGCUUGCCAUUGUGCUCAUUCGCACAUGCUUGUGAGGGUCGCUUCCCACAAGCGGGCACUCCGGAGAUAGCCUACGCGACACAAGCUCACCCAUGCGGGUUGGGCGCCGAAAUGGGAUGCCGUGGGGGAGGCUCAUUCUUAGAGUGAGGAUGUUGACUACCACGGGGCCAUUUUUGGCAUGGUACAAGCUGGACUACACACGUGUAGAUCCAUGACGAGAAUUGAACUAUGAUACCUAAAGUGAAAUGAGAAAAUUACUACUAGAAAGUGCAUCCUAGUUGGAUUUGUGGACAUACUUGAUAGUGCAUAAUGUGAACUCAUGUUAGUCACUCUUAGCAUCGACAUUCUAGUGGUAGUAUAUUAUACCUUUGUUGAUUGGCAUAUUGUAUGGUUAGAAUAGUAAAGAAAAGUAUCAUCACUCAUCGUAGCAUUAUGAACAUAAUGGACAUGCAUGUAAACUAGUAAUGACAUAUCGUUGAUUGUACACGUAAUGGGACAUUAGCAUACAAUUGAUAUGCAUGUAAAUCGACAUUGACAUAUAGUUGAUCAGAUGACAAUAGAACAUCACUUACAUGAUAGUAAUCAUUUAGUAGAAGCAUGACUAUUACAUGAACAUGUUUAAAUACUACUUUUCAUAAUUGCAUAUUAACUUACCCUAUAACAUGCUUAUGUUAGCCUAGUGGAGCAUUUCGUCGAGGUCCGCGAAUUGCCCACUGGGAACUAUUUUUAAUAGUUCUCACGACCUCUAUUUUGUUGAUGUUUUCAAAGCCAUCUGCAUUGGGAGUGGCUAGGGAUCGAGGCAAGGGGUUAGUGGCUAGCUAGAGCCCUACGGAGUUUCUUUAGUUGGACCCGUGUCAUCUUUUCUUUUUGUACCUUUGGAAAAGAUGUAUUAUGUUUUGUACUAGAGAUGUUGCUAGUCUUUUGGUUUUAGUAGCAUACCUCUUGUAUCUAAUUUGUGUAUCUCUUUAUGUUAGAACUUUAGUAAUUUUAUUAUACUCGUUCUGAUAGCCUUGUUAGGACUUCUAUGUUCAUCCUUGUUAGUAGACGCCUUGUGUGUAUUGUGUUUGUUGGUGUACACGGCGGGUCUACGCACGCGCCGGCGAGCUCCUGCUCGGCCCGGGGGGUGACAGAGCUCCUCUCCCCUUCCGCACUCCAUCCCCACUAGCGCAGGCGCCGCCGGGUCGCAGGCAAUCGGCCGGAGCCCCUACUCCCUGUUCGAGCUUUAUUUAGGGCCGGUUUGACCCGGUUGGCAUUUCCCGGUCAUCCUACACUUCCCAAUCAAUCCGAAUGUGAGCAUGGCGAUCCCCUCGACUUACUGAACACAGUGCUCACCUCCAUUGCUGCCGGCGACCCUUCGUCACUGAGUUUCAGCUUUCCGGCUUUUGAAAGCAUGCCAUUAGAGAGGUUUUUCUACAGUUUUGAUUUUUGAAGCCAUCCGACCGUCAAUCACGCUCCGGACAGUAAGCACGAGGAUCUUUGCAUUGAGACAAGUCAAAUCGACUGGUUAGAUUGAUUCGCUGCGCAGCGAAUCAGGGUAACGAGCUCGAAACUCAUGUUUUAUGCAUUAUUUGUAAAGUGGUUGUUGCUUUGUUGGGUUAAUUGCAAAUAGUAUGCAAUGGGGACCCCGCGCACAGCCUCAUUAUAGUACACUGAACUGGUGCAAACUGCCAAGUUCGAGUGUGGGAAUGGUGUUUGGAAUUAUUCCACGUAUUUUAAAGAGCUAUAGAGAGAUUUCGGUAAGUUAAUGAAGUGAUUAAAAGGUUGGAUGUACAAAAGUGCAUUACUAUUGCCAAUUCUGCAACCCUGCAUAUUGUACCGGUACAAAUAUGAAUCUGUACCGGUACCAAUAGCAUCACCAGCAGUAGCUGCAUGGCAGUAGACCUAUUUUAGUCUUUUCUUCUCCCAAUCUUAUCUCUAAACCCCUGCAUGACCCUUGCAACUCCUCUAAGGUUGCUGAAGUUCUGAAAAAGCAGGGUGAGCUGCUUCUCUUACUCUCUCUAGGGUUUUGAAAUCUAGUUGAGUGGAAUCAAGGGAAUUGAGCUUAAUAUCCUCUCCUUUAUUAUAGCUGGGUGAUAUAGGAGGCUUGGAGCUAGCUUUUGAAGGAUGGAAGAGGUGUUUUGGUAGUAUUCUUCAAGUAUCCUACAGAGGAUUGCUGAGAGAGAGCUUUUGAAAGGUAAUUAGUUCAACUUCUCCCUAGUUUGAGUAGUAGUAUGGGAUUUUGAGUGUUUUGAUCCCUUUGCUGUCAGCCGAGUUGGAAGGAGGUUCCAGCAGCUAGAGAAGAGCUCCUUUGAUGUAAUUCUUCUGCUUUAGUCCAAGGAAGAGCUGGAUCAAAGCCUUAAGAAGGUAAUUAAAUGAUUAAUUACCCUUUAUUGAGACUAUACAAGGUUUAUUAGUGAAGGGUGAUGCUGAUUUUGGAUCUAUUGUUAACAGCAGCUACGAAUGCCAUUCUGAGCUGAUUAGUCAACCCUGGUGAGCUGGUUUGAGAGUGUUUCAAGCAUCAGGGAGUGAGAUUCCAAGUUAAGAAGCUGAACAAAUGAGAUUUUAACCUAUAUUAAAUAGUUUUAUAAGAGUAUUAAGGUUGUUUUAAGGCUAAUUCACAGUAGGUUUGCGACAGAUCGUUGGAUUGUUCUCGGCUGACAUUUGGGAGUUUUUGGAGGUUAAACUUGGUGCAGUAACCUGAACCGAAAUGGGGAUUCAAGCUAUAGUAUUGUACAAGGUGAGAUUUCGCCAAAAUUAGAUAUUUUGGUAAUAGUUCAAUGCAGUUUUUAUAGUUAGUUCACAGCAGGUUUGGCAACCACCUCGAGCUGAAUAUGGGGACUUCGUGGGGCUGAAUUGAGAUGAUCUAGGAGUGCUUCCCCCUUGGAUUGAUGCAGGUUUGGGCUUUAGUCUAAACCUAGGUGAGAACUUAAUCCAUAUUAUCGGAUUAUGAGAGGUUCUAUUAUAGGUGUGCAAAUUCAGCUCUUAGUUGAUUUCUGGUUUAUUGUUAGGAGACUUGGAGACUUCGAAUUCUUGCAGUUGCAACGUGAACAAGAGUCGUCGACUAGUAGGUGGGUUUGACCUCACCAGAAUAAGUGAAUUUCCCCUAUGUUCUACAUGAUACUAUAGAAUUAAUAGUUGUGUGCAAUUAUGUGAACAUGUACUAGAUAAAGAGUAUUGAAUGCCACAAAUACGCUGGUUUUGUUGAAUUGAAUGAAACCUCUAUGAAGUAAGAAAGCAUGCAUAAAUGUUUUAAUGUUCAGUUCUAAUGCAUAGAUAUUGGAUAAUCUUAUUAUGCCUCUAUAAAGUAGCAAACGAGGACAUUCACCUGUGAUUUGACUUCUAGUACCAUUGUACUGACAAGUUUGCAAGGGCAUAUGUAAACUAGCAUCAUUUUAUGUGUUUAUUAAUCUAGUGGAUACAAACAUUACUCAUUAUAUUGAGAUUCUGACCUAUAGGUCGAGAGCGAAAACUUUACAUGCUUGAGACAUGAUGACCAAGAACUGUGAGACUAUGGAUUAUGCUUGCUUAUCAUUGUGCUCAUUCGCACAUGCUUGUGAGGGUCGCUCCUCACAAGUCGGCAUUCCGGAGUUGGCCUAUGCGACAGAUUGCUCGCCGUGCAGGAUUGGGUGCCGAAGUGGAUUGCCGUGGGGAGUGCAUACUACCACGGGGCCAUUAGGCACGGCGCAAGCAGGACUACCCUGUGUAGGUCCUUAUGAAUUAAACAUUGUUACUAAAUGACAUCAAUAGAUGACCACCACUACAUAGUGUAUAGUUAGAUAAAGACAUGACAUGUUUAAGUUAAAGUAAUGACUUUACUUGUUUCUAAUUAGUGAUACAUUUGAAAGUACAACUACAUGUUCAUCGCUAAUUAUCAUUGCCAUAUCUAUGAUGUGAUAACUGUUCUUACUGUCCAAUUAGUACAUCAUGAACCUAAUGGUGUAAUUCGCUGAGGCUGGCGGCUUACCUACUAGGAACUAUUGUUUAAUAGUUCUCACGCCCUCUUUGUUGUUGUUUUUACAGAGCCAUCCACGACGGGAGAGGCUAGGGAUUGCGACAAGGGAGUCACGUCUAGCUAGGCAUAGCGUGGAGUCCUGCUAGGUGAUCACCUCGCUAAUAUGCGAUGCUGAUGAGGAUGAUGUGUACCCCUGUGUAGAGAGACUACCUGUAACGCACUGGACCUUUGCAAAUUGCGAGGUUCGAGUGAUUGGUCGUGCUCUGAGCCUUUCCAGAUUUCUGGUAGGUCGUUGACUGUGUUCCGACCUAUGGCACAUGUCCCGAGGAGUGUGGUACGAAGCCUUGCACCAAAAUCCAAAAAUUUGGAUUUUGGUCAGCUCUCGGAUUGGCUGUCUGGCGGGCUUGUACCGGUACNCAAGAGCUGAGGUCAGUAAUUGCCCACUGGGAACUAUAAAUUAUAGUUCUCACGCCCUCUUUUUCUCGAUGUUUUUCAGAGCCUUCCACUCAGGGUGAGGCCAGAGAUCGCGGAAAGGGCAUCGCCUCGGGCUAGCGCGCUUACCGAGGGACCGUUCGAUAGGUGGUCUACCUCUCGUGUUUUCUUUUUGUGAAAGGUUGAGAGAUGUACCUGCAUAUGUAUAGAGACCACCAUUUUUGUACUACUUAUGACUAGCUUUAUUUCUUUACCUUGGUAUAGAUGAUAGAACUUUACUUGCUCUGAUAUCAUUAGUUGCUCGUUAUUUCAUUUCUUGUAUUUGUUCUAUCUCUUGCUUUUACUUCCGCUUUUGUUGUAAACGCCUUAUAUGUGUAGACAUAUGGCGGGUCUGGGCACGCUACCGGGAGGGCCUCCGCCGGUCCCGGGGCGUGACACUACCACUUAUGUUUAUAUAGUAUUUGGGCGACUCGGUGGUGUACAUGUUUGUGUAGAGUGAUGUAUUUACAGUUUUGGGUUUCGAUCUCUUGUUAAGUUUUAUGGGAUUUAUAUUUACUCUCUUCUAGUUAGUAGUACUAUUGAUAUAGACUUUGUUCUGAUAUCAUGUUAGAACCUCUUUAUGAUCGUUACUUCGCUGACAUGAUCCUUGUAGACGUCUUAUAUAUUGCAGGUAUAUGACGGGUCUGUGCAUGUAUCGGGUAUGCUUCCGCUGGUACCUAGGCGUGACACUCGUACAGCAUGUAAUCACUGUUGGUGACCUCUUUACUAAUCGUCAAAGGUCCGGGAGCCUUUGCGAGGUGGAAAUGGGGUCCCACGGUGUCGUUUGGCGAAAAUUCGCUGAUCGAACGCGGUUUAUGUUGCAAUUUUUGCAUGUUGGUCAUGUGAAUGCCCUGGAGACCUCGCCAAGCCUUGUUGGCUGAUUGCUAUCGCCAUCUUCGAAGUCCGAAUGUAGUGGAUGAGUGGAAGAGGGGUUUCGGUGCGUUUUUCGACGAAAUCACCGAUAGAACGUGAGUUCGUGUCGUGAUGAGUUUUCGGCUCUACGUGGUCACCCCGGGAAUCAUCGCCUAGCCUCGUUGGCUGGCCGCCAGGGUUGCCCCGUGUGUUCGAAGGUGGUAGGUGAGCGGCGGAGGCUUCCGUUGCCAAAGUGGACACUUUUGGAAGCCCAAAGCAAAUUGGUCGACUGACAAUGAUUGAGUUGACAUUGGUGGUUGUGUUCACUGCCUGGACACUCAAAUGGAUGUGUUUCAGGGCAGCGUGUCACGGGGUUAACUUUUUCGUUCGCAAAGCCCGUGCGGCGUUCGCCUUCCUGCUCGAAGAUGGGCAUGCCUUCUCAAGUCCUUAACACGGACGAGUCUCCCAAACUUAACAGCGGAAUAUCAAUUCAAGCAUUUUGCCAAACUUGCUGCUCUGCGAGACUUAUAGCCCGACCAUUCGCCUGUAAUUGAACCCCUCGUCGGACUCCUCGAGUUCCCAACAAGCAACCCCAAUACUGAGGUUGGACACCAAGCAAGGUUUAUAUUCUUCACCAUUGUGUCUCAUGCGCCUGACAGCAUCCACGGCCAUACCGCCUACGCGACCUGCUCGCUCGGUCCAGCGACAUACAUCUGAAAAGCCACCAAAGUGUGUGCCACAAGCUCGCCUGUCUCCCAAUUCCAGCGACAUAGCGCGACACUCCGCACGUCCAUACUUCGCACCUCCGUGCUUCGCAUACGACCCGUACGGCACUCGUGUCCCAACACUCCUGGCAAGAAAGCCAACAAGCCCACAUCGUGCUUCUCGACAGUCCCUACGACCCUCGCUUUGCCAUGGCGCUCCGCGCCCUUGAUUCCUAUAGGUUCGCCACAUAAGGCCCCAUACAAACGAGCCGGCCUUGCUCCGUAUUGCUAGCCAUCUGGCUCCUCCAUGGCUCGACCACACCUCGCCUUCGACACCAUUGGUCCAGUCUCUCAAGGUUCACUAUACGAAUACCGAUACUGCUUGCCUCAUUGGGUUUCGCCCCUCUCGAGUCUCAUAGGCAUUGCGCCCCACGAGUUCUCAUUCGGCGUGCCUCCCUUUAACGAUCCUAUGGAGUUAUGUCUCCUUAGACCUUCGCGGGCACUGCGCCCCGCGAAUCCCCGCUCAGCACACUUGCCUUCGCGAGCCUUGCCCUUUACGGAGGGCCAUCCAUCGCAAGACUGUCCCUCAUCCGCUCAUACGCUCCCCUACAUAGAUCCAAGGCGACAUAAGGUAGUGCAAGCGAACCUAGGAGGAAAGCCUCCCGGUAGUCCCUGCUCCAUAAUGUCGUCGACCUCUAUUCUACGACAUUACCCUAGGCCCGUGACCCUUCAACCAUCUAGUACUCGGUCACACGGAACGCUAGGCUUGGCUACUCCGCUAGCCAAGGGACGACCCAUGUCCUAUGGAUUGGCGAGGGAGUCGGGGCCACUCACGAAGUGUCCACCCCUCCUCUAUAUACCAUGCAAGGCAUCCACCCCUUUGGCACCCCGGGGGUACAAAGGUGCUCACCGAGGGGUACGUUUUGAAACCCUGCAUGCGGUACCAAAUUCUUUGCCAUGGCACGGGCCAUUGUUAGGAAAUUUCCUUCGUAGACUUGACAACGACUCCAACUUGACGGGACACCUCAACUCCGCAACUCCAUAGCUUUGUCAACUCAAGUGCCUACCAAAUGUGGCCCCCAAGGACGUCACGGUCGAGCCCCAGCGAUCGACCCGUGACAUUCUCCCCUACGUGAACCAUCGACGUCCUCGUCGAUGCUCCACCAUUUCCUUCAAACUCCGUUGCUAGCAGUACUACUCUUCCAGACUAGAGCCACCCACGGCCUUGGCAUCUCAUGCCACACUGACCUGCCAUCGAGUUCGUCCGCUCAACAACGCUUCUAUAAAGCCUAUCGUCCUCCUCGACGAAACGCCUCACACAAGUAUUCUGUCCCACAUUGAGUUAGAGCUUUCCAGCCGUGGCGCCUCGCUCGCACCACACUAACUCCUUCAUGGAACUAGAAUUCAAAAUUCAUUAUCCAUCGGAUUGCAAGAUUGUACUGACACUCCUCUAUAACUUGGUUCUCUCCAUCGGAGCUACUCAGCCUCAACGCCCACUUCGCACUGACUUAACCAAAGUUCCUCGAGUCCAGUAGCCAACCUUAUAACUCCUUCUCAUGGAAGUAGUCCUCCGACUAGUGUCCUCUUCUGGGAUUCAAGUCUCAUGGGUACUAGUGCCAUUCUUGUGCCCUCCCCGCAAACAACGUUUGCCACACCAAUGCCUCCACAAUCGCACAACGUCCAGCUCCCCCAUGGUCUCACCAAGCCUUCAAGUCUUUUCGUCGGGACAAACCGGCCUCGACUAUUUUCCACUUUACUGACUUUACCACGGACUCUUGUCAUGCCUCCUGACUGCUUUGCAUUUCGGCUACUUGCUGAUGUACGACACCUUUAGCCUUUGUCCCACAAGUCGUCAAGCCCCACUUCAUUAGGCUCUCCCAGAAUUCCACUUUGAUUCGCAAUCAAAGUCUUCAGCCAAGUUCGAGCCCACCUGGCGCCUUUGUCUUUGUUCGCUCGCAACAUGCCAUAUCCCAACUCUAAGGAAACCACCCUCAUGAUGAUCGCUGAACGAAACUCAAUUCACUCUCUGCUUAGUCUGAAUCGCAAGUCUGAUUGCCACGGUAAUGCCGCAACUCUGCGGGCACCGCCCCUACAGAACUCCGAUACUUCGACCGCCUCGCAGUUGUGAACUAUCUAUACUCCAACCAACACCAUGGGUCUUGCUCCUCUGAGCAAGCGCACCAGCGAGCCUGCUGUGCGAAGAAUCCGCUGGAUGUGCAUGUCCUCCGCAACACACAUGCGCACUCUGCCAAGCUGUAGAACUCAUCGAAUGUGCAUGUCCUACGCGACACGCACGCGCACUCCGCCAAGUCGCAGAACGCCCGGAGUGUGCAUGUCCUUCGCGACACGCACGCGCACUCUGCCAAGCUGGAAAACUCACCGAAUGUGCAUGUCCUCUGCGACACGUACGCGCGCUCCGCCAAACUACAGAACUCACCGAAUGUGCAUGUCCUCCGUGACACGCACGCGCACUCCGCCAAGCCGCAGAACACCCCGAGUGUGCAUGUCCUCCGUGACAUGUAUGCGCACUUCGCCAAGCCGCAGAACGCCCCGAGUGUGCAUGUCCUCCGACUUCCGCUUGACAGAAUGACUUGCACCUUGAUUGGGCGCUGGCUGUUCCAACGCCGUAUGAGACUUGACAGUCUCUCUACUGCUCAGGCCCUCCUCCUCGAGGUCCUGAGCCUUCCCGCGUUUUACCUCCUCGCAAAGCUGCAGGGCUGUCAUAGUCGAACUCCCAUUGCGCCUCUUUGCGUCCCCUGUAUCACGAUGCUCUCCCCUACGUUUGGCCUAGCUCACCUUUGGUAGUUUGCCAUGGUCACUCUCACUCUGCUUGGCUAGUGCCUUCCUCGUCUUGAGGUCCUCGAUCUUCUUGACCUGGGCACCAAUGUCCUGAAGUAGCACAUCUCGCACAUCCCGCUCGUCGUUGCAAACGGCAAAAGUCACCUUGAACUGCUCCUCCAUUCUUGUCGUAACAUCCUUCUGUCGCCCCGCACGGUACUUCAAGGAUGCGGGACUCCUUCACGAGUGCCUGCGACUCCUUGCUCCCUUCCUACUUGGUCUGUAUCGAAGGCUCAGCAGUUACGUCGAUGACGGCAGUGUCUGAUGACGACAUGGUUCCUCCUCAAACCGGCUCUGAUACCAAUUGUCACGGGGUUAACUUUUUCGUUCGCAAAGCCCGUGCGGUGCCCGCCUUCCUGCUCGAAGAUGGGCAAGCCUUUUCAAGUCCUUAAUACGGACGAGUCUCCCAAACUUAAUAACGGAAUACCAAUUUAAGCAUUUUGCCAAGCUUGCUCCUCUGCGAGACUUAUAGCCCGACCAUUCGCCUGUAAUCAAACCCCUUGUCGGACUCCUCGAGUUCCCAACAAGCAACCCCAAUACUGAGGUUAGCCACCAAGCAAGGUUUAUAUUCUUCACCACUGUGCCUCAUGCGCCUGACAGCAUCCAUGGCCAUACCGCCUAUGCGGUCUGCUCGCUCGGUCCAACGACAUACAUCUGAAAAGCCACCCAAGUGUGUGCCACAAGUUCGCCUGUCUCCCAAUGCCAGCAACAUAGCGCGACACCCCGCACGUCCAUGCUCCGCACCUCCGUGCUUCGCAUACGACCCGUACUGCACUCGUGUCCAAACGCUCCUGGCAAGAAAGCCAACAAGCCCACACCGUGCUUCUCGAUAGUCCCUACGACCCUUGCUUUGCCAUAGCGCUCUGCGCCCUUGAUUUCCAUAGGUUCGCCACAUAAGGCCCCAUACAAACGAGCCAGCCUCGCUCUGCAUUGCUAGCCAUCUGGCUCCUCCAUGGCUCGACCACACCUGGCCUUCAACACCAUUGGUCCAGUCUCUCAAGGUUCACUAUAUGGAUACCGAUACUGCUUGCCUUAUUCGAUUUCGCCCCUCUCGAGUCUCAUAGGCAUCGCGCCCCACGAGUUCUCCUUUGGCGUGCCUCUCUUUAGCGAUCCUAUGGAGUUCUGUCUCCUUAGACCUUUGUGGGCACUACGCCCCGUGAAUCCCCGCUCAGCAUACUUGCCUUUGCGAGCCUUGCCCUCUAUGGCGGGCCAUCCGUCGCAAGACUAUCCCUCAUCCGCUCGUACGCUCCCCUAUAGAGAUCCAAGACGGCAUAAGGUAGUGCAAGCGAACCUAGGAGGAAAGCCUCCCGGUAGUCCCCGCUCCAUAAUGUCAUCGACCUCUAUUCUCCGACAUUACCCUAGGCCCGUGACUCUUCAACCAUCUAGCACUUGGUCACAUGGAACGCUAGGCUUAGCUACUCUGCUAGCCAAGGGACAACCUAUGUCUUAUGGGUCGGCGAGGGAGUCGGGGCCACUCACAAAGUGUCCACCCUUCCUCUAUAUACCAUGCAAGGCAUCCACCCCUUUGGCACCCCGGCGGUACAAAAGUGCUCACCGAGGGGUAUAUUUUGAAACCUCGCAUGCGGUACCAAAUUUCUUGCCAUGGCACUGGCCAUUGCUAGAGAAUUGUCUCCAUAGACUUGACAGCGACUCCAACCUGACGGAACGCCUCAACUCUGCAACUCCAUAGCUUCGUCAACUCAAGUGCCUACCAAAUGUGGCCCCCAAGGACGUCACGGUCGAGCCCCAGCAAUCGACCGGUGACAAGCGGGUGACUCACGGCAUGAGUCGGUGUGUUUCGAAAAGUUUCAUGGGUCCCGGUGGCAUCCCAAUGGAUUUUUGGGAUUCUUGACGAGUUUCGGGAAUCGAUUUUGCGAAAUCGAUUCCGCGAAUGGUUUUGGGUUUGUGAGCAUUGUAUUUUGAGUCACGUGGAUCAAAUUUUGACUCGGUGGACCUAUCGUAGGUCCAGUCGACAUCCCUCGUCUCGUAGGAGCUAGCUGCGGUAACGGACAUAGGUGGGUACUUCGAUCCGAAAUCGGUUUAGUGGUGCACGCUUCGUGAUGUUCCCUUCAUCUCUAUCCUUUAUUGUUUACAUAUACUUGUCUAUCCAGUACUCGAGCUUUUCACAACAUGACUUCGACCUUGCUCUAUUUAGUGUAUUCUCCCUUGCAUUCAUGACUUAAAGUAGAACAGUAGUGAUAUUGAUAUAUACUUUCUAGUUGACCUGAGUGGUCGGUGCCUGUAUACACCUUGUGACAUGGACAUCAUACCUACUAGUUUACCUGAGUAGUUGGUACUUGCAUACACUUGAGAGGAUGCUGAGUUGUUCCAUCAUAGUUGACCUGAGUGGUCGGUACCUGCGUUCCCUUACAGUUCGUUGAUCUAUUUAUCGGUGUGCCCUAAGGGGCGAUGAUUGUCGGCUAUUCACUGAUAGUUGGGUACUGAUCAUAUUCGCAUCGAUCGCCACUGCUCGAUAGCAUUUCACAAACACCAACGGUCUAAUACACCGCGGGAGGGUGUUCUUUUCCGGAAAAGUGGUUGGUUGCCAACCCAUGAGCCCAUGAGCUUAUGCUUGGAUUAUAUGCCAUUUAGAGCGGCAUGGCACUUGCCUGAGGUUCUUAGAUCGACACAACGGCAUAGAUUGGGUACAUUUAGACAUUUCGUCCGAUUUACGUAUAUAGCUACAGCAGUGGUUGUUGCAUGCUUACUUACAGUUCUUUUGUUCUUUACACUUACAUUGCUAUUGUAGGCCUUUAUUUACCUAUACUUGGUUACCAAUGAGUACACUUGGCUUCGUCGGCUUGUGGUACCCACUGGAAGGGGAGACGUGUUUACAUGUUCUCAUCCCCCACUUUUUUUCAGGUGACGCGGAUGAGAUUGGUUGGGACGCAGCGUGAGGACGUAGCUAGUGGGCGGUCAUAGAGGUCUCGAUCUAUGGUAUAUGUUCUGGAUUACUUCAUACAUAGUAUUAGACAUAUAUGUGAUAGUAUAGUUCACCCCUACACCUGUUAGUAGAUGAUACGUGUGGAUCAGUUGAUACGUUUUACUUGCGGGUUUUUGGUUGAUGUAUUUAUGAGUUUUGGAUAUUCAUGGUUUUUGAAUUUUCGUGGCUUUUAAACACUUGUGGUUUUGGACUCAAUUUUCGAAUGUUGGUUUUUCACCCCUUGCUCGUGGUAGCAUUUUCAAAAUAAAGGCUCCCGUGUGGGGAAUGAUUUCAAAUGGUUUUCUUGUGGCCUUUCGAAAGUUAGAAUUUCAAAUAAAGUCUUCGUGUGGGAGACAUUUGGAACUAAAAGGAUAUAUGUGAAUGAAUGUGAAUAGAUGUGACUAAGGAUCGUUAGCUAUAUGAUGUGGAAUUAAUGAUCCUUGUACAUCUUGUAUCGUUGCGUGUGCGAGUGGAAAUCUGGUUGUUAAUUGUAUAUGUUCUACGCAGCACAAAUACAGGAGAGAUUCUAUCCGUUUGUUUUGGAAAUUUUCUAUAUUUCUGGCGAUUCUGUUAUGUCCCUGGGUCAAGGUAAAAAAAAAAAAGAAGGGCAGUUUUUCGCUAACUCUGAUUUAUAAAAAUAGCCCGAUUUAAAUUGGAUUUCAAAAAGGGACCCUAGGGCUUGACAAUAACAAGGUGUCGUUUUGCAUAAGUCCUCCAAACACCCAUAUUUCUUAUUGGGCCCCUCAUAGCAUGUGUAAAACACACAUACGCACCUCCAUGUGCGAUUUCGUGCGAUUCGGUAUAUAAAAUAUAGGGGGUUUCGCAAAAUUUUCAUUUGGCCCAUUUUGACCCCUUCUCGGUAAUCGCGCUAUUACAGGAGAUCCGUCUGUCGAAUUUGCAAACAAACUGCGCCAGCGCAUCCUGCACUGCCGAACUAUGGAAACCACGAUUUUGUUGCACCAAAUUCUGUUAAGUCUUUUGUGUUGGCAAGUUUCGUGAAGUGAGUCGGAGUCUUGAAGGAUCGGUGCGUAUUGUCGAAGAUCAAAGAAUCCAAGAUUUCAAAGAUAGCGGAAUUAGAAGAAAGCGGAAUUAACUCACUGUGUGAAUCAUGAUGCCCAAGUAAGCUUUUAAUUCAUGUUAUGGUGAUUCAUGCUUAGUUGUAGGCAUUAGAAUCAUAAUACCAAAGUUUACUGGAUUAGAAAGUGCGUUGGUACUUUGUAAAACCCGAAAUCGUAAAAAAAUUGGGUCUUUGCAAAGUGUACCGGUACAGCAUCAGAAGUGUAUCAGUACACAUUCUGUUCCGGUACAGCAAGCAACAUUGUCACCGGUUACAGCAUUACACAGGUUUUUCUCUUCCGUUAUCGUGUAACCGGUAACAGCUUAAAGUGUACCAGUACACAAUGUAAUUUUCGGAAAAACUUUCUAAUCCGACUCCAAUUGAUUCUAAAGUCUAUGAAUAAGCUAUUGGGGUUCUCUAACAUAUCAAGCAUCACGAAAAUACAUGUCUGAGAAACCCUAGAGGCUCGGAUUUCAUCUAAAACCUAUUUUCUACAUAUUAGCUUCUUUUAGGUCAAAUCGAGAUAUUGGAAUUUCAUAUCUAUAUGUCGAUUUGAUCUUCGCUUUGCUUGGAGUUCUCUUCCCGAUUUUCAUCGAUACUCUAAGCGAAGGAUCACCAUACACAUGAUGUUCUUCAUGACGGCGACGUGGAUUCGGCGUGAUUGACGGCGGUUCGUGGAUUCGGAUCAUGAGCUUCGUGGAUUCGGAGUGGAGGCGUUUCGUGGAUUCGGAACAUGGCGUUCGUGGAUUCGAACGUGAGGGCGUCGACAACCCGGAGGAUUGCGCAAGAUUCAUAGGAGGUUAAGAGAGGUCGAGUCCGUGGAGUUGGUAAUCACCUUGUAAUCUUUUCUCUUAGUGAAUUAUUUUUUCGCGUGUUGGUCCCGUAGGUUUUUUACUCCAAGUUGGAAUUUUCCCACGUAAAUCUCGGUGUGAUUUUUAUUUUUCGUAUUUAUUUUUAUCGUAUUGAGAUUUGUGAUUUUUGGCUUUUACACCUAUUCACCCCCCCUCUAGGUGUUAGAUACAAUUUAGAUAGAUUCUUGGGCUCCUUUAAAACUUUCAAUUGGUAUCAGAGCAGGAUCUAGAUAGCUUGAUAUCUAAUGGCCGAAGGCGGUAACAUUAAUCGACCACCACUCUUCGAUGGCACGAAUUAUGCCUAUUGAAAAGUUUAUAUGAGAGCUUUUCUAAUCGCAAUCGAUGAGCGGGUGUGGAAAGCUAUUGAAUUCGGUUGGUAGCAUCCUACCGAAGUCGUUGAUAAUGCUACCAUUCCUAAACCACGGAACAAGUGACCGAAAGAUGAAAACGAGUCAUCUUCGUUUAACGGUAAAGGAAUUAAUACUUUAUUCAACGCUUUAUCGCAAAUGGAGUUUACUCGUGUUUCGGCAUGCGAAACGGUAAAGAAAAUUUGGGAUACUCUACAAGUUAUGCAUGAAGGAAAAAGCUUAGUAAAGGUUCAAAAAUUACAAAUGCUAACAAGCAAAUUUGACUCAAUUUUCAUGGAAGAAAACGAGACUUUUACCGAGUACUAUACUCGACUUCAAGACAUUGUUAAUACAUGCGCGAACUUGAGAGAGAAAAUCUCGGAUGCUAAAGUUGUUAGAAAGAUUCUUCGCACUCUUUCGAAAUGCUUUCGGGCAAAAGUUGCCGCGAUCGAAACUAUAAAGCAUCCAGACGAGAUGAAAGUCGAAGAGUUAGUAGGUGUGUUGCAAACUUAUGAGAUGACUUUUCCUACUAAUCAAUCUUCUUUCAAGUCUUUUUCUAAAAGCACGGGGGUUGCACUCAAAUCAACAAAGAAAGAAGAAGACAACUCGGAUUCCAACGAAGAUAUUUCGCUCGUCGAUUUCGAACAUCAAUUAGCGCUCCUAACGAAGAAGUUCCGACGGAAUUUUCGAAAGAGCAAAUCGAACAAACCUUCAUCUUCGAAGCUUACAUCCUCUUCUAAGCAUUCUUCUAAUUUAAAAUCUAACAAUAAAAAACUUGCAAAGUCUUCGAAUGAAAAAUAUGAGUUUGAAGGGGAAAUCCAAUGCUACAAAUGUAAAGGCUACGGUCACAUUGCAAUGGAUUGUCCUUCUAAGAAGACUUAUAGACAAAAGGCUUUGCAAGCAAAAACUUGGGAUGAUUCUACUUCGAGUGAAUCAUCUUCAAGUGACGAAGAAAAGAAUGAUCAUAUUGCUUUACUUGCUAAUAAUUCUUUGCCUUCGUCUAAUGUUAUGUGCUUAUCCUCAAUUGUUUCUAAUUCUAGUAUUUCUCCUUCCGUGCAAUGUACUUCGAGCGAUAUCGGUGAAAGCGAGGAGGAAUCAAACGACGAGGAUAUAGCGGAAGCAUACAAUGAACUUCUUAUUGAUUCGAAAAAGAUGACCAAGCUCAAUAAGAUGUUGAGGCGUCAUUUAUUGGACAUUGAAGAGGAGAACAAAAAUUUGAAGACCAUGAAUAGUGCUCUCGAGGAGGAAAGGGAAUCAAAUUUGAAAGAUCGUUCAAUCCUCCAAGAGAAGCUUGAUGAAGUGGAAUCAACGAUCAAAUCUUAUAAAGACAAGAUUGGAUUUUUGGAGCAACAAUUCGAGGAAUCGCACACUUCCAACAAGUCAUUGACCAAUCAAGUUCGUCAACUUCAAUCCGACAUACAAAAAUUCUCUACCGGUUCAAAGAAAUUAGAUCAUAUGCUCAAAUUGGGUCAAACGAGCAAGUUGGGUCUCGGAUAUGAAAGAACAUGUGUUGAGACGGUUUCAAAAUCAACUUCUAAAGUCUCAACAACUUCGAAAGAGAAGCUGUGUCAUAAAUGUGGCAUCAAAGGACACAUUAAAAAGAAUUGCUCAAAUAAGGAAAAGAAGAAUCAAUCGGCAAUGUCUAAACCUCAAUCGGCAUCAUCUACAACUCAACUUUCCCCACGGAAUCAAAAGAAAAAUCAAUUGAGUCGAGUACCUCGAGGGAAUCGGACUUCUAAGCCGCGACGUCAAGUUUGACCAUACCCACAAGCAAACCGGAGUUUAAAGGUUCAACCGAAGUUUCAAGCAACGAAUCAACCACCGGUUGAUCUAAUGUCAAAACAAGCCAUGCCGAACGUCAACAAGCCGAGACAACACAAAAUCCGACAAGUUUGGAUUCGGAAAGGUGAUAUCUUUUCUUACUCUUCAUCUUACUUUGUUUUUACUGUUAUGUAAUACUUUGAUUGGUGCUUGUUGCAUAUUUUUUAUUCAUUGCAUUACAUGAUGAUUUUCAUGUGUAAAAUUUGUUUUUAAAAUUGAUUUGAGGAAAGAUGUUUGGAAAUUUUAAAAUUUUUCUUUGAGAAAGGAGAUGAUUGAAAAUCUUUAUUUUGGGGAGAUUAAUUCAUCUUGGUUGUGAGUGUUGAAUAUGAUAGAUGGAUAUUCACUAAUCGACUAAAAUUUUGUCAAAAUUACUUUCAACUGUGUGAUUGUCUAAUUUAGGGGGAGUUUGAAAUUAUUUUUAAAAAAAAAAGAAAAAAGGAGAAAAGAUACUUCUAUGUUUAAAAGAUGUGAAAGAGUUACAUCCUAAAAGGAGUGUGAAAACUACCACCACAUGUAAGAAAGAGCUACCACCCCGGUCGUCCGGCAAGUGUGUGAAGCUACCACAUGGAGAUUAAUUGAAAAGCCGAAAAGGUUAGAAAAAAAAAAUUAAAUAUUUUAGAAUUUUCGGAGUUAUAAAGUAAUAGGAUGAAAAGAUGCUCAAAGAGCCACUCCCGGUGCCAUAUUAGUUAAAUUUCUAUUUUGAACGAGUUGCGACAAAUUGGUGUCAAUUCUGUUGAAUUUCUAAAAAUCAUUUUUCAUCAACUUACAUCUUGAUGGGUUUGAAACAUUAGGUUAUCUUGAUUUCAAAUUUUUGAUGUUUCGAUGUAUUUUGACCUCGUAUAAUAUUUUAUUGUCAUCAUAAUGAUUUUUGGAGUACAAUUUUUAAUUUUUAUAAAAUCAAUUUUAUUUUGACAGAUUUUUGAUAAAAAUAUUUAAAAUUUUCGAAAUCUGUGAAAGUGUACCGGUACAAAAAAACCUUGUACCGGUACAAAACACUGUAUACCGCGGUAUUAUAUCGGUUACAGCAUUCGUUUUUCCCCCAAACUCUUUCAAAAUCCCUCAUUUCUCUCACUAAAAAUCCCAGGUGGUCUUUCUCCUUCAGAUUCACGUAUUUCCCCCCUAGAUUUGUAAGUAUUUUGCUUAGAUUUGAAGAUCUUAUCCCGGUUUUGCUAUUUUUUCAAAAAAUUUCGAGUUGAAGCAUGAUCUGCAUUUUGAUUUGUUUUUGAUGUAAUUUUUUGCUGUGAAUCAGUAUUUGGACAUAUAAUCUUGCUUCUAGAACACUUAGAUCAAGUUAUAACGCUGUAUUUUUUGCUGAUCUAUGAUCUGUACCUCAAUAUACAUGAAAUUUCGAAAUUUUUGAUAAAAUGUCAUUUUUUAUUAAAGUUUUUGCAUGAUCUGGUUAGAAAUAGCGUUAGUAUGCAUUCUAAUAUUAUUAGAAUUUUUUUCGCUAUUUUUACAGAUUUUUUCAAGAUUUUGUUCAUGCAAGGUUGAUUUUUGUAUAGAAAAAAUGGCGUUUUCGUUCGUGUUGCUAAUUUUGGUGCUGAUGGCCGCUGGUCGUGGUCGUGGACGUGGCCGCGGGCGUCGAGCGACGUCCAAAAGGACUCGUACUGCAGGCGAGUCACCCGGGUCUUAUCCGGAUUACCAGGCAAGUUCGCUUGAGGAAGCUGAAGAACCUAUUGCUCGUCCUGACAAGGGCAAAGGCAUCGCUGGAGAAUCCUCGCGUGGAGGUGGUUCUCGUGCAAGAGAUACAUGAUCAAAGCAUGCCGCGGAUGUUCUACAGGAGCGGCGGCGGACGUUUUCGAGUAGGUCAUGUAUUGCUGACCGCUAUGUCAACUUCCAUGACCUAAUCCAAGAAGUUCCAAAUUUUGGUCGCUUACUACAGAGGGUCCCCAUUGAGCCAGUUGGACGUGUUCCAGCUCGAUCUCCUUUUUGUGUGGAACUCAUUCGGGAGUUCUACAUGAAUGGGAAGGUGUGUUCUGAGGAUGAAGAGACCGGGACUUAUCUUCUUAAGACAUAUGCACGUGGGGAGAGGGUUCUAGUCACUCCACACACGAUUGGAGAGUUGUUGGGCAUGCAUGUUGACACGACAGGACUUCAUCAUACUGCUGGGAUUUAUCAGUCUUCGUCUCACUGGGAGACAGUUGUUCGUGCGAUCUGCAAGGAUGGAGUACGAACAAAUCAUGCAUACGUGGAAUCCAAGGAUUUGCGUCCCGAGUAUCAUUUACUCUCCUUGGUGAUGAGCUACAAUGUUCAAUCUACAAUUGGAACAAAAAGGAUUCGGUGGGAUCGUCUGGUGCUUCUAUAUCUCCUUGGAUAUCCUGAGCAAGCGGACGGGUUAAACAUCAAUAUUCCCUUUCUGAUGUGGCAAAGAAUGACACAUGUUAUACAAUCUCCAGUUUGACGUGAUUUACUUCCGUUUCCAUUGUUGAUCAUGAGGAUUCUGCAAGAAUACGGAGUUGACGUGUCGUGUGAGAAGUACGACACUGGACUUGGACCGAUUGAUGCUGUAACUUGGGCCAAGUCAGUCAGCACUCUGAGGACGUUUCAGCAAACAAAAGGAUCGUCACGUGCAGCUUCCAAUUCCGCACCUCCACCUCGAGCAGAGCGUGAGGGAUAUUCUAGUUCAGGGGGAGUGAUUACUGUAGAAUCACUUCACCAUGAGGUGCACUCUUUAAAGAAGAAAGUGACAGAUCUUGCUAAAAAGGUGGAGGUGGGAAUGAAGAGAAUUAUGGAAAAACUAGGGUGUAGGCAUGAUGAUAUAUUUUCUACUCAGCCUACGUACACCACUUACACGAGGUCUACGUCGAGACACCCACUCAUUCCACCAUCCAGUGGUGCUCCUGAGGCUGGGGGAUCUGGAGCUGGAGCAGGAGACGAUGAUGAUGAUGAUGAUGAUGACGAGGACACUGAGUGACUUCUUCCUCGAGCUCUGUUUUUCUACUUUGCUUUUUAGGACGAUGUUUAGUUAGUUGUACUGGUUGUUUUACUUUGUUUUUGCAUUUAUUGUCUUUAGGCUUGUAACUAUGACAUGACUACUCUUAUGCUUUUUAGUAUGCUUUUUCUAUUUAUUUGCUUUAUCUUUGGCAAUUUUUGACAAAAAAGGGGAGAGCAAUGAUGAACAAGUAUUGAUCGUAGCAAAGGAGAAGAUGGAAUAAAGAACAAAGGAGAAGAAGGUAUAAAGAACAAAAGGGGAGAAUGAGUGAAAUUUCGAGGAGAAGAAGCAAUGAAAAUUUGAGAACAAUGAAUGUAAGAAUGUCCAAUGGUCCCAACUUUCUAUAUCAUUUUGGAUAAGUUGUUUUGCAGGAAAUCAAGACUUCAAGACUCCUAGUUGCGUCUAAGUCAUAGAGUCUGUUUUAGGAGUUUUUGAUGUACUUUUGAGUUUAGUUUUUGAUGUACUUUUGAGUUUCAAAUUGUAUUUGGAUCACAUGCGAGGAGUUCGAUGUUUUGGUGAUGAUAUUGAACUUCAUUUUUCUUUAAGAUGUAAUUUUUGAGUUGUUAUGAGUUUUGUCAUGAAAUUGCCAAGGGGGAGAUUGUUAAGUCUUUUGUGUUGGCAAGUUUUAUGAAGUGAGUCGGAGUCUUGAAGGAUCGGUGCGUAUUGUCGAAGAUCAAAGAAUCCAAGAUUUCAAAGAUAGCGGAAUUAGAAGAAAGCGGAAUUAACUCACUAUGUGAAUCACGAUGCCCAGGUAUGCUUUUAAUUCAUGUUAUGGUGAUUUAUGCUUAGUUGUAGGCAUUAGAAUCAUAAUACCAAAGUUUACUGGAUUAGAAAGUACAUUGGUACUUUGCAAAACCCGAAAUCGUAAAAAAAUUGGGCCUUUGCAAAGUGUACCGGUACAGCAUAAGAAGUGUACCGGUACACAUUCUGUUCCGGUACAGCAAGCAACUUUGUCACCGGUUACAGCAUUACGCAGGUUUUUCUCUUUCGUCAUCGUGUAACCGGUAACAGCUUAAAGUGUACCGGUACACAAUGUAAUUUUUGAAAAAAACUUUCUAAUCCGACUCCAAUUGAUUCUAAAGUCUAUAAAUAAGUUAUUGGGGUUCUCUAACAGAUCAAGCAUCACGAAAAUACAUGUCUGAGAAACCCUAGAGGCUCGGAUUUCAUCUAAAACCUAUUUUCUACAUAUUUGCCUCUUUUAGGUCAAAUCGAGAUAUUGGAAAUUCAUAUCUAUAUGUGGAUUUGAUCUUCGCUUCGCUUGGAGUUCUCUUCCUGGUUUUCAUCGAUACUCUAAGUGAAGGAUCACCAUACACAUGAUGUUCUUCAUGACGGCGACGUGGAUUCGACGUGAUUGACGGCGGUUCGUGAGUUUGGAUCGUGAGCUUUGUGGAUUCGGAGUGGAGGUGUUUCGUGGAUUCGAAACGUGGCGUUCGUGGAUUCGAACGUGAGGGUAUGGACAACCCGGAGGAUUGCGCGAGAUUCAUAGGAGGUUAAGAGAGGUCGAGUCCGUGGAGUCGGUAAUCACCUUGUAAUCUUUUCUCUUAGUGAAUUAUUUUUUCGCGUGUUGGUCCCGCGGGUUUUUUACUCCAAGUUGGAGUUUUCCCACGUAAAUCUCGGUGUGAUUUUUAUUUUCCGCAUUUAUUUUUAUCGCAUUGAAAUUUGUGGUUUUUGGCUUUUACACCUAUUCACCCCCUCUAGGUGUUAGAUACAAUCUAGAUAGAUCCUUGGGCUCCUUUAAAACUUUCAAAUUCGAUCGUAGAUUCGCGACGAAAUCCAUCCUUUCAGUCUCCACAAAAACACUAUAUAUAUAUAUAUCAAAUUUAAAUUUAUUUUCAAAUUCAAAUUUGAAUUCUCAUAUUUUAAAAGUCUCAGAUAUUACAAUUGUACUAAAAUGCAAAUUACAGAAAGUAGUAGAUUAAAGUGUAAAGAGUAAUAAAAUGGUUUGUAGACCAAGUGGGCCUCAAUCUGUUGAGUAGUUGGGCUCAUGGGCUGGGCUUUGAGGCUUUCCUAGUUGCCUGAUGCCUAGCGGGGCAGGUCCGCUUCUCUGACCACCCGAUCCACUAAGUAUCUCUAGAUACCUCUUUGCCCACUUCAUAGAUCCUGUGACCUGUCAGUCCUCUCCAUCCUCUCGAGCAACUCCCAACUCGCCAUGAAUGGAGCUGAGAUCCCAUUCUUGCUAUUUUAUUCACUCUACCUACUAGUAAUCUACUUACUAAACCUGUGCUAUCUUUUCUCUCAUUCUUAGGUUAUUACAUACUCCUAUAUAUAGGGAAUAAAAAGAAGCCCAAACCAAAUAAGUUUCGAGUAAGAAUGGUGGAAUGUAUAGGAGGUGAUUAUGUAAUCUAAGAGAAAGUGGUCAAAGCACUUCUUGUAUGGCAACAACUGUUUGAUAAUUACAUGGCCUAAAUACAAGAAUAAUCUUAUAAAGAGAAGAAGAUUGCCAUGAUAGUGGUCUUAUUUCGAAUACAAAAUCACUAUUUUUAACUUUAUCCUUUCAUAUUUUCAGCUAAGUUUAUUUAUAAAAAAAAAAUAGCAAAAUGAAUAUCAAUGCUGCUGUUCUAUUUGAUGCCAUGUGGUUCGAACUCUUGUGUUAUAUCUCCAUUCGGCUUGAUAUAUAUUCCUCUCAAAAUAUUAAUGAAUUAAUACUUAUACCUUUUUUGUUAUAUCUCUAGUCGGCUUGAUAUGCAUUCCUCUCAAAAACUCAAUCGUGAUAUAUGUGAAAAAAUUCCUUUUUUUUUUUUUGUAAUAUCUCUCUUCGGCUAAAAAAUCAAUCGUGAUAUAUGCGAAAAGAUAUUCCUUCUUUCUUGUUAUAUCUCUAUUCGGCUAAAAAAUCAAUCGUGAUAUAUGAAAAGCUUCCUCUAGAAAAACCACCGAUAUUUUCGGGUUUUCUAUGAAAGGAGACGAGGCUUCUGUAGGAUCUAGAAGCAUAUCUAAGAAUAUACAAGUAAAUCCGAUUCAAUUCUGGUUUAUGGAUAUGUUGGCUAUUCAUUUUGUAAAUUUUUUCUACCCUAUUAUUCCGACCCUAUCAGAAAUAACAAAUUAAAAUGCUUAGUUUAAUUUAGAGCCCUAAAUGUCAAACGAAUGUAACUUUCUCAGGUUAGUAGUACCAGUUUCGCCGUACUAGAUAUUAUUGUACUGGGGAUUGAGAUGUUGGAUUCAAUUGUUAGCCCCCAGAAGAGUCGAAAUUAAGAGUUACGUAUAUACAGGAUAAGAGAGCGAAGAGAAGGUCGUUGUUGAGUUCCAAAAUCCACGACGAGGUUCACUUCCUCUUCUUCUUUUCUCGCUCUUCUCUUUCUCUAAGUUCUUAAAAAAAGAAAAUUAUUUUGGGCUGGGCCUAAAAGUACCUGAAUCCAAUUCACUUUGGUUUUUGACUUGGUCGACAUCAGUGAACUAAUCUGAGGUAAGCUAGACAAGAUUUACACCUACAUUAUUAGGUUGGAAUUUUCAUCUCCAAUUAUGCAAAUGUGACGUAGAAUUUUAGUCGUCCCAGCUGCACUCUUAACAACGCAGAGGUCCGUGCUUCAGAGUUAUUGCAGAGGUUGGAACUUCAUAAAAAGACAAGAAUAAUUACGUCUAUCCGGCACUCGAAGAAAUUUUAGUAGAAUAUGUCAUAUAUUUCAUCCUUGUGAAUGAUGGAUCAAGUUGUUAUUUUCGUACAUUUAUUAUGAUUCUUAUGAUGAUUAUUAAUUGUUAUACGCAUCAUUGAGCACGUUGUUUUGAUAUCCAGCUAGGAUUAUAUAUACUUCCAAGUUUAGGGUCCUUGUCCUUUUUGGGGAGUAAUGCGUCUCCAUUAAUUAUCGGUUUCCAAAUUGAAUAGUUCGAUGCAGCUUUUGAGCCUGGCCGUUUGGUUGCGUAUAGUUGUAAUUGUACAACAGUAAUAACUAUAUGUAUGUACUUAACUCUAAUUGCUUCAGGAGGAGGGUCAACUGCAGCAUUUGAAACUAUGUCUAAAUUGGCCGCAGUUUUAACUGUAGCAGAUGGAAAAAAUAAUUUUUAACAAAAAAACUCAAUUAUCUUUUUUUUUUUUAUAUUUGAGAUAACCUCACAAUCAUAUAUAUAUAUAUAACUAUUAUAUAUAUAUAUAUAUAUAUUAUAUAUAUGAUAUAUAUUUAUGAGUACGAAUCGCUUUCGUACUCAUAAGUUGUUGUUCGCAUGAUAGAACUUGUCGAAUCCGCACGAUCCAUACUGUUAAAAUUAUCUAGAGAAUUUAAAAAACUUUCGAGAAUCAAUUUAUAAUUUUCAAUAUCAUUUAACUCUAAGAUCAAAAGCUCACAAAAUGACAAUUUUAACGGCCGGGUAUUGCAGUAUUUGCUAGUUAUAAACAGUGAAAAAGAAUCCAGAAAUAGGUUGAAUUUGUGAUAGAAGAAUCUAGUCGACUACGUAAAUAUAAGAUCAAUAACUGGCGAUCUUAAAUUGAGGAUCGAGUCGAUCCAUUUUAAGAUGUCAUUCGAUUUUAAACAUAUUCAUUUAUAUACCCGCUUGAUGGACUUUUAUAAUGAUUUUAAAAAAUUCACGAAAUUUAUUCUAGAGUUUCAAAAUACUCUACAUCAUUUUUACGGGGGGAUCUCGAUUCGAAAAGCCCGAACAUCUCAAAAACAACUUAUGAGUAUGAAGAGCCCUCGAUACUCAUAGAGAUAUAGUUAGCCUCUCAUAUAUAUUAUAAGAUAUAAUAUAUAUAUAUAUAAUAUAUAUAUAUAUAUAUAUAAUAAAAAUUUUAAAAAUCAUUUAUCAACUGUAUACACCAAACAAAUGUUAUAGUUGCAAGCAUCUACUACACUGGUUUACCUUUACCAUCCUAACCACAAUGAUUUCAUAUAGUUACAACAAUGAUUUCCAACUGUAUUGUAUUUGUAAUUAUGUUAACCAAACGGGCCCUUAAUGCCAAACUCGUUUUCUCUUUUCACGUUCUAAAUAAAUCGAGAAUUAAUUUUUUGUUUGGGUAAAUUGCUAUUUGGUCUUUAAACAUAAGGUGGGUACACUUUUAUCUGCAAAUUAUUUGUUAUAACUUCUUGCAUUCAAACUUUCAGAAUGAGUUACAUCAAAUUAUGAUAAUUUUAUUAAUGACUAAAUCUUAAUAGAUUAUAAUUGUAUAUGAUGUUAUAUAUAUAUUAUUGAUUAUUAAUGGAUGUGCGCAUUUCAAUUAGGUUGGAUAAAUAACUCAAAUAUCGAUAGUUCAGAUAAUUCUCUCAAUUUUCAUGAAAAAUAAUACCUUCCAGUAAAUAAUGUUUUUAAACAUAUUAUGAAAAAUACUCCUAGGGUUUGGUUUGAUAGAAAUUAUAGUUUAAGUUUUUUUAUUCGGCUGCUUGAUAUGCUUGAAUGAUUUUUUUUUUUUUUUUUUUUUGUCCUCUGGAAAACAACUUAAUUUACCAACUAUUUUUGUACGCACUGUAGUGUUACCGUGUAAAGCUGGAUAAGGUAGGUUGUGGCCAAACAUCACCUUAUCAAUUAGGACCAUAACAAAUGAUUAGUGUUGACAAAAUAAGGAAACGCCAAGUACAUACAUUUUUUAAUAUCAACAUAUAUUGAAUAGGAGAAUCUCAUUGAUCUUAUAUUUUUAUUAAGGGUGGUUAAAAACUGGUUCAGGAAUGUAUCAUAUCUUUCUCUUCUUCACAUUAAACCGCCUAAUCAAGUGUGGGAACGCGAAUCUAUGAUUGGAGAACACAACAAUUGAAUUGCCAACUAUGAAAUAAGUGUAGCAAUCCCACCUACUAACAAUAAUUAUUUUUUAAAAAAUUUUUAUCACUAUUUUUUAUGAAAUUUUAUUUUUAACCGUUCAUUUUGAUCUUGUUCCAUUGUGUCCAAAGCAUUUUAAAAGCGUUCAGUAGUAAUUUAUUCAAUAUAAUUUUUUUAUAUAAUUAGAAAAUAAAUUUUUUUUUUAAUGUAAUUAGAAGGUAGGAGUUUGAUUUUUGCUAUUUCUAAAGGUCUUCAAAUUUAUGAUUUGGAUUGCAUAUUUUACUUAAUAGAUGAAUUUAUUUUAUUCUGAAAAAAAAAUAAUAAUGCAGAAUAUGGUUUCACUUCUAAAUAUUUGAUAACCCUCUUCAUCUACCAUGCAAAUACCACCUACUUUUUGAAUAAAUUAAAGAGAUGUCAAAUAACAUAUUUAUGCACCCAAAAACUAAUUCUAAUUAUUUAUGUAAUAUUAGAAGAAGUAUGUAUAGAGGUUUGUCGUGUGUACCGCAGAUAUUUUAUCUCAUUGAAAAAGGAAUCAGGUGGAACUCCUGAACCCUAAUUGGUGUUUCAGUGCUUCGAUUGGUCACAUAAAUAAUUAAACAAAAAAUUUAAUGUUUAUAUAUACAUAGAUUCAAACCACCAGUCAACCAAGAUAUCAAUCGGCGUUACUUAUUAAAUUAACUUAACGACAUAACAAGCGUAGUUACAUAACAAACAAUAGUCAACAAGAAAAUGGUUUUGCCACCUCCCUUGUUUUAUAUUUAUAUAUAGAGAGAGAGAAAGAGUUGGGCUGCUAUACUAUCGGUAACACGAAAGUUUUCGUGUUAUCAAGUUGUUUUCAACGAUACGACUUCCAAAUCAAUUAUUUGUUCCAUUAGACUUAAUCAUUUAUCAAGCGAUCGAAAGGGUUCAAAAUCAACGGUUGAAAAUAAAAAUCUCACAAAAAUUGGUGAUAUAGCAUUAAAAUUUUCGAUCUGAGACAUUGAUCUUGCUGCAAAUAGUAUAAAAAAUUUUCUAUCAAAAUUUCAUAUGAUUUAAAUACUUCUACACCGUUAAACUUGCAAACGAUAUACAUCAGCCAUUAAAAAUUGUUGAUUUUAAACCUUUUCGAUCACUAGGUAAAUGAUAUCGAAAAAUCGCAAAAUUUAUUUUCUAGAUACUUCAAAUAUGCUAGAUCAAGUCUAACGGAGCCGAUCGUCGAUUUGAAAACUGUAUCAUCGAAAACGGCUUAGGAGCACGGAGGCCUCCGUGCUCCUAAUAGCACACAAGACCUACUCUCUCUCUCUCUCUCUCUCUCUCUCUCUCUCUCUCUCUCUAUAUAUAUAUAUAUAGAGAGAGAGAGAGAGAGAGAGCAGGGCUGCUGUGCUCUCAGGAGCACGGAGGCCUCCGUGCUCCUGAGCCGUUUUCGAUGAUGGAAUUUUCGAAUCGACGAUCGGCUCCGUUAGACUUGAUCUAGCGCAUUUGAAGUUUCUAGAAAAUAAAUUUUGCGAUUUUUCGAUAUCAUUUAUCUAGUGAUCGAAAAGGUUUAAAAUCAAUAAUUUUUAAUGGCUGAUGUAUAUCGUUUGCAAGUUUAACAGUGUAGAAAUUUUUAAAUCAUAUGAAAUUUUGAUAGAAAAUAUUUUAUAUUAUAUAAAACAAGAUCAAUAACUUUGAUCUAAAAUUUUAAUGUCAUAUCAUCAUAUUUUGUAAGAUUUUUAUUUUCACAUUGAUUUUGAGCCCCUUCGAUCACUAGGCAAAUGAUAUCGAAAAAUCGCAAAAUUUAUUUUCUAGGUGCUUCAAAUACUCUAGAUCAAGUCUAACGGAGCCGAUCGUCGAUUCGAAAGUCCCAACAUCGAAAACAAAUUGGAGGCACGGAGGCCUCCGUGCUUCCAUAAGCAUACUAGCCGCACUAGUGUAGUCAACAAUUUUUAAUCAACAAUUUUUAAUGGCUGAUGUAUAUCGUUUGCAAGUUUAACAGUGUAGAAGUAUUCAAAUCAUAUGAAAUUUUGAUAGAAAAUUUUUUAUACUAUUUACAGCAAGAUCAAAGUCUCUGAUCGAAAAUAUUAAUGCUAUAUCACCACUUUUUGUAAGAUUUUUAUUUUCAACCGUUGGUUUUGAACUAUAUAUACACACACACAGAUGUUAUGGAACAAAUAUGAGAGCAUGGCUAAAGAUUAGGAACUGAUGAUGAAACUAGCCCUCCAAGAUAAGGAUCUCAUUAUAACCAAAAAAAAUAUAAAAAAAAAGGACAAAAUAAAAAAUAAAAAAAACUGACAAAGGUUGGUGAUUAAUAGUGCAAUUAAACAAAAAAAUAUAUAUAUAAAAAAACUUAUCUUGCACAUAUAGUUUCCACAGGUAAUUAAGAUGUCUCUAUCUUGUGCCUAACCUGUAUAUUACUAGCCCCACUUUAAUUGCUGUACCCUCAAGUUACGUAAAAGAUCUAGAUGUACAAGAAAUAGUUAUCAUCUGAAUUUGAAUAUAAAAAAAAUAAAAAAAACGGUUGCGACACCUAAUGGGACUUAAUAAUUCUAAUUUCGUUACUUAAAUUAAUAAUAUCAUAUGUCCGUUUUACUGUGCUCUUUUAGAAUUAAUAGAAUUUUCAAAACUUCCUAAUAAAAUAUAUAAUAAAAAAUUAUAUAACUUGGAAUAAUAUUUUGUAAUUAAUUAGUGAUAUUAAUUAACUUAUAAGAAAAUUUGUGAUAAAUUUUGAGAAAAUUAACAUAAAUUAAAAAAUAAAUGGUUAUAUAUAUAUAUAUAUAUAUAUAUAAAAUAAUAAAAUUUUAAAAAUUAUUUCUCAAUUGUAUAAAACCAAACAAAUUAUUUAUAGUUGCAACGCUUUCUACUACAUCCAACCAAACAUGAUUCAUAUAGUUACAACAAUAUUUCCAACUGUAUUGUAUUUGUAAUUAUAUUUAACCAAACGGGCCCUUAAUGCAACUCGUUUCUCUUUUCAGUCUUCUAAAUAAAUGGAGAAUAUUUUUUUUUGGGUAAAUUGCAUAUUUGGUCUUUAAACUAUAAGGUGGGUAACACUUUUAUCUGCAAACUUUCAUUUGUUAUAACUUCUGAUUCAAACUUUCAGAAUAGUUACAUCAAAUUAUAUAAUUCAAUUUAAUUGACUAAAUAUUAAUACAUUAUUAAUAUAGAAAUGAUGUUGUAAUAUUACGAUAAUGAUGUGCGAAUUUCAAUAGGUUGGAUAAAUAACUCAAAAUUAUCGAUAGUUCAGAUAAAUUCUCUCAAUUUUCAUGAAAAUAAUACCUUCCAGUAAAUUAUGUUUUAAACAUAUUAGAAAAAUCACCUACUUUGGUUUUGAUAGAAAUUAUGUUUAAGUUUUUUUUAUUCGCUGCUUGAUAUGCUUGAGUUUUUUUUUUUUUUUUUUUUUUUUUUUUAUAAACAUGUAAACAUUGCCUUGCUGUAAUUAUGUAUCAUACUUGAUUUUGAAUUUUCCAAAUUAAGUGAUAUGUGGUUAACGUACUCUUUAUUGUUAUCAUCAAUGCUCCAUUUGAGUAUACUUCACUUGGGUGUGUCACAUACUAUUUCUGUAAUGAUAUCACUGCUAUUCAAAAUUUUCCAUUUANNNNNNNNNNNNNNNNNNNNNNNNNAAGAGAGAGAGAGAGGAGAAGUCUAUGUGUGCUAUUAGGAGCACGAGGCCUCCGUGCCUCCUAAGCCGUUUUUUCGAUGAUGGAGCUUCCGAAUCGACGAUCGGUUCAUUAGAUUUAAUCUAGCCGUAUUUGAUAGAUCUAAGAAAAUAAUUUUAUGAAGAUUUUCGAUAAUCAUUUAAUCAAGCGAUCUAAAAAGGUUCAAAAUACAGUUGAUAAAUAAAAAUCUCACAAAAGUGAUGAUAUAUGCAUUAAAAUUUUCGAUCAAGACAUGAUCCUUGCUGUAAUAAUAGUAUAAAAAUUUCUUAUCGAAAGUUCAUAUAGAUUCAAAUACUUCUACAUUCGUUAAACUUGCAAACGAACUACAUCAGCACAUUGAAAAUUGUUGAUUUUAAACACUUUCGAUCACUAGGUAAAAAUAUCGGAAAAUCGCAAAAUUUAUUUUUGUCACGAUACCUCAAAUAAGCUAGAUCAAGUAACGACGCCGAUACGCGAUAUCGAAAAACUGUUCAUCGAAAACGGGUUAGGAGCCACGAUAGCCAUCCGUGUCUCCUAAAGCCGUUUCAAUGAUGGAGCUUUUGAAUCGACGAUCGCUUCCGUUAGACUGAUCGCGCUAACAUAUUUGAAUAUUCUAGAAUAUAGUUUUUUGCGAUUUCGAUAUCAUUUAUCUAGCGAUCGACAAGGGUUCAAAUCACGUUGAAAAAAAAAUCUCACAAAAAGUGGUGAUAUAGCAUUUAAAUUUUCUGGAUCAAGAGACAUUGUAUUGCUGUAAUAGAACUAAAUGAAAAAAUUUUUCUAUCAAAAUUCACUAUGAUUUGAAUACUUCUAAUACACGAUAAACUUAACAAACCAUAUAACAAUUAGCCAUUAAAAUUGUUAGAUUUUAAACCCUUUCGACUCGCAUAGAUAAAUGAUAUCGAAAAAAGUCGCAAAAAAUAUUUCUAGAUACUUCAAUAAGCUAGAAUCAAUCUAACGAACCGAUCUCGAUUGCGGAAGCUCCAUCAUCGAAAACGACUUAAGCAACGGAGCCUCCCGGCUCCUAAUAGCACCACAAGAUCUACUUCCGAAUCGACGAUACGUUACGUUAAGACUGAUCUUAGCCGUAUUUAAUAAUCUAGAAAAUAUUUUUGCGAUUUUUCGAUAAUCAUUUAGCCAGCGAUCGAAAGAGUUUAAAUGCAAAACAAUUUUUUAAUAGGUGAUGUAUAUCCGUUUGCAAGUUUAACGGUGUAGAAGUAUAUUCAAAUCAUAUAAUUUAUAGAAAAUUUUAUUAUUACUUUCUACACAAGAAAUCAAUAAUCUCUGAUCGAAAUUUUAAAUGCUAUAUUACGACUUUUUUGUGAGAUUUAUUUAUUUUCAACCUUGUUUUGAACUAUAUAUACACAGUGCAGCCACAGAUGUUAUGGACAACAAUAUGAAGAGCAUGCACUAAAUGGUUAGGAACUGGAUGAGAAACUAGCCCGCCAAGAAUAAGGAUCUCAUAUAACAAAAAAAAUAUAAAUAAAAGAGGACGAAAAUAAAAUUAAAAAAAACUGGACAAAGGUUGUGAUAAUAUGCAAUUAAACAAACAAAUAUAUAUAAAUAAAUAAAAAAUUAUCUUGCACAUAUAGUUAUCCACAGGUAAUUAAGAAUGUCUCUAUCUUUGCCUAACGCAGUAUAUACUAACCUCGCACUUUAAUGCCUGUACCCUCAAUUUACGUAAAAGAUCUAAGUAUGUACAAGAAAUAGUUUAAUCAUCUGCAAUUGAAUAUUAAACAAAAAAAAAAAAAUGUUGCGAUCACCUAAUGGAACUUAAUAUUCUAUUUCGUUACUUAAAUUAAUAAUACAUCAUAUGUCCGUUUUACAUGUUGCUCUUUUAGAUAUUAAUAGAAUUUUCAAACUGUCCUAAUAAUUAAUAUAUAAUAAAAAAUUAUAUAACCUGGAAUAAUUUUUGUAAAUAAUUAGUGAUAUUAAUAACUAUAAGAAAAUCUUUGUGAAUAAAUUUUGAGAAAAUUAACCAAAAUUAAAAAUAAAAUUGGUUAAAUAUUAUUCGUUAUUAUAUAUAUAUACUAUAUAUAUAUAUAUAUAUAUAUAUAUAUAUAUAUAUAUUAUAUAUAGAGUGAGCUAUAUGCUAUCUGAAGCACGGAGCCUUCGUGCUUCCAGCCUUUUCGAUGUUGGCAGACUUUCGAAUCGUCGAUCGUUACCGUUUAAACUUGAUCUAGAGUAUGUGAGUACCUAGAAAUAAAAUUUUUAUUAUUUUUCGAUAUCAUUUUGCCUGUGAAGCGAAUGGCUGCAAAAUCAAUAUGUCAAUGCCGUAGUGACCGUGUUUGGCAAAGUUACGGUGUAAGAAAUAAUCUAAAUCACGUAAAAUUGAUAGAAAAUUCUUAUACUAAUAUAAAACAAAUGCAAUAUCUUUGAUUUAAAAUUUUAAUGUCAUAAGAUUUAUUUUUUAAACAUUUUUUUUUUAUAAUUUUUUAUUUUCAGGCCGUUAAUUUAUGAGCCCCUUCGUUCACAUAGGCAAUGAUAUCGUAAGAAUCAAUAAAAUUUAAUUUCUUAGUACUCCAAAUACUCAAGACUCAAGUUUAAACGGAGCCGAUCGGCGAUUCGAAAGUCGCAACAUCGAAAACGAGAUGGAAUGAACGGAAGGCCCGUGCUUCUAUAGACAUAGUAGCCUCCCUUCUCCAUCUCUUCUAUAUAUUAUAUAAUAUAUAAGUGGCUAGAAUACUUUUAACAAGUAUCACUCAAUGAUAUUAUUUUUUAAAUUUAUGAUUAUAAAAGUUUGGAUCAAACACUUAUUAAAACUCACCUACCAAAAAAAUCACCACUACCACACCAAUCAUCAUCAACCUCACAAUCUCUAGCCAUCCAAGCAAGAAAAACACACAAUAUAAACCCAAGGAUACUUUAUACCAAGUAUUACAUAAACUCUUAGCCUAAUAUAUAGUACUGAUCUUUGUGCUGAAGAGAGUCCCGUCUUCUACUUUGUUUUUGAUGUUCGCAAAAAACUUUAUCGACGAUCGCUCCGUUUAGAGUAUAUUUAAGAGUAUUGAAAGUACGCUAGAAAAUAAAUUUUGCGAUUUUUCGAUAUCAUUGGAAAAUAUAAAUAAUUUACGCCCGUGGUGAGACGAAACGUGCAAAAACGGUAAAAAAAUAUCUAAUCAAAUACACUCCUAUUGAAACUCUAUACCAUAAAAAACAGAUCAAAGUAAUUUCGAUCUAAGAAAUUAAUAGCAUAUCAUGCAUACUUUGUAAGUUUUUAUUUUUAGCGUUAAUUUAUAGAAGGCAUAAAAAAUCGAAAAAUCAAAAAAAAAUAAUAUUAAAAUAAAUCAAUGUCUAACGGAACCGAAACGUACGAUUCGAAAAUCCGAACAUGAAACAAAGGAAUUCACCCCCAACGCAGAGCCGCUCAGUGCUUCCAAUAAGCAUCCAUAGCUGGCACUCAUAAAAUUAUAUAUAUAUAGUAUAUAUAAGAGAGAAAGGGAGAAAGAGAGAGAGAGAGAGAGAGAGAGUAGGUCGGAGGCCUCCAUGCUCCUAAACAGUUUUUGAUGAUGGAAUUUAUGAAUCGACGAUCGGCUCCGUUAGACUUGAUCCAGCGUAUUUGAAAUAUUUAGAAACUGAUUUUUGCAGUUUUUCGAUAUUAUUUACUUAGCAAUCAAAAGGAUUUAAUAUUAACGACUGAAAAUUAAAAUCCUAUAAAAAGUGGUGAUAUUGCACUAAAAUUUUUCAAUCAGAGAUAUUGAUCCUAUUGUUGAUAGUGUAAAAAAUUUUGUAUCAAAAUUUUAUUUGAUUUGAAUAUAUUUACGCUGUUAAACUUGAGAACGCCAGACAUCAACCAUUAAAAUUUAUUGAUUUUGAACCUUUUCGAUCAGUAAGUAAAUAAUAUCAAAAAAUCGUAAAAAUUAUUUUGUAAAAACUUCAAAUACGUUAGAUCAGCUCUAAUGGAGCGGAUCGUCGAUUCGGAAAUUCCGUAAUCGAAAAUUGUUCAGGAGCACGGAGGCUUAAUUCAUAAUUAGUAACCUAAGCUGGAUCAAAUUUUAAUCACAACUUGGAUUGACAUAAAUUUUGUAUCCCAAAAUUAUCGUCAUACAGAAAAAAAAAAAAAAAGCUCACCAACUCAACAGAAUUUUGAUUUUUUAUUCAUUUAAAUUAAUUAAAUAAAAGUCAAAUAAUACAUGAUCGCACAUGUCAACUUCACAAGAAGUACAUGAUCCUGCAUGACAUUCACAAUUUAAGACAAGGACACAAACAUUUAUUUGAUAUCGAGGAAGCGGGGAAAUCAAAUUGCUUAUUUUAUAUAUAUAUAUAUAAUAUAUAUAUAUAAAGUAUAUAUAUAUAUCUAUGAGUGAGGCUACUAUGCUAUGUACACGGAAGGCAUAUAUAUUAAUAUAUAUAUAUUAAAUAUAUAUAUAUACUAUAUACUAUAUAUUAAUAAUAUAGUGAGCUACUAUGCUAUCGAAAGUACGGGAGCCUUCCUGCUUCAAGUUCGUUUUUCAGAUGUUGCGACCUCGAAUCGUCAGAUCGGCUCCAUUAAAACUGAUCUGAAUUUGAAGUACUAGAAAAUUACAAUUUUAUAUUUUACGAUCAUUCAUUUCUAGUGAACGAAGAAGGCUUCAAAAUCAACCGUUGAAAAUAAAAAUCUAUGAAAUUGUAAUAAUAUGGAAAUUAAAAAUUUAAACAUAAGAUAAUCUGAUUAUUGUUGUAUAUAUGUAAAUAAGAAAUUUUUCUAUUCAAAAUUCCCGGUGAUUUGAAUUUCUAAAACUGUAAAACUUGCAAAGGCCAAAGCACUUCCUACGCCAUGUGAACAUUGUGUUGAUUUGAGGCAUUCGACACUAGUCAAAUGAAUCUUAAAAAUUAAUAAAAUUUUUUUUCUAGUACCCCAAAAUAUUGCUCUAGAUCACUUUAACGGAGCCGAUAACCAAUUCGAGAGCUCGGCAACAUCGAAAACGAGUAGAAGCUACGGAAGACUCCACGUGCUUCCGAUAGAUAGUACCCUCCACUAUAUAUACUAUUAUAUCUAUAAUAAUAUAUAGUCAUAUAUAUAUUAUAAUAUAUUAUAUAUAGUAAUAUAUAUAUAAUAUAAUAUAUAUUAUAUAUACUCCAAAUCGGACUGUUAUUAAUAAAUUAGUCUAAAUAAAGUUCUUUUUCUUUUUUUUUCUUUGGUCAAUUUGCAUAAAAAAUCCACUAUUUUGGGUUUUGUAAAAUCGGCCACAUUUAGUUUUUUGUAGAUUUUCGUCCGCCUUUUUAGUAACUGACCGUAAAUACCCCUAUUUAUUUUCUCUUCCUCGCGCUCUUCUCUCUCUCUUUCGUUUUCUCGUCUUUUUUUCUCCUUGCGAAAAAAAACGGAAGAAAGCUAAGCGGAAACAGUCCGCACUCGCCUCACCUCUAUGCUCUCGCCCUUCGCUCUGCCGCCCAUCNNNNNNNNNNNNNNNNNNNNNNNNNCAUGGAGGAGAAGUAGGCGAAUGGCUCCCCAUGUUAAGCAGUUUUGAUGGAUUAAUGAUUAUCGGGAACGGAUCGGUCCGUUAGACUUGAAGUACGGCGUAUCUUGAACAUGCAUUUAUAGAAACUGAUUUUCUGCAGUUUUUCGAUAUUAUCUUACUGGCAAUUCAAAGGACUUUAAAUAUUUAACGGGCUGAUUAAAAAUCCUAAAAAGUGGUGUACUUUACUAAAAUUUAAGUCAACCAGAGUAUGAUCUAAUUGUGAUAGUGUAAAAAAUUUUGGUAUUAAAAUUUCAUAUUGAUUUGAUAAUUUACGCUGUUUAAAACUAGAAAACGCCAAGACAUCAAAACCAUUAAUUUAUCUGAUUUUGAACUUUUAGAUCAAUAAGUAAUAUAUCAAUAAAGAAAAGAUUUUGUACUUCAAUACGUUAGAUCAGCUCUACGAGGGAUCGACGAUUCGGGAAACUUACGUAUCGAAAAAUGGUCGAGGAGCACGGAGCUUAAUUCAUAAUUAGUAACCUAUAGCUGUUAUCAAAUUUUAAUAUCAACUUGGAUUGACAUUAAAUUUUGGUAUUUCCAAAAUUAUCGUCAUACAGAAAAAAAAAGUUCACCAAAGACUCAACAGAGAAUUUUGAUUUUUAUUCUUUCAAUUAAUUAAAUAAAUAAUAAUACAUGAUCGCACCAUGUGAACUUCACAAGAAGUAGAUGAUCAGUGUCAUGGAAUUCACAUUUAUAAGGACAAGAACAAACAUUUAGUUGUAUCGAGGUAAGCAGGGGAAAUCAAUUGCUUAUUUAUAUAUAUAUAUAUUAUAUAUAUAUAUAUAAUAUACGAUAUAUAUAUAUGAGUGAGGCUACUAAUGCUAUCGCAAGCACAAGGCAUACUAUAUAUAUAUAUAUAUAUACUAUAUAUAUAAUAUAAUAUAUUAUAUAUAUAUAUAUACGAGAUGCGGCUACUAUGCUAUCGAAAGUACGGAGCCUUCCGUGCUUAUCAGUUCGUUUCUAUGUCUUCGACUUUCGAAUCGAUCGAAUCGGCUCCAUUAAUGAUCUAGAGUAUUUGAGUAUCAUAGAAAAUAAUUUUAUAUUUUACGAUUUCAUGUUGCCUAGUGAACGAGAGGCUCUAAAAUAUCAGAACGGCUGGGAAAAUAAAAAUCUUAGAAGAAAAUGUUAAUAAUGUAUGACAUUAAAUUUUUAAAUCAAAGAUAUUGAUAUGUUUUAUAUAGUAUUAAAGAUUUUCUAAUCAAAAUUUCACUGUGAUUUGAAUAUUUCUCACUUGUAAAACUUGCAAACGACUCACUAGGCGCAUUGAAAUUUGUUGAUUUUGGCCCAUGUGCUCACUAGGCAAAAUGAUGAUAUCUAAAAUAAUAAAAUUUAAUUUUCUAGGUAUACUCCAAAUACUCUAGAUCAAAGUUUAACGAGCCGCAUCACAAUUCGGAGUCGCAACAUCGGAAACGAGCUAGAACACGGGAAGGCUCCGUGCUUCAGAUAGCCAUAGUUAGCCUCACUCUAUUAUAUAUAUAUUAUAUAUAUACGUAUAUUAUAGUAUUAGGUUUAUAUAUAUAUAUAUAUAUAUAUAUAUAUAAUUUUACUAUAAUAUGUCAAAUCGACUUCGAUUUAUUAAUAUUAUCUAAAUAAAGGUUCUUUUUCUGUUUUUUUGUUCUUGCCAUUUGCAUAAAAAUCCAUAUUUUGGUUUUUUGCUAAAAUCGGGCACAUUUAGUUUUUGUAUGAUUCGUGUCCGCCAUUUAGUACAACUGACAAAUAUACCUUAUUACUUUUCUGCUUUCCUCUUUCUCUUUCUCUUCGUUUUUCUCGUUCUUUUUUUUCUCGCGCGAAAAAAUAACGAAGGCAGAGGCGAAGGCGGAAAUCGCGUCGCCUCGCCUCUCACCCUCAUGGCUCUCGCCCAUCGCCUCGCCCUCGCCCUCGCCCACGCCACCCUUCAACCUUUCCAUCGCCUCCGCCCGUCACGGCGCGCCGCGACCUUUUUUUUUUUUCUUUUUUUCUUUUCUUUUCUUCUCUGACUUCAUCGACCGUCUCAACGACGGACGUCUCUCUCUCAAUUCGUUUCCCUGCCCUUCUCAGUUCUGCUUCUCUCCCUCUUAUAUUGCGCUCUCCAGACGACGAGUGCCAUCUCGCGGCGGCGACAGCCGACACGGUGGAGGUCACUGCCGCUCUGCAGCCCUAAGCGGAGAGGUCCUUAUGUCACGCCCGGAUUACACGUUCGGCAGGCCGCCGAAUCAAAUCACCUUAUGCAAAAAAUAUUUUCCUGUAUCGAAGCGAAGCUAGUACCUGUAUAAAACAUAAAUAUACAAAAGUAGUAUAGAGCUUAGCUAAGAAUAGUAAAGUAAAAAACCGAGUUCCAUUACUUACACUGAAACCCGAGUACAAAGCUACUCGCGCCGAUGGCGAUUUAAAAGUCUGUUGUACAUGAACCCAAACCAAAAACAUCUACCUGCCGUAGAUGUGCCUCAUAGCUUGCUCUCAGGGUAGGGGGCUAACUCGUUGACGCCUUGACCUAGCUCCUGACCAACAACACGCAGCCAGCGAGACGGAAGACUCUGCAAAAACGGGUAACAACGUCGUGGAACGUACUUAGAACAGUAGUCCUAGUGUGGUGCCGCUCAACAUUAUGGUCCACCACUAAGUCUAAGAAGAGUAACAAGGGCUAGCCGGAAAAGCGGCGAAAGAAAUCUACCGCCUACACACGGCGUACACUAGCAUGAUCUACACUAACCAACUGUUAGUAAAGUCACACACUAUCAAUCUCACUAGGGACUGUGAAACACGCGUCCCGAGUCCUGUCGGAUCGAACCCGUAACCUACUCCAGGAGUAGCUGGUGGAGAAAACUCUCUAGGGACUGUGAAUACACCCAUCCCGUCUAAUUAGGUGACACCGUAGCUCGAGAGUAACCGGCGGAGAAGACUCUUUAAAGACUGUGAAUACACCCGUCUCGUCUACUAGACUACACCGUAUCUCAAGAGUAACCGGCAGAGAAAACUCUCUAAAGACUGUGAAUACACCCGUCUCGCCUAAUUAGACUACACCAUAUCACAAGAGUAGUCGGUUCCAGAAAAGGUCCAACAGGACGGCUAAGACUCCAUUCACGUCACAACCUCACCAAAGGUAGGGAAAAGCGUCACUCACUAUCUCACCCGGGCUGCCCAAAACGGACCCACCCUGCCUGUAUCUAGCUGCGCCGUACACCACCCCGAGGGUAGCCGGCUCAAGAACUGUCCAACAGAAACUGCGACACUCAUCGCACUGAAACCUCAUUCCGGAAUGGCAUUCGUGGGCGCGACCCAACGAGUUUACAAGUAUCUCUGUCAAUUUCAUACCGCUCUCACAGGCUAAGUAAAGUAACCGACUCUAACUGGUCUAACAACCAACAGGUAACGUGCCCUCGGCACAAUCUAACGCCAAAAAGGCGAUACGAGUCCACCGUCAACUUCGACGGCACCCAACGGUCCGGAACAGCCUGAACGCUACUGUAAAAAUACACUCGGCAUUCCAGCAUGAGCGUAACUAAAAACUAAACUACCUGGAAUACUCACUAUGAGGAUACUGCAACAGUAUAAAAUAAUACAACGGCCCCUAGGCUAAAUCAGGUAGUUUAACAUAUGCCAGAUCCCGAACGCUGGUUUUCUCCUAAGUUUAAUUCUAAGUCCAACAUGUAUAUUUAUAGUUACAAGUCAUGCCCUCAAGCUAAUUUUAUUCAUUAUACAAUCGACGAAAUUGAGCUACUACAUGAUUUACAAAAAUAGGAAAUCAUACAUGUCGACUACUAUAAUACUUAGGAAUAAACCGAUGUAACCCACCUCGAUCGCUAAUCUCUGGCAGCACGGAACUCCCCUCGGCUGCGAAACAACCUGCCGAAACGUCCGAAAACCUCCCAAGGCCCGAAGUCAAGCUCCCGCUAAACUCUACACGGAGAAUCCGACAAUAAACAUUAAUUCUGCCUCCAAAAACAGAAACAGAGAAGAGCGAAAUUCCAACCUAGCAAACCUUUACCAAAUCCAGCAAGUAAGGGCUUCGUGGAUUCCUCUCGAAGUCCCGAAUCCAAAUAACCAAGUCCCGUCGAAACCCGACGCUCCUACGCCGAGUACGAACUGAAAUACCGACGGUCGACGCUGGAAAUUCUGCAAAUCAGCACCAAGCUCGAAAUGAUAAUAUUUGAAGCAAUGCAACGGAACACUCACCUCAAAGGCUAAUCGGACAUCGACGCGGCGUCGAGAACGGCGAAAACACACCCUCGCCUAGCUUCCUCGCAGCGCUACGAUCCCAACCGUACCCUCGAACGUCUUCGCGACGCGUCGUCGGCGUCGAAUCCGAGCUCCUCGGCUACCUCUACCCGUGCUCUCCGCCAUGCACGUAAUUAACUAGAGAGAACAAAAAAAAUGCACACCCUCUGUUAAUUUGAAGGGAUAAACAUGAAAACGGUGGUGGCAUCCUUAUCCAAAAAAAAUGACCACUAUGCCCCUAGACCAACUCAAAAUGAAGGGUAUUACAUCCUCCCCCACUAUAAAAAGUUUCGUCCUCGAAACUUAAAACAUACUUCAAACCUGAGUCUCGAACAAGUAGGGAUAGGACUCCCGCAUCACCAUCUUCGGCUCCGAGGUCGCCUCCCGUUCCUUGUGAUUGCUCCACUGCACUUUCACAUACGGGAUGACCCGGUUGCACAAUUCUUUCGUCUCCCGAGCAAGAAUCCGCAACAGUCGUUCCUCGUAUCUCAGAUCCUCGCCAAUCUCUAGUGGAGUAAAGUCAAUCACGUGAGAGGGAUCGAAAACAUAUCUCCUUAACGCCGAGACGUGGAACACAUCAUGAAUCCCAACAAGUCGGGGUGGUAGAGCAAUCCUGUAGGCUACUGGUCCAACUCGCUCCAAUACCUCGAAAGGGCCAACGAAACGUGGACUGAGCUUUCCACGCACUCCAAAUCGGCGAAUCCCUCUGGACGGUGAGACUUUGAGAAAAACAUAAUCUCCAACCUAAAACUCUAAGUCUCGUCUCCUGGUAUCAAUGUAGCUCCUCUGGCGGCUCUGAGUUGUCAAAAGGUGUCUGUCACGCCCCGGGGCCGAUUUUAAAAGCCUUUUNNNNNNNNNNNNNNNNNNNNNNNNNNNNNNNNNNNNNNNNNNNNNNNNNNNNNNNNNNNNNNNNNNNNNNNNNNNNNNNNNNNNNNNNNNNNNNNNNNNNGAGUUCCUAUAUUUGCACGGUAGUCGAAUCAUAUACACAGUAACCAGGUACAACAAACAGAUGUAUCUUAAAGUAAUUAUACAUUCAUACAUUCACCAUUCCAUAACAGUUUUACAAUCAAGGUUUUAAACAGAUCCAAAAAAAUCUUUUGAAAAUGUUCUACACAGAAAAUUUUAGUUCUUUUAAAAGUGCUACACGAGCGGGUAGAAAACUUUUAUUUUACAAAUAUCCAGUACAUCCACAUUUCAAAUGUAAUAAAAUUUACAUGAACCACAAUAAACUUAACUAAACUAUUAUAUCAACGAAAUACCAAUGGAUAAUAACUAAAUGAAAUAACAGUGGCGUCGGAAGACUUACGACGCUCGUACGUGCCUCACGUCUCGUCUCAAUCUCAUCGCCCGCGAUACGUGAAAAAAUUGGGGGGAGAGUAGAGAAAUGGUAACAUUGUUCCCUCCCAAGUUGAGUAGAAGCGAGAAGGCGAGGAGUACUACCGGAUCGAAAGAGCUAACAACAGUAACGGGUCUCAGUAGAAAAGUACCGUAGCAAAAUAUGGAUGAAAGAGACAUAUAUAUGAAAGCAGUACAACUACCCGCUAAUGUAACAUGAAAAUGCAAGCAUACAGAGGAUACAAAAUAUAGUAGCAGAAACUGUAAAGAAAGAACUAAAUGAGUAUAUAUGAAACAACGCUACUUAUAGCUAUAUGCGUCACGGACGAAGAAAGUCAAACUGUUACCCAUCUAACCGCCGUGUCGGUUAAGGACCUAGGCAAAAGCACUAUUUGCUCAAACCUGGAUUGUAACCCUAAGCACAAUGAGACACCGCUGGAUAAGGGUCGGUCAAAUGUCGACACUUUUUCGGAAAGAACACCUCCUGGCGGGGCAUUCACAACCCGCUGGGUGUCGUGAAUGCACUGGCUGUGGCGAUCAAUGCGGAUAUGAUCAAUUAGCCAACUGGUCGGCGACCAUGCCGACAAUCAUGCCCCUUAUGGGCAUACGCGUUGUAGGUCAUCAAGUAAUAACUGUGAACGACGAGAUAGGUCAAUGUACGAAUAGUAACGAACGACCAAACAGAUCCAGUGAAACACAGGAGAACGACAACCAGGUCACAAGUCAUAGUAAAAUUGAUGCAAUCUACUCAUAUCCCUAUAAGAGAUAUACACACUAGAAACCCAGGCCAGCGCUAAAUCACGAUAUGUAUCUUGUAAAUAUUGCUCGAUGUAUUAAAUGUCACGAACCAGAACAGACCCGAUAGGUCACAAUGGUGUAUUCGAUAUUAGUCCUGAAUACCGUCCUUAGCAGCAUCGACAAUCUUACCUCAGGGUACACCGACUAGAAGGUCUCGACGACAUGAGUCAAGAAAAUAGACAACCACUACAUAUGCAAACAACCCGACAACCCACUAGUUAAUGCACAAGCGACAAGCCAUAUAUGUGCCAACAAGGCGACAAACGUAGUCAACAGGAUAUAAGAUAAAGCAUCGAUCGUCUAGGUCACCGAAACGUAGUACUUAGAAACCGACAUUCAGGGUCAACGGUAAUUUCAAUUGGAUAACUCUUUACUCCUAAUCAUGUUAUAGCAUAGAAACAUAUGAGUAGAGUAUGAUAGAAACAACGGGGAUGCAAGCUCAAUAUAUAAUACGAAAAUAGCAAUAGAAGAACAGGGAUAGAAGAAAUAUCACCGAGCGUGCACCACUGUACCGACGUCGGAUCGAAGUACCCACAUGUUCGGAUGACGCGACUGUCUCCUGACUGCAAAAGAAUGUCGACAGGACCUAUAGAGGGUCCACCGGGUUAGUAUCUAACCCACAACUAAUAAUCACAGUAUCCACAACCCCACAAACGAUUCCACGAAGAUAGGUUUCCCAAUACCGAUUACCGUAACUCGCCGGAAGUCCCGAAAACUACACCGGGACGUCGUCGGGACCCACUAAGUGUCCCGAACUCACCGACUCGUGCCACGAGUCACCUGCUGCCCCAAAACACUCUAAUUUGGAUGUUUUGGCAGCAAACACAAGAUAGCACCCCUACACAAUUAUCGCCGGAUAAUUGUACGCAUUCGGGUUCCCGAAAGUGUCUAUUUCGACACCGGAACCCUCCGUCGCUCACCAAUCAUCAUCGAACCUACAAAAUAAUGAUGGUGACCCACCAACAAGGCUCAGCAACAAAACACAGAGCAAACAAACACCGUCGAAAAGAAUCCGAACCGAAAUCGCGUUCUUUCGACGAAUUUCGUCGAAAAACGCACCGAAAUCGACCUUUCGAUUUCCGCAAAAGCUACAGGAUCAUGGACAAUCAGUCCAGAGGUCAAAACACACUCUUACACGCUGCCCACAGUAGCCACAAGGCGUACAAUUGCACAAAAGCCCCUAUGUUUACAUAAAAUCCAUCAUUUUAUGUAAAUCAGGCAACUCCUAUGACUCGUUCUCACAAACUGAGGACCUCUAAGUUCCGCCGACACACGUACUGACAGGUCUCGACGUGCCGGAGGCCGUGCUCAUGGUCUGGAGCGCAACAGGUCACUGUGGGAAGCGCGGGAGCUACCCGAAGUUCUGCGAACAGCGCGCAGUCGGGGAAGAUCGCGCCAAACAGGGCUGACCGGACACUGUUGAUCCAAAGUGAGGUGAGCAAUGUGAUCAGCACAGACCAACGAUCACCGUGCUCACCUCCGGAGGCAUCAGGACAGCCUCGGAUUGCCGGAUAAGCGCGCGCAAACCCAAAACAGCAGCCAAACAGGCUCCACGGGGUCGACACAGCGAAAACAGCAGAACGGAGUCUCCCCAACAGAAUCUAAGGUGAGCACGAUGAUCAGCAAUUUGCCACGAUCACCGUGCUCCCUUCCGUAGGGAUCGGGGAGGCUCGGAUCGCUCAGAACAACAAACAACCCACAAACAGCCCUAUUUCGGGCUUGGCCGGAGCAAGCUUGCUCCGGCCGGCCUCCGGCGACACGGCGGCGCGCGCGGGGGCCAGGGAUGGGUGCGGGGGAGGGAAGGAGCACGAUGCUCACCUCAGUUAGCGGCUGGAAGCGGCGGCGGCAGCGGUGGAACAACCCAAGCCCGCACCAGGUUCGGCUCGGGUUCCAAGGGCACCUGCGGCCACGGCGGCGGCCGGGGCUCCUCGGGGACGACGGC
rnacentral:lncRNA from 1 species